UGAGAGGAGAAGGCAAAUGCCUUACCAUAUGCAUAUAAACCUGGAGCUUUUGGAAGCCACACACUUGAUCUGUGCGAUGCUGAUUGAAGUCCCCAAUAUGGCUGCCAGCACCUAUGACAAGCGGAGACCUAUGAGCAAAACAUUCCGAAGGCUUCUUGAAGUGAGUGAAAGGCAGACAUUUGUUGGGCCGCCCGAGAAUGUGAGGGACCAUGUAAUGGCUGCCACAAGAGCCCUCAACAAGGGUGAUCACCAAAAGGCUUUCAGUGUCAUAAAUUCGUUGGAGAUUUGGAAGCUUUUGAGGAACAGAGAGCAUGUUCUUGAGAUGUUGGAGCUUAAGAUCAAGGAGGAAGCUCUUAGAACCUAUCUCUUUUCAUACUCGUCUUCGUACGAGUCCUUAAGCCUUAACCAGCUCACUACCAUGUUUGAUCUCAGCGAGCAGCAUGCCCACAGCAUUGUUAGCAAGAUGAUGAUGCAUGAAGAGCUUCAUGCUAGCUGGGACCAGCCAACAAAGUGCAUCGUAUUCCAUAGUGUGGACCAAACUAGGCUUCAGGGGCUACUCUUCCAGAUGGCAGAUAAGCUCUCGGUCCUGGUGGAGAUCAAUGAGAGGGCAUACGAGGCAAGAACUGGUGGUACUCUCGAGGGGGUACCUCCCAGGCGCAGGGGCGAGGGUCAGGAUAAUAUGGGAAAGUGGCAGGAUAACUUUGUCUCGUCACAGGGGCGGCAGGGUGGUGGCAACAGGUUUGGAUACUCCGGCAGAGGUGCAAUAUCUGGUCAAAGUGGUGGUGGACACCAGAGGGACAGGGGCAAUCAGGGUUACCGCGGGGGCUAUGGUGGCGUUUCAAGGUUUCAGGAUGCAAGGGGUCGCAACCAGUCUAUUCCAUCAGGCAGAGGUGGUGAUGGUGGUGCACGCAUGGUGAACCUGAACAGGAUGGGUAGAGUUUAGAAGUGAUAAUUUUCAGCUCGAGUAAGCCUGAAAUUCUCCUAAAAGCCAAGUUUUGAAUCACUGCUUUUUACAUAGUUUCCUGUUCUGGGCUGAGCCAUCCACCUGUUUCCUACAUUUCGUUGUAGCCUUUUAAUUUAAGGGGCUAGGAAAUUGAACUAAGAGUUUGGUACUGUUUCGUGGGAGUGUGACUUCACUCCAAUAUUUGAUAUCUAUCUGUGACACUUGCUAUAACCUGUACUUUUCUUGUUUGUGUUAUGUGGUUUUUAUUUGGUUAUGAAAAAUAAAAAGGCAUGUCGCAGAUAGAAGAUCGUUAUUCUAUUCGCGUUUGAAAAGCUUUACACCAAUCUCGAGAUGAACUUUUAGCAUAACACUUUUCUUGUGGUGUUCAUUUGGAUAAAUUUUCCGCGGUGGUGUCAGCCGUAUCUGUUGUGUGUGGCCGUGUGAAUGAAAUGGGCGGAAGCGUGGACGUGGAGCGGAGCGGAGCGGACGCCUUUUGCUCGUCUUCGGCUUUGAAUUUUCCGGCCGCUCGCCCAGUUUCCACUCGUUCAUCUCACGACUGGACACUUUCUAUCACAGCGCGCGCCGCCGUCGAACGUCACCGGCCGAGUGUUGCACAACGCGAAAUUGCGAGCGUCACCGGCAGAGUGUUUUGAAUGAUCUAGUCUAUUAUUUUUUCAUUAUUUAUUUUUUGUUUGGUUUGUGGAAUAAAAUAAGUUGAUCCGUCACAAUCUUAUUUCUUAUAAUUUAUUAGUUUUAAUAUAAGAAAUUGAGUCAUCCUACUAAAUUUGAGAAAUAUAUUUAUGAUACAACACUUUAUUUUAAAUGGAGUGAUUUCUCAAUCCAAACAUUCACCUACCUAAGCAGAGGAGCAAGCUACACACGGCGAAGUUGGGGGCAAUUGUGUGUUCCUGAUUUUGUCCCUCAAAAUUUGGCUUUGUGAGUUUAGGCCUCUUUUGAAAACGAAAAACAAAAACACGUCCCUGCUUCUGUUAGAUAGCAUUAACAAUAUGAAAUAGAAUAUACAAAGAUAAAUUUACUCUUCAGUCGUAAUUAUGAUUUUGUCCCUCUUUGAAAAUUAACUGUUUGUAAUUGUGAUUUUACCUCUGUUUUUUAAAGGAGUGAGCAAAAUCACAACUACGACUGAAGGGUAAAUUUGUCUUUGUAUAUCCUAUUUCACAUCAUUAUUGUUAUUUAACAGAAGCAAACUAUGGACAUGCUUGUUUUUUGUUUUCAAAAAGAGGCGUGAAAUAUCAAAGUCGAUUUUUGAGGGACAAAAUCACAUUUACUUCUAUCAGGGACAGGAACACAAUUGCCCAAUAAAUUAAUGUCGCUCCACUUGAAUGAAUCACAAACUUUUUUGUACUUUUUCCGAAGGGCAUUGAGAUUGAGAUCUAAAUAAAAACUACAUUGGAUAGUUAUUAAACACCUAUAAUUUCGUGUGAUCCUAAGUUUCAUGCCAACUUUUAACAUGAAGCCUAGGUAAGCGCUAGUACAUCAACUACCCAGAACCAACCAUUUUCAUGUGUUCAUAACUCCCACUUCUACUAUGACACUGUUUGAAUGCAUUAGAGCUAAUAGUUUAGCUAUUAGCUAUUUUUAUUAAAUUAUUUUCUCUAUCCCAUUAUAUAACGCAUAACCACAUUUGGUUCAAAGACAAAAAUGUAUUUAAUUCUCUAUCAACACCAGUAAAGGGUCGAUAUCAAUAUUUGUCAUGUUAGCACCAAUCACCAGCAAGCCGAUACCUUCGCUAAGCCUUUAGAUGAAAGAAUAUUUUGUGAGUUGUGUAGUGAGUUUAAUGUCUUAGAUUCACGGAACUUGGAUUAAUCUAUAGCAUACAUCAUUUAUGUAUCUUUGAUCAUGUUAAUUAUGUCUAUAAUUUGCUUUGUUGCUUAUUUUGGUGCUCAAGUUAUAGAAUGUCAUCCUCGGACCUCACAAGUCCUUGUGCAUUGAUGCAUAUAUUUAGGGGGAGGAUACACUACAACUUGACCCUUUGAGACUAAUGUGUUUGCUUGAGUGAUUUUGAUGUAGUCUCAAAGGUGGAAUGAAAGGAAAUUGAUGGAUUUGGACAAAGGAAAUGGCUUCCACUCAAUAACGGUAUCAACGUACUUUAGUCCAAAUUCUCUUGAUUUUCAUUGCCUUGUGCUCUUUAUUUGCAAUUUUUGGUGAUGCAAUGGGGUUUGAGGCCACUAGUGUCUCCGUUUUGGUGCUUAAUGCCAAAGGGAAAAAGUUAAGGCCAAAUCAACUGGAUCAGUUGACACUUGUGAAUUUCAAAAAGUUUUGUGUUUCGAACAUGUCUUUUUGAUCAAAACCCUCUUGAUAGCAAAGAUGAGCCCUCUGAUUGCAAAACUAUUCUCUUAUGUGGGAGAAAUCUUUCUUAUGGGAAAAUGUGAGAGUUUUUUUGUAUUUGAUCAAAACUAUUCUUGAAAAAUGGUUUGAUUUGCAAAACUAAAGUGUCUUGACUUAGAAGUUAGAAAAAUGAAUUUGUUUUGCAAAAACAAACCAAAUGGUGCCAAAACUAUCCAAAUAUGCCAAAUCAUAUGAAUCUCCAAUUGGCUUUUAAUUGGACUUCAAUUUGCAAAUAUUGAUGACUCAUAUCUAGUUAAGUUAGUAUUUUUGAGUUGCUUUAGAUGUGUUGGCAUAAAUCACCAAAAAGGGAGAGAUUGAAAUGGAAAUGUGCCCUUGGACCAUUUCUAGUUGUUUUGGUGAUUAAAUGCCCAACGCAUCAUUUUGAGCUAACCAUAUUGAUAAGAGCAUGAACACAUGUAAAGAAAGCAAAUUGAAGAUAUCAAGUUGAAAAGAGCACAUACAUGGACCAAGUGAGGAACUUGAUAUAAAAUGGUACAAGUCUAAGGUUUGCACUUGUAAAUAUGUUGCAUAGGUCCAUUACAAUGUUUCUAGUACUUGUGUUUGGGCUCUAACCUAUUUUGUAGAGAAAAGCACUUUUGGGCUUAAGUUUGCACGCAUUGCAAAUCAUUUUGAAAUGGAGUGAUAAAGGUAUGAUCCUAACACUUAGUCAAUUGCUUUGCUUUCUAACUAUGUUUGUCUACGUGCUAGAGAACUUCUCAAGUCGAGCCAAAAGAAGCCAAAGAAGUUUGGCACAAAAUAGAAGAAAGUGGUCUAGUGCGGGCAGCACCGGAUAGUCCGGUGCCCUCUACAACGAACUGGCCAGCCUCAGCCUCUGCUCGGCUCCCUCGGCUAAAAUCACCCGACAGUCCGGGUAGAGCACCGGGCAAUCUAGUGUACCAGGCGGUCAACGGCUACAUCGGCCACGUCAGCAGCGCCAACACUCAAAUGGGUCACUGGAGAGUCUGGUUCCCCCAGAUCAGGAAACCGACAAUGUCUGGUGCACCCGCGAACAGAUGAAGGUUGGUAGCUUCCAAAUGAAGCUCCAAGGGCUCCUAGGCCCUUUAGGCCUAUAAAAGAUACCCCUAGAUACCAUGGAGGAAGAAAGCAAGCAUUCUGAGAGCACACUACAACUCCGAAACCCCACAACAUGCCUUCAAAGUGUUUGAGAGAAAUUUGAGCGUGUUUCUGAGUUGUCAUUCCGUUGUUUUGUUCUUGCACUCUCUUCUUUGCUUGUGUGCGUGUUGUUUCUACGAUUGUGCUCUUGUGUGCGUGUUCUUACUCCCUCCCUUACUCCGGUUUUGAUUGUGAUCAUUUGUGUAAGGCGUGAGAGACUCCAACUUGUGGAGAUUCCUCAUAAACGGGGUCAAGAUAUAAGUCCUAGCUCUGAUACCAAUUGAAAGUUCACUUUGCCCGAGAACAUGAUCUAGAUGUCACCUGAAGGGGGGUGAAUAGGUAAAAUAAAAAUAACACUUAAAAAAACUAGAAAUUCUUACUCUACUCGAAGACUGGAUCGCAGUGGAAUGAAAGACCCUUCGAGUAGGUCGCAACGGAAAUGUUCCUGUCUCAAAUUACCCUGCACUUUGAAAGUCGCCUAGAGGGGGGGGGGGUGGUGAAUAGGGCGAAACUGAAAUUCUCAAAAAUAAUCACAACUACAAGCCGGGUUAGCGUUAGAAAUAUAAUCGAGUCCGCGAGAGAGGGCGCAAAACAAAUCGCAAGCGAAUAAUGAAGUGAGACACACGGAUUUGUUUUACCGAGGUUCGGUUCUCUCAAACCUACUCCCCGUUGAGGAGGCCACAAAGGCCGGGUCUCUUUCAACCCUUUCCUCUCUCAAACGGUCCCUCGGACCGAGUGAGCUACUCUUUCUCAAAUCACUUGGGAAUCAAACUUCCCGCAAGGACCACCACACAAUUGGUGUCUCUUGCCUCAAUUACAAGUGAGUGUUUGAUCACAAGAAAGAAUGCCAAAGAAAAAGAAGCGAUCCAAGCGCAAGAGCUCAAAUGAACACUACAAAUCACUCUCUCUAGUUACUAGGGCUUUGUGUGGAGUUGGGAGAGGAUUUGAUCUUUUUGAUGUGCUUUGCAAUGAAUGCUAGCUCUUGUAUAGUGGUUGGAAGCUGGAAAACUUGGAUGCUCUGAAUGGUGGGGUGGUUGGGGUAUUUAUAGCCCCAACCACCAAACUUGACCGUUGGUGGAGCUGUCUGUCGUAUGGUGCACCGGACAGUCCGGUGCACACUGGACAUGUCCGGUGCGACAGCCACGUCACCAAAUAGUCGUUGGGUCGACCGUUGGAGUUCUGACAGCUCGGCCCGCCUUGAUGUCCGGUGGCGCACCGGACAUGCACUGUAGAGUGUCCGGUGCGCCUGCUCCCGCGUGCCUGACGACUGCGCGCUUCUGGCGCGCAUUAAAUGCGCCUGCAGGUGACCGUUGGCGCGAAGUAGCCGUUGCCCAGAGGUUGCACCAGACAGUCCGGUGCACACCGGACAUGUCCGGUGAAUUAUAGCGGAGCAGCCUUGACGAAUUCCCGAGACUGGCGAGUUCCUGAGCCGCGUCUUCUAUGGAGCACCGGACACUGUCCGGUGUGCACCGGACAGUCCGGUGAAUUUUAGUGCGCUGGCUCUGGAAAAUCCCGAGGGCGAUGAGUUUGAGCUGAAGUCCUCUGGUGCACCGGACACUGUCCGGUGGCACACCGGACAGUCCGGUGCACCAGACCAGAGAAGUCUUUGGUUGCUCCUUUGCCCUUUUGUUGAACCCAACUCUUGGUCUUUUUAUUGGCUAAGUGUGAACCUUUUGCACCUGUAUAACUUAUACACUAGAGCAAACUAGUUAGUCCAAAGAUUUGUGUUGGGCAAUUCAACCACCAAAAUUAUUUAGGAACUAGGUGUAACCCUGAUUCCCUUUCAAUCUCCCCCUUUUUGGUGAUUGAUGCCAACACAAACUAAAGCAAAUAUAAUUUUGCAAAAUUAAACUAGUUUGCAUAAUGUAAGUGCAAAGGUUGCUUGGAAUUGAGCCAAUAUAAAUACUUACAUGAUGCGCAUGGAUUGUUUCUUUGUUUUUAACAUAUUGGACCACAUUUGCACCACGAGUUUUGUUUUGCAAAAUCUUUUGUAAAUUCUUUUCAAGGACUUUUUGCAAGAUAGUCAAAGGUAAAUGAGUAAGAUUUUUGCAAAAGCAUUUUCAAGCUUGAAAAAUUUCUCCCCUGGUUUCAAAUGCUUAUCCUUUGACUAAACAAAACUCCCCCUCAAAUAAAUUCUCCUCUUAGUGUUCAAGAGGGUUUUAAGAUAUCAAUUUUGAAAAUACUAUGCUCCCCCUUUAGAACACAAAGAGAUACCAAUUUUGAAAUUCACCAAUUGAAAAUCUCAUUUGAAAAUCUCAUCAAAUUUUUAAAAUUAAGUUUGGUGGUGCGGUCCUUUUGCUUUGGGCUCAUACUUUCUCCCCCUUUGGCAUGAAUCGCCAAAAACGAAAUCAUUAGAGCCCUACGAAGUACUUUCUCCUUCUUUGGUCAUAAGAUAAAUGAGUGAGGGUUAUACCAAAAUUGGAGAGAUGCUCGGAGUGACGGCGAAGGAUGAGUAGUGGAGUGGAAGCCUUUGUCUUCGCCGGAGACUCCAAUUCCCUUUCAAUAUACCUAUGACUUGGUUUGAAAUACACUUGAAAACACAUUAGUCAUAGCAUAUAAAAGAGACAUGAUCAAAGGUAUACUUGUGUGCUAUGUGUGCAAAUUAGCAAAAGAAGUUCCUAGAAUCAAGAAUAUUAAGCUCAUGCCUAAGUCUGGUAAAAGAUUGCUCAUCAAGUGGCUUGGUAAAGAUAUCGGCUAAUUGAUCUUUAGUAUUAAUGUAUGAAAUCUCGAUAUCCCCCUUUUGUUGGUGAUCCCGAAGAAAAUGAUACCGAAUGGCUAUGUGUUUAGUGCGGCUAUGCUCAACGGGAUUGUCGGCCAUUUUGAUUGCACUCUCAUUAUCACAUAGCAAAGGGACUUUGGUUAAUUUGUAACCGUAGUCCCGCAGGGUUUGCCUCAUCCAAAGUAAUUGCACGCAACAAUGGCCUGCGGCAAUGUACUCGGCUUCGGCGGUAGAAAGAGCAACCGAAUUUUGCUUCUUUGAAGCCCAAGACACCAAGGAUCUUCCCAAGAACUGGCAAGUCCCCGAUGUGCUCUUCCUAUUAAUCUUACACCCUGCCCAAUCGGCAUCCGAAUAACCAAUUAAAUCAAAAGUGGAUCCCCGAGGAUACCAAAGCCCAAACUUAGGAGUAUAAGCCAAGUAUCUCAAGAUUCGUUUUACGGCCGUAAGGUGUGAUUCCUUAGGGUCGGCUUGGAAUCUUGCACACAUGCAAACGGAAAGCAUAAUGUCCGGUCGAGAUGCACAUAAGUAGAGCAAUGAACCAAUCAUCGACCGGUAUACCUUUUGAUCCACGGACUUACCUCCCGUGUCGAGGUCGAGAUGCCCAUUUGUUCCCAUGGGAGUCUUGAUGGGCUUGGCAUCCUUCAUUCCAAACUUGCUUAAAAUGUCUUGAGUAUACUUCGUUUGGCAAAUGAAAGUGCCCUCUUGGAGUUGCUUGACUUGAAAUCCUAGAAAAUACUUCAACUCCCCCAUCAUAGACAUCUCGAAUUUCUGUGUCAUGAUCCUACUAAAUUCUUCACAUGUAGAUUUGUUAGUAGACCCAAAUAUAAUAUCAUCAACAUAAAUUUGGCAUACAAACAAAUCAUUAUCAAGUGUUUUGGUGAAUAAAGUAGGAUCAGCUUUGCCGACUUUGAAGCCAUUAGCUAUAAGGAAAUCUCUAAGGCAUUCAUACCAUGCUCUUGGGGCUUGCUUGAGCCCAUAAAGCGCCUUAGAGAGCCUAUAAACAUGGUUAGGGUACUCACCGUCUUCAAAGCCGGGAGGUUGCUCAACAUAGACCUCCUCCUUGAUCGGUCCAUUGAGGAAAGCACUCUUCACGUCCAUUUGAUAAAGCUUGAAGCCAUGGUAAGUAGCAUAGGCUAAUAAUAUGCGAAUUGACUCAAGCCUAGCUACGGGUGCAUAGGUUUCACCAAAAUCCAAACCUUCGACUUGUGAAUACCCCUUGGCCACGAGUCGAGCUUUGUUCCUAGUCACCACACCAUGCUCAUCUUGCUUGUUGCGGAAGACCCACUUGGUUCCUACAACAUUUUGGUUAGGACGUGGAACUAAGUGCCAUACUUCAUUCCUUGUGAAAUUGUUGAGAUCCUCUUGCAUCGCCAUCACCCAAUCUGAAUCUUGUAGUGCUUCCUCUACCCUGUGUGGCUCAAUAGAGGAAACAAACGAGUAAUGCUCACAAAAAUGUGCAAUACGAGAUCGAGUGGUUACCCCCUUAUGAAUAUCGCCUAGGAUGGUGUCGACGGGAUGAUCUUGUUGUAUUGCUUGGUGGACUCUUGGGUGUGGCGGCCUUGGUUCUUGCUCAUCCUCCUUUUCUUGAUCAUUUCCAUCUCCCCCUUGAUCGUUGCCGUCAUUUUGAGGUGGCUCAUCUUCUUGAUCUUCUUGUUCAACAUCCUGAGCCUCAUCCUCAAUUUGAGUUGGUGGAGAUGCUUGCAUGGAGGAGGAUGUUUGAUCUUGUGCAUUUGGAGGCUCUUCGGAUUCUUUAGGACACACAUCCCCAAUGGACAUGUUCCUUAGAGCGAUGCACGGAGCCUGUUCUUCACCUAUCUCAUCAAGAUCAACAUGCUCUACUUGAGAGCCGUUAGUCUCAUCAAACACAACGUCACAAGAAACUUCAACAAGUCCUGAGGACUUGUUAAAGACUCUAUAUGCCCUUGUGUUUGAGUCAUAUCCUAGUAAAAAACCUUCUACAGUUUUAGGAGCAAAUUUUGAUUUUCUACCUCUUUUAACAAGAAUAAAGCAUUUGCUACCAAAAACUCUAAAAUAUGAAAUAUUUGGCUUUUUACCAGUAAGGAGUUCAUAGGAUGUCUUCUUGAGGAUUCGGUGAAGAUAUAACCGGUUGAUGGCGUAGCAGGCGGUGUUGACCGCCUCGGCCCAAAACCGAUCCGGUGUCUUGUACUCAUCAAGCAUGGUUCUUGCCAUGUCCAAUAGAGUUCGAUUCUUCCUCUCCACUACACCAUUUUGUUGUAGAGUGUAGGGAGAAGAGAACUCAUGCUUGAUGCCCUCCUCCUCAAGAAAGUCUUCUAUUUGUGAGUUCUUGAACUCCGUCCCGUUGUCGCUUCUGAUUUUCUUGAUCCUUAAGCCGAACUCAUUUUGAGCUCGUCUCAAGAAUCCCUUCAAGGUCUCUUGGGUAUGAGAUUUUUCCUGCAAAAAGAACACCCAAGUGAAGCGAGAAUAAUCAUCCACAAUAACUAGACAGUACUUACUCCCGCCGAUGCUUAUGUAAGCAAUCGGGCCGAAUAAAUCCAUGUGUAGUAGCUCCAGUGGCCUGUCACUAGUCAUGAUGUUCUUGUGUGGAUGAUGAGUGCCAACUUGCUUCCCGGCUUGGCAUGCGCUACAAAUCCUGUCUUUCUCAAAAUGAAUAUUGGUUAGUCCUAAAAUGUGUUCUCCCUUUAGAAGCUUGUGAAGAUUCUUCAUUCCAACAUGGGCUAGUCGGCGGUGCCAGAGCCAACCCAAGUUAGUCUUAGCAACCAAGCAAGUGUCGAGUUCAGCUCUAUCAAAAUCUACCAAGUAUAGCUGACCCUCUAACACUCCCUUAAAUGCUAUUGAAUCAUCACUUCUUCUAAAGACAGUAACACCUAUAUCAGUAAAUAGACAGUUGUAGCCCAUUUGACAUAAUUGGGAUACGGAAAGCAAAUUGUAAUCUAAUGAAUCAACAAGAAAAACAUUGGAAAUAGUAUGGUCAGGUGAUAUAGCAAUUUUACCCAAUCCUUUGACCAAACCUUGAUUUCCAUCCCCGAAUGUGAUAGCUCGUUGGGGAUCUUGGUUUUUCUCAUAUGAGGAGAACAUCUUCUUCUCCCCUGUCAUGUGGUUUGUGCACCCGCUGUCGAGUAUCCAACUUGAGCCCCCGGAUGCAUAAACCUACAAAACAAUUUUAGUUCUUGACUUUAGGUACCCAAACGGUUUUGGGUCCUUUGGCAUUAGAAACAAGAACUUUGGGUACCCAAACACAAGUCUUGGAGCCCUUGUGUUUGCCCCCAACAAACUUGGCAACUACCUUGCUGGAUUUGUUAGUUAAAACAUAUGAUGCAUCAAAAGUUUUGAAUGAAAUAGCAUGAUCAUUUGAUGCAUUAGGAGUUUUCUUUCUAGGCAACUUGGCACGGGUUGGUUGCCUAGAGCUAGAUGUCUCACCCUUAUACAUAAAAGCAUGGUUAGGGCCAGAGUGAGACUUCCUAGAAUGAGUUUUCCUAAUUUUGCUCUCAGGAUAGCUGGCAGGGUACAAAAUGUAACCCUCGUUAUCCUGAGGCAUAGGAGCCUUGCCCUUAACGAAGUUAGAUAAAUUCUUUGGAGGGGCAUUAAGUUUGACAUUGUCUCCCCUUUGGAAGCCAAUGCCAUCCUUGAUGCCCGGGCGUCUCCCACUAUAGAGCAUACUUCUAGCAAAUUUAAACUUUUCAUUUUCCAAGUUAUGCUCAACAAUUUUUGCAUCUAAUUUUGCUAUAUGAUCAUUUUGUUGUUUAAUUAAGACCAUGUGAUCAUGAAUAGCAUCAACAUCAAUAUCUCUACAUCUAGUACAAAUAGAAACAUGCUCAACGGUAGAUGUAGAGGGUUUGCAAGAUUUUAAUUCAACAACCUUAGCAUGUAAUAUAUCAUUAUCACUUCUAAGGUUGGAAAUAGUAACAUCAAAAUCCUUAGCCUUAGCAAUUAAAUUUUCAUUUUCUAUUCUAAGGCUAGCAAGAGAUACAUUCAAUUCAUCAAUCUUGGCAAGCAAAUCAUCAUUAUUAUUUCUAAGAUUGGGAACAUCACAAACAUGAGAAUCAACCUUAGCAAUUAAUCUAGCAUUUUCAUUUCUAAGGUUGUUAAUAGUGUCAUGGCAUGUGCUUAGCUCAUUAGAUAAUUCGUUACAUUUUUCUACCUCUAGAGCAUAAGCAUUUUUAACCUUAACAUGCUUCUUAUUUUCCUUGAUUAGGAAGUCCUCUUAGGAGUCCAAGAGAUCGUCCUUUUCAUGGAUGGCACUAAUUAGCUCAUUUAAUUUUUCUUUUUGUUCCAUGUUAAGGUUGGCAAAAAGGAUACACAAAUUAUCUUCCUCACCACUAGCAUUAUCAUCACUAGAAGAUUCAUAUUUAGUGGAGGAGUUAGAUUUAACCUUCUUCCUUUUGCCGUCCUUUGCCAUGAGGCACUUGUGGCCGACGUUGGGAAAGAGAAGCCCCUUGGUGACGGCGAUGUUGGCGGCGUCCUCGUCGGAGGAGGACUCGGUGGAGCUCUCGUCGGAGUCCCACUCGCGGCACACGUGGGCAUCGCCGCCCCUCUUCUUGUGGUACUUCUUCUUCUCUCUUCUCUUGCCCUUCUUGUCGUUGUCCCUGUCACUGUCACUUGAUAAUGGACAUUUAGCGAUAAAGUGACCGGGCUUACCACACUUGUAGCAAACCUUCUUGGAACGAGAUUUGUAAUCCUUCCCCUUCCGUUGCUUAAGGAUUUGCCGAAAGCUUUUGAUGAUUAAGGCCAUCUCUUUAUUGUCGAGCUUGGAGGCGUCAAUUGGUUGUCUACUUGGUGUAGACUCCUCCUUCUUCUCCUCCGUUGCCUUAAAUGCCACCGGUUGCGCCUCGGACGUGGAGGGUUCGUCAAGCUCGUUGAUCUUCUUUGAGCCUUUAAUCAUGCAUUCAAAACUCACAAAAUUCCCGAUAACUUCCUCGGGGGUCAUUAGUGGAUAUCUAGGAUUACCACGAAUUAAUUGAACUUGAGUGGGGUUAAGGAAAAUAAGAGCUCUUAAAAUAACCUUAACCACCUCAUGGUCAUCCCACUUUUUGCUCCCGAGGUUGCGCACUUGGUUCACCAAGGUCUUGAGCCGGUUGUACAUGUCUUGUGGCUCCUCCCCUUGGCGAAGACGGAAGUGACCGAGCUCCCCCUCGAUCGUUUCCCGCUUGGUGAUCUUGGUAAGUUCAUCACCCUCGUGCGCGGUCUUGAGUAGGUCCCAAAUCUCCUUUGCAUUCUUCAACCCUUGCACUUUGUUGUAUUCCUCCUUGCUUAGAGAAGCGAGGAGUAUGGUUGUGGCUUGGGAGUUGAAGUGCUCGAUUUGGGCUACUUCGUCCGUGUCAUAAUCCUCAUCCUCUACAGAUGGUACCUGUACACCAAACUCAACGACAUCCCAUAUACUUUUGUGGAGUGAGGUUAGAUGAAAUCGCAUUAAAUCACUCCACAUAGCAUAAUCUUCACCAUCAAAAGUUGGUGGUUUGCCUAAUGGGACGGAAAGUAAGGGUGUAUGUUUAGGAAUGCGAGGGUAGCGUAGGGGAAUCUUACUAUACUUCUUACGCUCUUGGCGUUUAGAAGUGACGGACGCCGCGUCGGAGCCGGAGGUGGAUGUCGAUGAAGAAUCGGUCUCGUAGUAGACCACCUUCCUCAUCCUCUUCUUCUUGUCCCCGCUCCGAUGUGGCUUGUGGGAAGAGGACUUUUCCUUCUUCUCUUUGUGAUGUGAAGAAGAUUUAUCCUUCCCUUUGGAGGAGUCCUUCUUCUUUUCUUCGUGGUGUGAAGAAGAUCUUUUCUCCUUCCCUUUGGAGGAGACCUUCCUCUUCUCCUUCCUCUUGGUGCGGGACUCUUCUGAUGAAGUGAUCCCGUGGCUUGUAGUGGGCUUUUCUCCGGUCUCCAUCUCCUUCUUGGCGUGAUCUCCCGACAUCACUUCGAGCGGUUAGGCUCUAAUGAAGAACCGGGCUCUGAUACCAAUUGAUAGUCGCCUAGAGGGGGGGGGGUGAAUAGGGCGAAACUGAAAUUUACAAAUAUAAACACAACUACAAGCCGGGUUAGCGUUAGAAAUAUAAUAGAGUCCGCGAGAGAGGGCGCAAAACAAAUCGCAAGCGAAUAAUGAAGUGAGACACGCGGAUUUGUUUUACCGAGGUUCGGUUCUCUCAAACCUACUCCCCGUUGAGGAGGCCACAAAGGCCGGGUCUCUUUCAACCCUUCCCUCUCUCAAACGGUCCCUCGGACCGAGUGAGCUACUCUUUCUCAAAUCACUUGGGAAUCAAACUUCCCGCAAGGACCACCACACAAUUGGUGUCUCUUGCCUCAAUUACAAGUGAGUGUUUGAUCACAAGAAAGAAUGCCAAAGAAAAAGAAGCGAUCCAAGCGCAAGAGCUCAAAUGAACACUACAAAUCACUCUCUCUAGUUACUAGGGCUUUGUGUGGAGUUGGGAGAGGAUUUGAUCUUUUUGAUGUGCUUUGCAAUGAAUGCUAGCUCUUGUAUAGUGGUUGGAAGCUGGAAAACUUGGAUGCUCUGAAUGGUGGGGUGGUUGGGGUAUUUAUAGCCCCAACCACCAAACUUGACUGUUGGUGGAGCUGUCUGUCGUAUGGUGCACCGGACAGUCCGGUGCACACCGGACAUGUCCGGUGCGACAACCACAUCACCAAAUAGUCGUUGGGUCGACCGUUGGAGUUCUGACAGCUGGGCCCGCCUUGAUGUCCGGUGGCGCACCGGACAUGCACUGUAGAGUGUCCGGUGCGCCUGCUCCCGCGUGCCUGACGACUGCGCGCUUCUGGCGCGCAUUAAAUGCGCCUGCAGGUGACCGUUGGCGCGAAGUAGCCGUUGCCCAGAGGUUGCACCGGACAGUCCGGUGCACACCGGACAUGUCCGGUGAAUUAUAGCGGAGCAGCCUUGACGAAUUCCCGAGACUGGCGAGUUCCUGAGCCGCGUCUUCUAUGGAGCACCGGACACUGUCCGGUGUGCACCGGACAGUCCGGUGAAUUUUAGUGCGCUGGCUCUGGAAAAUCCCGAGGGCGAUGAGUUUGAGCUGAAGUCCUCUGGUGCACCGGACACUGUCCGGUGGCACACCGGACAGUCCGGUGCACCAGACCAGAGAAGUCUUUGGUUGCUCCUUUGCCCUUUUGUUGAACCCAACUCUUGGUCUUUUUAUUGGCUAAGUGUGAACCUUUUGCACCUGUAUAACUUAUACACUAGAGCAAACUAGUUAGUCCAAAGAUUUGUGUUGGGCAAUUCAACCACCAAAAUUAUUUAGGAACUAGGUGUAACCCUGAUUCCCUUUCACACUUCAAAGACAACUUGUACCAUAGAUAAGUAUUGAAGUGCAAGUAUAAAAAGCAAAUAAGAUAGAGAGACAACACACAACACAGAGCAGAGCUCAUAGACAUAGGGAUUUAUCCCAAGGUUCGGCCAAGCCUGAAAUGCUUGCCUAGUCAUCGUUGCUGUUAGACACACCUUGGCUUGGAUUCUAUUUCAACUCCUUCCUCCGUUUGCUCAGAUCUGUCAAUGUGACUGAUAGAGCCUUUCACUAUAUUGAUGAUGGUUACAACGAUACCGCGACUGCUUAAAGUCUUCUUGACAGCACUCCGGCAGAGUAACAACGCUCAAGGUCUUGCUCUUGCUCUCAGUAGCACCUCCCCUCUCUCUAAAGGCUUAUAAUUGUGCCUCUACAUAAACUAGAAAGAUACACAAGAGAGGGAGAGAAAGAUUUGAUCACAAUGAUGUAUGGAAUUGUUGGCUGCACUUGUACUCUUGUUGGAGGCGCCUAGGGGUCCCUUCUAUAGUUCCAAGGGGCCUAGGAGCCGUUGGAGCUUUAUUUGGAAGCUCCCAGCCUUCCCUGUCUGCUGGUGCACCAGACACCGGACAUCGCACAGUAACAGUCGCCUGCAGAUCUGAUUGGUAGUUUCCUUCUUUGAAAGGGCUAGUCGUUAGUGCACCGGAUAUGUUACUAUUCGUUGUUAUGUGCACCGGACAUGUUACUAUUCACUACCCUGUGCGCCAGACAUGUUACUAUUCAUUGUCCUAUGCGCAAGCCAACAACACACUAGGUGCUUUUCCCUCCAUUCUUUCUCCAUUUGACUUCAACUUUUGGGAGCAUUUUCUUGAGACAAAGACAAACACAUUUAGAGUAUACUCCAAUUUUCUUGUGGCUUACACCAUAUAACCAUAGUAUCACCUCAUUGGUUAUAAGUCACGUUCUUAAGUCGUGAUCCUCGGUGCACUAUAUCUCUUCUCAACUCGUUCAACCUUGACUUUGCAAGUCUUCUUCUUCACACUUGGCUUUGGGUUCCUCGGCCUUUUUGACAUUCUCCCGUGCACACUGCAUCUCGAAGCUCUUCUUGCCUCCAUCAUUGGCUUGAUCAGUUGUCUUUAAGUUACGCACACCGAGUCUCACUUAAACAAUGUACAUCUUACUUGUGAUGUCCAUUAUCCCUAAACAUUCUAGUCUUUGGACCAUCACACUUGUUCACUUGUGUUGAACCAUGUAAGCUUUGCACUAAGCACCUGUUCAACACUUAGCACACCUGUUAGUACUUUAAUUGGGUUGUCAUCCAAACCACUAAAACCCACAAUAGAGCUUUCAAAAAGACCUCCAGAUUUCUUCGCUUUUUUGCUUUUACUGCCAAAGGGGGAGAAAUUAAUGGGCCAAAGCAAAAGGACCACACCACCACCUUGUUUCCUCAAAACUUUUUAUCUUCCAAAUUUAUACUACUGCAUUUGCGAAAACCCUCUUGAGUCUUGAUAGCUAAGACGAGAAAAACUAUUUGUGCCAAAGGAGAGAACUUAUUUACGGGGAGAUUUUAUUAGGCCAAAGGAAAAACAUUUUAAAAAGAGGAUAAUCAUUCAAACUAAGAAAUGCUUUUGAAAAUCCUAUUUUUACACCUUAGGCCAACUGCAAAUGAAUUUGAAAAGAUCUUACCAAAAGAUUUGCAAAAACAAGCUAAGUGGUGCAAAUGUGGUCCAAAAUUUUAACUAUGUCAAAAACAUACAUAUAUACUUAGAACUGCUUUCACUUCAGCAACUUAUGCACUCUUGUCAAUUUGCAAAGUAGUUACAUUUCUCCACUUUAUAUUUGCUUUGAUUUGCGUUGGCAUCAGUCACCAAAAAGGGGUGAUUGAAAUGAAAAUGGUCUUUACCAUUUUCUCUAUCGGGGCGUUUGGAUUGUCAAUUUGCAAAGUAGUUACAUUUCUCCACUUUAUAUUUGCUUUGAUUUGCGUUGGCAUCAGUCACCAAAAAGGGGUGAUUGAAAUGAAAAUGGUCUUUACCAUUUUCUCUAUCGGGGCGUUUGGAUCUAUUCAUUUUUGAGAAAUUGGAAUUUACUUAAUGAAGUAACUUAUUUGGCUUGGAAUUUAACGUUCCACCACUUUCUAAAGUUCGGAUACAAGCCUAUCUCAAAUUCAUAGGGUAGAUGAUGAGAAAUGAUUUUAUGUAUCAGUAGAAUAUGUUUCCACUCUGCAACUUAUAGGACGUUCUUCAGCUCACUCAUUUAUAGUAAAAAUAUAGCACAUAAAUAUCUUCGACAUCUCGCUAAUAAUAAUAUACAGAUAUAUUUUGCAUAAAAUUGUAUUGGCUUAAUUGAUAUUUGCCUAAAAUAUUAGAAUGGAAUUCAAUUACAAGGAUCCAAACGAGGUGUAAUUUAUUUUGGUGCUUGAUGACCAUCACAACCUUAUGGACUAACUAGUUUUUCUAUUUGAUUGAUUCACAUGUGCAUAAGUCUAUCCAUCUCAAAUUUAAAUCGAUUGUCCGAAAUAACAUAAAUUAUUCUGGACAUGAGAGUUUUUUGGAAAAAUUUCUGUGCGUAGACCGUUAGGGCUCUUUCGGCGGACCAUACGCGACACCUCGGACAGGAACUGUGUAAAUUUUAACACUUCUACUACAAACUGUUCAAAGGAGAGAAGAGCACCGUCCGGGACUAAGCGUCGACCGUCCGUCCCUCAGGAGCGGAAUGUCCGCCAGAUGAAAACCAGAAAAACUCGAAGGUGCAGGGUUCGCUAAAAACCAUUUUUGGCGUCCCCGUGGACUGUUCAGGGUGCACGACCGAACCAUCUGCGACUGCCUUAUUUAACAUCUGGCGAAGCAUUUAAUACGCUUAUAGCUGUUUAUAUAGUCGUUACUGCUGGCCGUUGCGAUUCCCGUCGUUGAUGUGCAGGGACGGACCGUCUGCGUGUGGUAGGAAAGUUGACAACGGUAAUAUGAUGGUUGAUGGUUAUAAAUACAACCACUUCCAUUGAAUUUACCCAAGCCUCUACAACUCUCAUUCAUUGCUAAAAGCAAGUUCUUCACUUUAUCCACACUCAAAGCAUCAAAGUCCUCUUCAAGUGAUCAUUAGUGAUUAGUGCUUUAGAAAGCCUCAAGAGAGUGUGACAUUGUGAUUUUGUUGUUGCUCUUUUGGCUUGGUUUUUUUUACCGUGAUUUCUUCAUCUCCUUAUAGACUCUCAUUGACUUGUAAAGCUAGCAAGAGACACUUAAGUGUGUGGUGAUCCUUGCAGGAUCUAAGUGACCUUCAAGAUUAAGGAGAAGCACUCAACCGGUCUAAAUGACCGUUUGAGAGAGGGAAAUGGUUGAAAAUGAUCCGACCUACGUGGCCUACUCAACGGUGAGUAGGUUCUUUGGAACCGAAUCUCAGGAAACAAAUCGUCGUGUUUAUUUGUGUUGAUCAUGACUUUGCGAUUUCAUCGUUUCUCUUUCAUCUCUCUAAAGUCUAAAGUUCUCUUACUUAUCAUUAUAAGUUAGCUUACAAAGUUAUCCACAUUGAUUGGCAAGAAGAACCCUCUUCCGCACUCCGGUUAUAUUCAUAUUUGUUCUAACACUAACCUUGGGAGAAGAUUGUGUUUAAAGUUUAUAAUUUUCAGGUUUUGUCUCUAGACGACUUUCAAUAUUAUUUCAUUUUGUACUCGUUAAUACAAGUGAAGUCAAGUUAAAUUUAGUUAAAUUCUUUUGGUAUAUUGUGUUACACUUGUAAGUUGUUGCUAUGAAAUGAUGAAUUGUCAUGCAUGUUAAAACCUUAAAGACGUAUAUAUAAUAUUACUGUAAGAUUAUGAUGUAUUUGUUACGUUGAUUUGAUCACUUGAAAUGGUUAGAUGUAUUGAUAUUCCUUAUUUUAAUUUCCAGUUUCUAGUCGUUACCGAUAUGUUCCCGAUGGAUUAUAUCGUUUACUGUCAUCCUAUUACGUCUGUUUUAUUUUUCUGACCGACGAUUACGUUGCCGUUUCUGAUUUUAAAUUAAAAAUAUGAAUUUGAAAGUGGUUAGAUGGUUUGCCGACCGUCUAUUUUGAUCCCUAGCAUGGUGUACACAUCCCGCGUGUGAAGUUUCAGACCCGGUCACCGAGAAGCGGCUAUUGGGGAAUGAUCCCAGCUCAGUUCUUGCUUGUUUAGUAGUGCAUGUGCCUCUCUAGACUCUUCUGUCCAAAUCCAAUAAUGACAUUUUUUACAAAUUAAAAUACUCUUUGCUUCUCUAGCAAACUACGCGUUCGGGCGUGGCAUCUACGGAUAGUGGCAUCUAGCAAUAGUCAAAUUCGAUCACAAAAAACAAGUACUGAGCUCUUCACCAUCGUCGUCUUGGCCAAGAUGUCAAACAAGAUAAAUCCUAUAUAAUAGCAUCCUGUUCCAUCAUUAUAUCAAACUAACAGUUUUGUUUUUUUUAUCAUAUCGUGACAUUACCCAGUUGACCAAAUGGUUAAUUUUGAAAAGAGGAGCAUUUGCCGUUUCUUGCAUUGCAAAAGGCACGCAGUUUCCUGUUUGACCUGCAUCCAUAUGUGCCAAGCAUAAAAGCCUGAUGUAUUGAGUGUAUUGGUACUUGGUAGUAAGGUACUACCUUCCUGAUUAGCAUCAUGUACUUCUGCGUGUUUGGUUUCCUAAAGAGGCACAUCAUCAAGCAAAUAGGUGACAUGAUGCUUUAUGUCUUAUUCUUACAUGCAUCUCAGUUUCAUGGUUUCUUCAGUCUUGUUUCUUUCUCUCUGUCUUUUUAUUUGUGUUUUUAUGAAGUUAUGUUCCAAAAUUGACAAAAGGAAUAGCUCAUACACACUUGAUAAUAUGCUUUCUUCUUUUUAUCAGCAUAUUUCUCAAUCCAUUCUAACGUUGUCACUUCCAAAAUCCUGCUGUCGCUCAGGUUAUGAAACCUGCAUUCUUUCCAUUGAGGCAGAUGUUUAGAUGUACCUAUCAUUGUUUAACUUAUAUGGAAUGCUAUGUAGGUUUGUUGAAUGCUCCGAACAAAAGGACUAUGAGUCUGUUUGGUUUCAUACCUAAGACGUCACAAUCUGUCUAACCUUAAUCACUUGAAUUGAAGAAAUAAGGUUAGACAGAAAAGUUAGACACGUUGUGGCGCCUUAGACAGCAAACCAAACGGUCCCUGUGUUUGUCACUUCGUUAACUCUUCACCAAAUUGCAGGCUCACGGAGGAUACGGAAACCGUUUCAGAUUGUUGGAGAAGAUAGAUCAACAGCAGCUGCAGACGACUACAUAUAUGAAGAUGAUUCUGUGAAAAGAUCAAUCUUGAGCUCACCUUUAGUUGAGUUCAGCAGUGUUUAUUCAGCAACAAACAAUUUCAGCGAAAAGCUUGGCGAAGGUGGAUUUGGCCCAGUUUUCAAGGUGGAGCUAGUAUUGGAUAAAUCAUACACUUCCUCCAACUGUUAUGAUAUGGUCAAGUGUCCAAUUAGUUCCUUUCACGUGGAUAACCAUAGUGGAUACUUGAUUCUAUCUCCAGGGGAUACUACCUGACGGCCAAGAGAUCGCUAUUAAGAGGCUAUCUAAGACCUCCGCGCAGGGACUGGAGGAGUUCAAGAACGAGGUGACGGUGCUAUCCAAGCUGCAGCACCGGAACUUGGUGAGGCUUUUCGGUUGUUGUGUUCAUGGAGAGGAGAAGAUGAUGGUGUACGAAUACAUGCCCAACAAGAGUCUGGACUCAUUUAUUUUCAGUAAGUUUUCAGCUACCUGGAGCCCUGAUUCUAUACAGAUACUCUAUACAGUGAGCCAGCAAACGAACCCAAAUUUUUCCUAUGGACAGUUAACACUUCCUAUCGAAAUUUCCAGACGAAAGUAAGAGGCUCGUGUUAGGCUGGAGUCUGCGAUACAAGAUCAUUCAGGGAAUCGGGAGAGGGUUACUGUACCUCCACCAGGAUUCCAGGCUGAAAAUUAUUCACAGGGAUCUCAAGGCGAGCAACGUUCUGCUAGACGAUGAUUUCAGCCCCAAGAUCUCGGACUUUGGCAUGGCUAGGAUUUUCGGUGAACACCAGCUUCAAGACCUUACCCGUCGAAUCGUCGGAACCUAGUAAGGCUAGCUGUUUCUCUCUCUCUCUCUCUCUCUCUCUCUCUCUCUCUCUCUCUCUCUCUCUCUCUCUCUCUCUCUCUCUCUCUCUUUGUCAGUAUACAGUAUAGCUGAACAGGGAGUUCCAAUGCAUUUAUCUACCUCUGUAAUGGCUGGUUUACUGCUGCUAAGUAACUGCGUGAUCUGCAUCUUCUCUGUCGUAGUAGCCUUUGUAAUACUUUCUUACUGCUUCAUUCGGAUAGUAGACUGGUUCACAUCACCUGAUGACGACCUGCAGCUAACGCGAUAGAAUCUGUGGAACGCAGUGGCUACAUCUCCCCGGAGUACGCAAUGGAGGGCAAAUUCUCUGACAAAUCUGACGUAUUCAGUUUCGGCGUGCUGGUCCUAGAGAUCGUGAGUGGCCGCAGGAACAGCUCCCUCCUCGACGAUGAGUGGUCAAUGAACCUCUUGGGCUAUGUAAGAUGACACUGUCUCCUCCUCUACUCAGCAUAUACUUCUUUUCUGUUCAGAAACGAAUGAAUAUAAUAAUGUUCCAGGCAUGGACCCUGUGGAAGGAAGGCAGCGUCUCGGAGCUCAUCGACCCGCUCAUGGGAGCAACGUACGCUUACGAUGAAGCCUGCAGAUGCGUUCAGGUGGGUCUCCUGUGCGUGCAGGAGGUACCAGCCGAGAGGCCAGCCAUGCCCCUGGUGCUCAGGAUGCUGAGUGGUGACGCCGCGAUCCCGUCCCCGAAGCAAGCUGCGUUUUUCGUUGGGAGGGCACCUCGUCUUCCUCCUGCGGAUGACAGUAGUAAUACUGAAUCGGGGAAUCAAUUGACGUGCACGGAUCUUCAGGGCAGAUAGUCUCAGUCUCAGUCUCAGGGUGCACAAGCUUAUUCACGCCGUAUGUCGUAGCCGUACGUGGACAUGGCCUUGUGUUACACAGAUUAUAUUGCUGCUAGUGCUCGUGUUGUAAUUUCGCUGUAUAUAUAUCGUACCCGUAUGUGUGUUGUCGUUUGACACUGUAAAUUGUAAAUGUGAUGCUAGAACUGUUCUUCCUCAUGCACCUUGGAGAUCUAGGAGAGGAUGGCUAUCUACUGCUCUUUGGUUUGGUCCAAUCAAGCCCACGGCAAACGCGGGCCUUGUCAGUACGUCAUCGCGGGACGACAAUUCGGUCAUGGUCGCUUGUCGGUGACACCUCUCGAUCGCUCGCUCGCUGCCUCAGUAAAUUCACCAAACGAAACGAGUGAAGAAGGUGGACUCCCCAGUCCCCACUAGUUUGUCAGUCUCCCAAACAGCUGUCGCCUGUUAAUAGUCGGUGCUGCUACGAGCAGACGUCUAGCAACUAGUCUCAAGAGUCUCUCUCCAGGGUUUGCUUUCAGACGCGAUGUGAGGCAUGCAGCGUAUAAACUUGACCAUGUGGCAUAACUAGCAGUGGAUACGCAAGAGACCACUUGUUAAGCCACAUCACCGUCCAUAUUUUGGUUGUGUUUCUUUUAUACAAUAACAAAACUUGAUAUUGUGCGUGCUAGCUAGGAUGAUCUAGCCGUGUACACCUUCUAGAGCGCUUAUUAGAAACGUACGUGCAGUUUGUAUAUAUAAUUAAAUUGUUAUUUCUUAGUUGUAACAAUACAUAUUUUUUGUUCUAGAAUGUUGGCGCUGCCUACCGGAAUGUGCAGCUCGACGGCGAUCGGUAACAUAGGAAUUGUGUCUACCGCGUCGCACAAUCCUCUAACACACGCGAACACAAGAGAAUGCCGCUACCAAGAGUUGCAGCCUUUUCGGUUUCAUUUGUUCCUCUUAUAUACUGGUGUUUACACGAACUGCAUCUUAAGACCCCCCGUUAUGCAUGACCAUGUUGCGUCGUGCUCGGCUAAAACGCGAGGAUGUUUCAUGGUUGCACCGUGAACAUAGCUCGUUCUCACAUGCAGCUAGUUAAAAAUAGUUAAGCAAACACGCAUUACCAAAUUACAUGAAUGGGAAUGCAAAUCAUGCACGAGAUUGACCCCCUAAUCCCAUUGCACAUCGAUCACUCCUUGCUGCUGCCUUAGCUCGAUGAAUCCGACCUUGCCAAGUGCCUUUGUCAUCAACUAACUGGUUCUGUGUGCUCACAUGGUUGAUGUCAAUCAUGUAUUUGUCAACACAUUCUCUAAUAAAAUAGUACCUUGUAUCUAUGUGCUUGCUUCGUUCAUGAUGAACUGGAUUUUUUACUUAGUGCUAUGGCAGACUUGUUGUCAACUAGGAGAUUGACUUUUUGAGGCUUAAUACCAAGCAGUUCACUCAAUAGGUGCCUAAGCCAAAUUCCCUGACAAGCUGCAUUUGCACUUGCAAUGUACUCAGGCUCACAUGAUGAAAGGGCAACUACCCUUUGCUUCUGUGACACCCAUGUGACCAAAUUCAUACCAACAAAGAAUACUAAGCCACUAGUACUUUUCAUGUCAUCUAUGUUGCUACCUAAGCCACUGUCACUAAACCUAAUUAAUAUGGCUUCAGCGGUUCUAGACCUCGUGUAUCUACAACCAUAGUUUAGAGUUCCAGCAAUAUACCGAAGUAUUUGCUUAACUGCUUCCUAGUGGCUCGUCCUUGGUGUCUCCGUGCAUGUAUCUGCUCACGACACCUACUACAAACGCAAUAUCUGGCCUGUCCCGUGUUAACAAUAUAUCUCAAGUUCCCAAUCACACUCCUAUACUUUGUUGUAUCGACAAGGGGAGACUUAUCUUCCUUGCUCCGUUUCAACUUGUUCUCCUCUAGAACAUGAUAGGGGUUGCACCCUUUUAUUCCUGCUUGCUCAAGAAUCUUUAGAGUAUAAGAACUCUGACACAAGGUUGUCUUUCUCUCAUUAUGAUCUACACGCGAACACAGGAGAAUGGCGUUGCCCAGAGUUACAACCUUUUUGGUUUUAUUUGUUUCCUUAUAUACUGGUGUUUACAUGGUCUGAGCCUCACGACCCUCCCGCCUUGCAUGCUCACAGUGUGUCGUGCCCGUCUAAAACGUCGAGGAUGUUUCAUGCACGAUAUGGCGAUGACCACUCUGGCCGCACCGGCCGUGAACGCAACACGGUUCUAGCUUCAACAUGGCUCGUUCUCACACACAAUUAGCUAAAAUUAGUUAAGCAAACAUGCAAUACCAAAUUAGAUGAAUAAUACCAAAUUAGAUGAAUGUGAAUGCAAAUAAUGCACAGGAUUAACUAACUAACAGAGAAAAAUAAACAGGGAAAGAACUGCUGAUGCCUGAUCUGCUAUACAACAACAACACUACUCUUUUGUAAAAGUUCCCAUGAACAUGAAGUUUUUGGUAAUAUUCCAGCAACAUACAUGAAUUCGCUAGUAUAUAUACUUUUGCUGCUGCUUCCUGCAACUGCAAUGCUCGUGUAAUCGUGUACCACUAACCAAUACCGCCGUGACAGAUCCAACUCCAAGAUCAGAAAUCGAGAUGAAUGGAGUCGCCGCGUGCUUCGUCGUCGUCUACGUGAGAAUGAUAGAUGGAGUCGUCGUGGGCUUUUGCUUCGCCGUCUACGUGAGAUAGAUGGAGUCGCCGUGUGCUCCAGACGACGCGUCCUGCGUCGCGAGAGGAGUGGCGGCGGCAGCGGCAGCGGCACUGCGGUGCGAACGGAUCUGCGAGCUGCUGGUGCCGUUCACCGUCAGCAUCGCGACUACUUCAGCCAUGGAUGGCCUGUCAGCUGGCGACUGCUGCACGCAGAGAAGGCCGACCUGCACGCACCUCUCCAGCCGAAGGAGGAUCUCUGGCCCCGGCUGGCCCACGGCUGGAUCCAGAAGGUUCUCCUUGAUCUUAUUCUGGCUCCAAGACUCCCGUGCCUACAGAAGAUGCAGCGAAAAUAGUGCGCUUCAAUUCAUGGACAAAAGGGGGUCACCUAGCUCUAGCUUCUUGCACAAACUCCCGGCCGGUGGAGUAUAGCUGUUUGCUCACAUCGGAAACGAGCGUCUGGUUGCUGCUGUUCCUUUGGCCACUGACGAUCUCGAUCAGGACGACUCCAAAGCUAUACACGUCGCACUUCAGCGUCAGGCUCGGCCCUCGCGCCGUGUACUCUGGAGCCCUGUAUCCCCUUUUGGCAGUAUAAUCAGUUCAGCAAGUUCUUAAUCUAACCCCCCAAAAAAAACACAGUUCAGAAAGUUGACGAGGAGGUCAGGGUUUCAGCCAUACUCUGUCUGUACCAGUGUCGGAUUCGUCUGGCCAUCGACGAACACUUUGGCGGUGCCAAAAUCUGCAAUUUUUGCUCUCCAGUUUCCGUCCAAGAGCACGUUGGACGGUUUCAGAUCCCUGUGUAUCACCACCUUGCUUAGUCCGUGCAGAUAAGCAACGCCUCUGGCGACUCCUACGAUGAUCUCCAGCCUCCGCUCCCAGUUCAACACAGCGCGUUGGUUGGCGUCUCUUGCUGUCAGUCACACAGAGAACAAGUGAGAGCUCUGAAGUAGCAGAAGAACAUAUAUUAUGGGAUCAUCUCAUCUGUACAGAUGUCAAUAAUCUGCGCGUUAUUAUUAUUAUUAUAAAUCUAAAGCAAGUACCGAAUAUGCAUAGGUUCAAGCUCCUGUUCUCCAUGUACUCGUAGACCAGUAUCCGCUCAUUUCCGUCCUUGCAGUAAGCAAGGAGACGAGCGAGGUUCUCGUGCUUGAGCUCUGACAUCACUUCCACUUCUCUCAUGAAAGUCUCACCACCUCCAUCGGUAAGGUAAGAUUGUGUGAGCCUCUUCACGGCAACCUUGGUACCAUCAGCUAAAUUGCCCUGGUAAUUGCACAGUUAUGUUAUUAGUUGCGCACGUCCAACGGUAAAUACACUACUUCCAGCGCAAAAGCAGGUAUGAUGUGAUUAUGAGAUACGCCUACAUUUAGUCAAAGAUGAAUUUUUUUUUGGAGUUCCGUCCUUCAAGAUGAAAGCUGAUGCUUUGAUUACUCAUCUUUGUUACGUGAGCAACGACCAUAUUAGUAUACCAACUAUCGGGAGUAUUCUACUUGUCAAGAUACAUAGCGAGAAGUUCAUUUAUUUUGAGAUAGACGAACUAUGCCAUCAUAGCGUUUGAUGAAAUAUACUAACACGAACCUCAAAUACGGUGCUGAAUCCUCCACGCCCAAUGACAUUGUCUGCAGAGAAAUCAUUUGUAGCCCUCCUCAAACUAGACAGGUCAACAGAAGGGACUGACGGAGGUCUGCGCAGUUCAGUAGAAGGGACACUCGGAGAGGCACUCUGAGCAGCUGGAAAACUCAGCACAGGCGUUAGCAUGCAUGGUGUGUUGCCCGCUGUUGGCAACCUGAAAUGCUCGAAGUGAAGUGGGGAAGAACAGAAAAUUGGGUCAGUAAUUUUACCUGGGAUUAUUGGUCGCCGGCGCCGCCUAAUCACAAGCACGACCGACAGAACAAUAAGAACCACGGCGACGGCAGCUGCGGAAGCACCAACAACUGGUGCGGUACGAAACGGCCGUUGCGGCGAGGGCCCCGCCGCCGCCGGCAGCUCGGACCUGGCCAGCCUCAGGUAGAGAUCUUGCCCUUUGUCCACGUAUCGGAGGUCGACGAUGUCAUCCGUCCACAUCACGCAGCCGCUACGGACGUCGCCGCCGCGGAUAUCUGCGGCGGCGUAGGCCAAGCACGAGCAGUUGGCGAGGCACCUCGCCGCGCAGUCCUCCACCGUGAUGCUCAUGUCCACCGUCGCGUUGUGUGUGUCCGGUAGCUUCACUCCGCGGACCAACAGGAAACCGUCUGUCGUCGUCGUCGUCCCACUCCCGUUAUUGGCACAGUCCAGCUUCACGUUCCGCUUGCAUCCGCCUGAGGUGUCCCUCAAGGACCACGCGGGCGGCGACGCCGGGCUGAACCCCGUGAGGCAGGUGCAGAACCACGUCGACGCCGCGCCGGCGUCGCACAGCCCGAACGCCCCGCACUUGCCGUAGGCGUCGCAGACGUCCCUGGGGCCCUGGAAGAAGGUCUGCCACGUCCGGGCGCCCGCGUCCCACACCAGGCGCUUGGCCACGCCGGCGUCGGUCAGCACGACACGGGUCAAUGCGGCACCGGGGUUGGAGGUGUAGCCGUAGGAUACCUCCGCUGGGCUUGUCGUCACCUGGUACCAGAUCAAGUUCCUGUACGCCGACACCUCCGGGACGCCGCUGAACCACCGGCCGUUCCACGGGCCGGUGCGGUAGGUCCUGACGUUGCCCUCCCACACCACAAGCUCGGGCAGCCCGCUGGUGUCCAGCGCGCGGCGGUAGGCCCCCGGCGACGGGUCGUCGGCCGAGCGCCACGACGUGAGGUACCACUCGGCGCCGGUCCACUUGUUCUUGCCCAGCUUCAUGCCGGACAGCAGGGUGUUCGACGGGUGAUCGAACGAUUGCCACAGGAUGGCGUCGCUGCUGCUGCUGCUGCCUCCGUCGCGGACGACGAGGUUGCCGGAGUUGAGGAGCUGCGCCUCCGCUGAUGACGAUGAGCUGGUGGAGUUCGACGACCAUAUGGUCUGGCCAGAGCCGUCUAGAAGCAGAAGGCUUCCCGUGUCUCUGACGACCAGCACGCCGGAGUUGCCAUUCACAGGGCGGCCACCGUUCGCCACCCAGCAGACGGCGACACUGGACGCCGAGAACCAGAUGCCGAGGUAUCUCUUGGUCGACGCCCCGGGAGAGAAGAAUCCCAAGGUGAACGUCCCGUCGGCUGAGACGAGCGUCUCGCCGUCGGUGAUGUUGCGGCCCUUGCCGAGCGUGUCGGACUCAGGUACGUCGGCGGCGAUGGCUAUGGGACGAAGUAUCAUAAACGAGAGGAGGAGAAGGUGGACGAAUAUUGUAUCCAUGAUGAUUGGGGAUUCUGGGUUUAGCCCUUGCACGCCUCCAGGCGCUGAUAAGAGAGGAGACUUCGAAGCAUCACCAUCUCGGAUAGAUUAAAGCCCCACCUAGCGGCCAAAUGUUUUUUCUUUCAUUUUUUUUUGUUAAUGUUUGUAAUUUCGUAUGAACAGAAAGUAACAUGCACUUCGCUCAAUUCGGAAGACAUCAGCUAGGUCAAAGUUUGACCUUGUCAAGUUUGAUUUCUAGCGUAUUGUGUAAGAGGAGAAGACCCUAGAUCUUUGGAUAUUACAAUUACAAUUCAUAAAUGCCACUUGCAUUUUCACUGCCGGACUACUUGCAGGUCUUUGUAGGCAACCUGUUUGUGUUAUAUUCUGCAUUUCUAUGCUACACGCCCGUUCAAAUAACAUAAACUAGAUCAGUGAUUGGGAAAAAUAGGAUGAAUGGAUGAAAGUCAACUUCCGUGGUUGGGCUUUCUUGCUUCUCAUAUUUAAUUUCAAGUUGUUUUUGGGAGACGUGGUGACAUAUCCCACGAAGAAGCUCACCAUCACCGAUGAUUGUUAAUAUAGUGAUGUCCUGAUUGUACGUCCCCCUAAUUAAACUCAUCGCUGAAUUUCGAAAACAUCUUCAAACAACAAACAUAACUCAUCCCUCAACUUUUAAAACCGGUAAGAUACCCCCUGUGACAAUUUUAGAAUGGUUUCUUGAGUAGUUUUCCUGGUGGGAUCCACUGGUUAGGGCCUGUUCGGUUAGCUCUCAAUCCAUGUGGAUUGAGUGGGAUUGGAUGAGUUUGAAUCCCAAAUAAGUCAAACUUCUUCUCAAUUUUUUCCAAUCCCAUCCAAUCCAUGUGUAUUGGGAAUAACCGAACAAGCCCUUAGGUGGUCUCUCUCUUACUUUUAAACUGAAAAGUCACUUUUUCAGUCGGACGAAUAAAAUAACUUGUAUAGCUUGACUUGAUCUAUACUAGUCCUGGACGAUGACAUAGUUUAUAUCAAAGUUAUAUACCUCAAUGAAAUCUAUAACCUUAUGGUUGAAAACCCUUUUAUUGAUAGGUCCAAAUAUUCACUACAUGUUCUCUACUUAUUAAUUUCACUUUUUUAAAUUUUUUAAAAUGGCCUCGAGUACAGAAACGCUUUAUGCCAAAUUUGUAGUGCUAAGAGAGAUACGACACUUUAUACUUGAAUUUUAUUUUAUUUGAAAUCAUUUAGGAGCUCAAAUAUUCAAUAAAAGAUUGCAUGACUUCAAAAGUUCAAAACAUGUGGAGCCCGCAAGCCACAUAAAUCCCUAAACAAUUAAAACAACCGUCAAAUCAAGUCUGAAUUAUUGUAGAAGUAAAUUGAAAUCUCUUUUUUUUUCCUCACCAAACAGAAGAGUGAUAUAUAGACUACAUCAUAAUAGUUAAACUACUCUAUAUUCUUCUCUCAGGAUCGCUUAGUCAACCUUAAGAACGAGGCUACAAAGAUACACAAGUCAAACUGCAUUCAAAUUUCCAAUCUGAUCGAGUAGUUUGGAGAAGACAUAUAAACUCAAGAAAACGACAUUGAAAUUUUGUAAAAUUCUUAUGUUCUGUUAUGUGCGACAUAUCCUCGUAUAGGGAAUAGGAGGCUAAAUCAUGAGUAAAGAUCUGAUUUAUAAGAAGCAGAUCUUCAUAUUGCACGAAGACAAGCUUUCAUGAUCUUUCUCGACUGAGAAUUCGAUUAAGUUUUUUAUAAAUAUAAUACUAUGGGGACAACCUUUUUAAACGAAAGAAUCCUUUUAAUAUUUUGUAAGGCCAUUUGAUAGUCUAAAUCUAAAUACCAAAAUAAUAAAUGUCAAUUGUUGGUGUAGAUAGAAGAAUUCGCCGAGGCUUGGCUUUCAUGAGAGAAGCGGAACUGAUGUUAGAACUAAGGCGCAUAUGGGAAUCUUAUUCGGCUCCUUGCUUAUCUCCAUCUCCACGGAGAAUUAGGCCUCUUUUAGAUCAAAGGAUAAUUUCCUAGAUCCUAUGUUUUUCGUUUUUUAACUAAUUAUUGUAAAUUUUAGAGAGUAACUAAAUCAAUAAAUCUGGCUAAUCUAUUGCUAAGUAAAUAAACGUUUGUUUCAGGUAUUACAAUGAAAGUUGGUUUGGUUGAGGGGUUUUAGUAGUGAUAGAGGCUGGUCAAGCACAUUUAUAUUAAGCACACGUACAGCCCACGAAACAGCCCCAAUCGGCCCAGUCCACGAAACAGCCCCAAUCGGCCCAGCCCACGAUGUAACCCUAGUCCCUAGAUGUUUAAGGAGCAGCUGUGUUGCCGCAUUCACAUACCUAUCCCUGUUGGUCGCCCCUCCUGGAGCUCGCCGCCGCCCUCUCGCUUUAUUUUCCCGACCACAACGCCACCGCCCGACGCAAAGUUGCCGCUCCCUGAGUCUCGACAACCGGUGAGCAGCCUCCUCCUCCACCAUCGGUCUCCUCCUCUGUCGAGCUCCUGUGUCGGGUACCUCCCUGACUUGCCUGAGUCGCCUCCACCAGUCCACCGGCGUUCGUGUCGCAGCGAGUCAGUCCACCGGUGUUCCCCAGGCAGCCGGCCAGCGGCGGACGCUUUCAGGCGUCGAGCUUCUGCUCCUUCGGCGUCCAGGCAUCGGGCGCGUCUGGUGGCGCAGCGGCGGGCGACCUCCUUCUCCAACGUCGAGCUCUUAGUUGUAGUCUAAGGGUUAGUUCGGGAAUCCCAUUUUUCCAAGGGAUUUUGAUUUUCCCAAGGAAAAUUAGUUCAUAUUCUCUUGAAAAAAUAGGAAUCCCAAGUUCCCAAACUAACCCUAAACGGGGAAUUCACGGGGUUCUCCGUUAGGGCCCAUAUACCCGAACGGGGACAGGGAACGGGGAAAAAACUUUCCCCACGACUGGGGACGGGGAACGGGGAAAAACCGGUGUCGCGGGGACGGGGACCGGGACGGGGCACUUCCCCGCCGGGGAAUGAACCCAUUACCAUCCCUUGCAUAUCUAUCUAGCACUAUUGUCACGUUCUUUUGUACUGAUGACAAGGUUAGGUUUAAAUGAUGCUAUCUGGAAAAACUUGAACUGUAUAUCCUAGUUCCUAAUUACCUAUCAUGAAUCACCAACAUUAUAUAAUUUUUUGUCAUUUGUGAACAAUCCAAUUUGAGGUGAACCCUGCAUUUGGAUCUGAUCUAAUUACAAGUGUAUACAUUUAUUAUACUAACCUCGACUGUUUGAAAAAAAUUGGGUACUACAAUUAGUGAGGAUGGAGAUGUAAGUUUGGGAGGCCAGAUAGUACCAAAGAAGGACACCUUCUGUUAUUUGGGAUCGAUACUUCGGAGAGAUGGUGAUAUUGAUGAAGAUGUUAGCCAUAGAAUCAAAUCGGGGUGGAUGAAAUGAUGUCAAGCAUCCAAAGUCCUAUGUGACAAGAGAGUGCCACAUAAGUUGAAAGACAAGUUCUACAUGACAGGGAUUAGGUCUGCUAUGUUAUAUGGGGCUGAAUGUUGGUCUACUAAGAGACGACAUAUCCAACAACUAAGUGUCGCAGAGAUGUGUAUGUUGCGUUGGAUAUGUGGGCACACAAGAUUGGAUAGAGUGAGAAACGAUGACAUAUGUGAUCGGAUAGGAGUAGCACUAAUUGAAGAAAAAGCUUAUUCAACACCGGUUGAGAUGGUUUGUGCAUGUCCACCGGAGACCCCGGAGACCCUAGAGGUACCGAUGCAUAGAGGCAUCAUAAGAUGAGACAGUAAUGUGAAGAGAGGUAGAGAUCGACCAAACUUGACAUGGGAGGAGGCAAUCAAAAAGGACUUGAAGGAAUGGAAUAUCCCAAUGGAGUUGUGUUUGGAUAGAAGUGCUUGGAAAUAAGCUAUCCACGUGCUUGAACCGUGAUCAUGCAUUUUUUUCUUUUAGUGCUCUCAAAAGCUUUUCCCUCUCCCUUCUCUCUCUUUCCCCUUUUGGUGACAUCUUGUUGGAUUUCAACUCUAGCCUACCUCAACUUGCUUGGGACUAAAAGACUAUGUUGUUGAUGUGUACCCCCAUGUCGUCCGCCCCUGCUAGCUGAACUCCAUCUUCUGUUUCAUAGUCACUCGUUUUGUAGAGUAUUUUUUUAAGAAUUGAUUCAUUGUGAUACUCUCUUCAAAUUUGUACUCAAAUUAUUUUACUCUUGUGUCAGUGAUGUCUGCAGUUUAAUGCAGUUUCCGCUCCUGUUUUUAUUGUUAAUUAUUGCUCAUUCUAGGUGUACUCUUUGCAGAGCAAGCCUUCUAGAAGUUAAGGAAGCAGCAGAACCAUGGCAUCCCGUUUCUGGGGACAGGUACUUGCUUUCUCUUGCGUAAUGGUACCAGCGUGCCAGUAUGUUUGUUAUGUGCAUACUGAAGUAAUUGAAGCAAUUGCUGUUGAUGCAAGAAUCUAACACUUGCCUGGUCCUUUGCAACUUCAGGGGGACAGUGAGUCUGAGGAGGAGGAGGUGGAAGAAGUUGAGUCAGAACAGGGCAGUGAUAGUGAUGAUGAUGGAGGUCGAGGUGGUGCGGGACGCGGUGCCCAAAACCGAUACUUGAAGAAUCAAGAAGAUGACAGCGAUGAGUCUGAUACAGGUCACCGUGUGAUCCGCUCCCUGAGGGACAAGCGCAACGAGGAGAUGAGAUCUAUUGUUGAUCAGAUGCGUAAUGCAAUGAAGAUCAAUGACUGGGUGAGCUUGCAGGAGAGUUUUGAGAAGCUUAACAAACAUCUUGAGAAGGUUGUUCGUGUCAAUGAAUCUACUGAGGUACCAAAAAUGUAUAUCAAAGCUCUUGUGUUGCUGGAGGACUUCCUUGCUGAAGCCCUUGCAAACAAGGAGGCCAAGAAGAAGAUGAGCAGCAGCAAUUCGAAGGCAUUCAAUGCGAUGAGGCAAAAACUCAAGAAGAACAACAAGCAGUAUGAAGAGCAGAUCCAGAAGUGCAGGGAGCAUCCAGAGAGUUUUGAAGAUGAAGCUGCAGAUGAUAAAGAUACGGAUGAUGACGAUGUUGAUGAAAGUGAUGCAGAGAUUGAAGAUCCUGAUAAAAUAGCUAUGUCAGAAUCAGAAGAGGAACAAGAUGAAGAGGAUGAUGACAAGGAUGGUUGGGAACAGAAAAGGAGUAAGAAGGAUAAGCUGAUGGAUAAGCAGUUCUUGAAAGAUCCAAGUGAAAUCACAUGGGAUAUUGUCGAUAAGAAACUCAAAGAGAUUGUAGCAUCUAGGGGAAAGAAAGGUACUGGAAGGAUCGAGCGUGUUGAGCAGUUAACAUUUUUGACCCGUGUGGCCAAAACACCAGCUCAGAAGCUUGAAAUCCUCUUCCAUGUGAUUUCUGCGCAGUUUGAUGUUAACCCUAGUCUACUUGGGCAUAUGCCAGUCAAUGUGUGGAAGAAGUGUGUCAAUAAUAUGCUUCUUGUGCUUGAUAUACUCCAGCAGUAUCCUAACAUUGUAGUAGACACCUCGUUUGAGCCUGAUGAGAAUGAAACUCAAAAGGGUGCAGACUACAAUGGAACAAUACAUGUUGUGGGUGACCUGGUUGCAUUCCUUGAGAGACUGGACUCUGAAUUUUUGAAGACCUUACAGUGCACAGAUCCGUACACAAAAGAUUAUGUUCAGAGGCUCAGAGAGGAACCCCUGUUUCUGGUUGUCGCACAGAACGUCCAAGAUUAUCUUGAAAGGGUUGGAAACUUCAAAGCUGCUGCCAAGGUUGCACUGCGCCGUGUUGAACUAGUUUACUACAAGCCCCAAGAAGUGUACGAUGCAAUGAGAAAACUCGCAGAGCAGCCUGAGGACUGUGUGGACGAUGAUGAUGCAGAGGCUGGUGAUGAACAUAAAGCAGUAGAUGACAAUAGAGGACCAUCACCAUUUGUUGUGAUUCCAGAGGCUGUGCACAGGAAGCCUACUUUUCCAGAGAGCGGUAGAACUUUGAUGGAUGGAUUGAUGUUCUUAAUCUACAAGUAUGGAGAUGAAAGGACCAAAGCCCGUGCAAUGCUGUGUGACAUAUAUCACCAUGCGAUCUCUGAUGAGUUUUCAGUGGCUCGCGACUUGCUUUUAAUGAGUCAUUUGCAAGAUGGUAUUCAGCUCAUGGACAUAUCAUCGCAGAUUUUAUUCAAUAGAGUCAUGGCCCAGUUAGGGCUGUGUGCUUUCAGGGCUGGUUUGAUAAAUGAAGCCCAUGGUUGCUUGACUGAGCUCUAUUCUACUGGGAGGGUGAAAGAAUUGCUUGCACAAGGUGUGCAACAAAGCCGAUACCAUGAAAAAACUCCCGAACAGGUAAAAUAAAACCCCUAUGCAAUUCAUCCUGUUUUUCUUGUAAAUGCUGUUUUCAUAGCCCUUAACCCUAAUCACACAAGCAAGACCCUUGUUUGAAAAUUUCAUGUGAAAUUGAUAAUAUUCACACAGUAAUAUCUCUUGCUUGCAUCUGUUAAUUAUUUAUGUUUCUGUUGCUUUUUGAAUAUGAUAUAUAACGCUUUAUCCUGUUGUAUGCAGUAAUUCUGACCCAAAUCACAAAUCUUGACUUUUUUGUAUAUUGAGCUGUAUUCAUUUUCGUUAUGCAGAUGUAGGUCUUUUGUGGUAUUUGUAGUUAAUCUUGUUUUUAUUAAUAGUAGAGCUCACCACAUAUAAAUUUAUAUUGUAAAAAAUGGACAGACCCAUUGCUGGCAUGAGUGGGGUCUGGGGAAGGAAUAACCGAGGCAAGCCUUACCCCUGCAUUUUGCUCAGAGGCUGCGUUGAAUACAGGGCCUUUGGCUCAGUGAAAAGUCUUCCCACCACUGCGCCAAGCCUGUCCUUAUAAUCAUCCAUGCUGUUCGCUGCAGCUAGUUUGCAGCAGCAGCUGCUGCUCGGCUGUUGUUCAUACAGCGGCAUGCCGUUCGCUUGAGCUUAAGCUAGAAAGUAGCAGCCAGCCGUGGUAAAGCCAGCCGAACAAGAUCUUUUCCUUAUAUUAAACUACUACAAUUGUAGUCUAUAAUUUAAAGAUUAUACAAUACAUAUAAUUUUAUAUAUUAUAUAUUCUUUUAAUUGUAGACUACAAUUAGGGUAGUUUUAUACAAGGAUCAAAAGAUGAUUCUUUUCCUUUUGGUUAUAUCAGUGCUAAUGCAGCCCUAUCACUGCAGGAAAGACUUGAGAGGAGAAGACAAAUGCCUUACCAUAUGCAUAUAAACCUGGAGCUUUUGGAAGCCACACACUUGAUCUGUGCGAUGCUGAUUGAAGUCCCCAAUAUGGCUGCCAGCACCUAUGACAAGCGGAGACCUAUGAGCAAAACAUUCCGAAGGCUUCUUGAAGUGAGUGAAAGGCAGACAUUUGUUGGGCCGCCCGAGAAUGUGAGGGACCAUGUAAUGGCUGCCACAAGAGCCCUCAACAAGGGUGAUCACCAAAAGGCUUUCAGUGUCAUAAAUUCGUUGGAGAUUUGGAAGCUUUUGAGGAACAGAGAGCAUGUCCUUGAGAUGUUGAAGCUUAAGAUCAAGGAGGAAGCUCUUAGAACCUAUCUCUUUUCAUACUCGUCUUCGUACGAGUCCUUAAGCCUUAACCAGCUCACUACCAUGUUUGAUCUCAGCGAGCAGCAUGCCCACAGCAUUGUUAGCAAGAUGAUGAUGCAUGAAGAGCUUCAUGCUAGCUGGGACCAGCCAACAAAGUGCAUCGUAUUCCAUAGUGUGGACCAAACUAGGCUUCAGGGGCUACUCUUCCAGAUGGCAGAUAAGCUCUCGGUCCUGGUGGAGAUCAAUGAGAGGGCAUACGAGGCAAGAACUGGUGGUGCUCUCGAGGGGGUACCGCCCAGGCGCAGGGGCGAGGGUCAGGAUAAUAUGGGAAAGUGGCAGGAUAACUUUGUCUCGUCACAGGGGCGGCAGGGUGGUGGCAACAGGUUUGGAUACUCCAGCAGAGGUGCAGUAUCUGGUCAAAGUGGUGGUGGACACCAGAGGGACAGGGGCAAUCAGGGUUACCGCGGGGGCUAUGGUGGCGUUUCAAGGUUUCAGGAUGCAAGGGGUCGCAACCAGUCUAAUCCAUCAGGCAGAGGUGGUGAUGGUGGUGCACGCAUGGUGAACCUGAACAGGGUUGGUAGAGUUUAGAAGUGAUAAUUUUCAGCUCAAGUAAUCCUGAAAUUCUCCUAAAAGCCAAGUUCUGAAUCACUGCAUUUUACAUAGUUUCCUGUUCUGGGCUGAGUCAUCUACCUGUUUCCUACAUUUCGUUGUAGCCUUUUAAAUUAAGGGGCUAAGAAAUUGAACUAAGAGUUUGGUACUGUUUUGUGGGAGUGUGACGAUGUAUUCGCUCCAAUAUUUGAUAUCUAUCCGUGACACUUGCUAUAAACUGUACUUUUCUUUGUGUUAUGUGGUGUUCAUUGGGUUAUGAAAAAGAAAAAGGCAUGUCGAAGAGAGAAGAUCGUUAUUCUAUUCGCGUUCGGUAAGGUAAGAUUGUGUGAGCCUAUCUCUUUUCCAUCGGCAAGGUAAGAUUGUGUGAGCCUCUCCCUGGUACCAUCAGCUAAAUUCCCCUGGUAAUUGCACAGCGCAAAGCAGGUGUGAUGUGACUGUGAGAUACGCCUACAUUUAGUCAAAGAUGAAAUUUAUUUCAGAGUUCAGUCCUUCAAGACGGAAGCUGCUGCUUUGAUUAUUUAUCUUUGUCACAUGAGCAAUGGUACUAGUAUACCAACUAUCGGAAAUAUUCUACUCGCUCCGGCCUAAAAUAAAUCUAGCUAGACUGGCACUUGUCUAGAUACGUAGCGAGAAGUUGAUUUAUUUUUAGAUGGAUGAAGUAUGUCAUCAUAGCGUUUGAUAAAAUACACUAACACGAACCUCAAAUACGGUGCUGAAUCCUCCACGGCCAAUGACAUUGUCUCUACAGAGAAAUCAUUUGUAGCCCUCAUCAAAGUAGACAGUUCAACAGAAGCAACUGAUGGAGGUCUGCGCAGUUCAGUAGAAGAGGCACUUGCCGUCUGUCAUCGUCGUCGUCGUCCCACUCCCGUUAUUGGCACUGUCCAGCUUCACGUUCCGCUUGCAUCCGCCUGAGGCAGGUGCAGAAGGACGUCGACGCCGCGCCGGCGUCGCAGACGUCCCUGGGGCCCUGGAAGAAGGUCUGCCACGUCCGGGCGCCCGCGUCCCACACCAGGCGCUUGGCCACGCCGGCGUCGAUCAGCAUGACAUGAGUCAAUGCGGCGCCGGGGUUGGAGGUGUAGCCGUACGUAGGAGGAUACCUCCGCUGGACGAGUCAAAGAAGCGCUCGCUCGACAGCUCGUCGUCAUCAGCCAGAGCCAGCGCCUUGGGUCGUCAACGCCCCGCUGCUGAAUUGGUCCGUCCCCGUGCUGCGUAGCAAAAGAGGCGACGACGCUGACGGCUGACGCCGUCGCCAUGGUCCGCACCGCACCUGCCUUGCUGCCCGACGCAGGGCGUCAGUUAUUUAGAACCGUCGCUGUUGCCGUGACCUGUCCUGCUUCAGAAUCACUCAAGCUUGGACGAAUCGUCGGAGCAAGGGAACUGAUCUGACGAGCUAGCGAGCCCGGCAAGGUCAAAGUUUAAUUAAAGUGCUUGUCCUUGCCGUUCCACGUUGUUCUCUAGAGACUGGCUAGAGUGACGCAGUGGCUGCAAAUGGGCCGGUUGCGCAUGUCUUGCCGAUCGAUCAGACACACACACAAAAUGACACAAAAGUCAGCAGCCCCCGCCAACCACCGGGAAAGGAAGACGUCACUGCAAAAUCCUACGAUCGUAUCGUAUUGGUUUUUUAUCGAUUCUAGCAGAUUUUUACCCGGCCUGUUGCACCGUCAUGAGGUAAUAAAGUAUACGUCGUCCUCGUCUUGCAUGUUCACCAGGACUUUGUAGCCGCCCAGGCCACUGGGCCAGCAUCAGUUCAGACGGAGAGUACAGAACAAUGGAGAAGAGAAGACCCAACGCAUUCAGUGAAGAUGCAGCUAACACAGGCUGUUUUUUUUUUUGACUGUCGGGAAGAGAGUAUCCCCACCUAAAUUUUAUUGAAUUGAAUCCGACGUACCAAAGCUACACCGUAACCGUCUCAUUCUUUUAAAACUAUCUUCAGUGGCUUACCUUAACAAUACAGUCUACAAGACUAUAUAAGUGAAUUGUUGGACACGAUCAAAAGAGACAAAACUCUAUGUAGUGUUUGGUUGAGAAGCCAAAUAGAACGGAUCCGUUCCAUCCCUGAUUCUAGGAACGGAGCCGCUCUGUUCUGUGUUUGGUAAGCUGUAACGGAGCGGCUCUGUUUUUUGUUUGGUUGCAGAGUGAACUGGAACAAAGCGGCUCUGUUUUUUGUUUGGUUGCAGAAGGAGGCGCGUGAGCUGCUGCGUACGGAUGGGAGGACGAGCUGUGGGAGCGGGCUAGGGACGGAGCGGCUCCGUCCUAUUGAUUUUUUGGAGUGGGAUGGUUCCGGAUCUGAGGAGAAUAUUUCCUAAUUGGAGCCACUCCGUUCUAGUUACUUUGUAACCAAACAACAACAAAACUGAGACAAAACGACUCCGUUCUACUUGGCUCUUCAACCAAACACUACCUAAUUAACGUUACCGAAGACUAUAGUUAAAAACAGCUGGUCAGGUGCUAGCACAAUUCAGUAAAUACUUCAGCAACACAGAUUACAACACAGGAGUGAUGGAUGUGGCAUCCUUACGUGUACUGUAUAUACUAUACCAGUGGCAGCAUCAGUCACGUAUCAUCUGUGAGCUAGCAUAGUGCCAUAUAUAGGGUGCGAGUGCGACGGGAGACAGCGAUGUCUGAUAGACGGUAUUUGAUUUUGGGGACGAACUGGAUAUGUAUAAAUAAAUCUCAUAGGAGAACAUUCCUUUUAGAUAAUGGAUAUUUCUACCCAAAAAAAUGUCUGAUGAGCUCAUCUAUAUUUUUCUAAUCUGUGUCACUAGUAAAUAAUUAAGAAUUGUCAGUAUGUUAUAUUAUCAUUUAGCAAUUAUAAUAUCAAAACUAACUUUUAUAAGUGCUAAUAUGCUAGUUAGUGUAUAAUCUGUAUGCUAUUUAAAAUAAUUACGAUCCUAUGUAUUUUAUUUAUUGGUAUAACAAAAGUAGAGUUAGUGUAUAAUUAUUAAAUAUAUAAUUAGUUGUUAUUUAUAAAUAAAAUUAAUUAUUUAUCCUCGCCCCUAUAAGUACGACCUUGUAAAUUUGUCAAUGUUGUUAAAUUGGCUAACAAAUUAUGGGCACAAAUAAUCUCUAAUCUACCAGUUUCGUUCAUCGUGUGUCACGUACGAAACACGUAGAUCUGUUCCUCUCUUCCACUAAUCUGUGUGUCUAAUCUCUAAUCUGUGUUACUAGUAAAUAAUUAAGAAUUGUCAGUAUGUCAUAUUAUCAUUUAGUAAUUAAAAUAUCAAAACUAACUUUGAUAAGUGCUAAUAUGCUAGUUAGUGUAUAAUUUGUAUGCUAAUUAAAAUAAUUAUGAUAUUAUGUAUUUUCUUUAUUGUUAUAACAAAAGUAGAGUUAGUGUAUAAUUAUAAAUAUAUAAUUAGAUGUUAUUUAUAAAUAAAAUUAAUCAAUUAUCUUCGCCCCUAUAAGUAGACCUUGUGAUUUGUGCAUGUUGUUAAAUUGGCUAAAAAUUAGGGCACAAAUAAUCUCUAAUUUACCAAUUUUGGCGUAGGUUUGUUCCUCUUUUCUACUUCUCGCCUAACUAUAGAUCUAAUAGACUGUUACUCAAGCCUAAUACGACAUGAACCAUACGCAGCACAACGCUUACACAUAACAUUACUAGAUUAAGGAGGACGAAGCUAUAAAUAAAAGAGUUAGAGUCUUUUUCAACCCAUAUAUUUCUUAACCUUUUGGCUAUGAUAAAGUGUAAUAUUUGUUUAUGGACCAUAUAUUCACUUUAAUAUUAAAUUUGUUUUUAUAGGUAUCAAAUAUGAUUGUGUGUUGUCACAGCACACGAGCAUUGUACUAGUUUUUUUGCACUCCUUUAAAAUACAAGUUUUGGGUGUCAGACAUCAUAUAAAACGUGCAGGUAUGUUCUUCUCCUCCGCUUCUCGCAUAACAAGGAAUCUAAUAGGUUGUUAUACCAUAAAUAGGCUAUGAGCAUAAACCAAGUAGCCAACACAACAGGAAGUCACACACAGAUAAAUGGGCCAUGAGCAACUACUAAAACCCAACAUAAUAGCAAGCCACACGUAAUACGUCGCUUCCACAUAUUAUCAUCUAACUAGUUAAAGGAGGACGAGUGAUCGAACUUUUUUUCAAGUCAUAUAUUUCUCAGCCUAAUCAUUUUUUUUAUUAAGAUAAAAUGUAAUGUUUGUUUUUAUCAAUUUAAUAUCUGAUAUGUAAACCAUAUAUUCACUUUAAUAUUAAAUUUAUAUUUAUGAAUAUUAAAUAUGAUUGGGCGUGGUCGCAGGCUCGCAACGCACUAGCAUUGUAAUGGUUUUGGUAUACAUACGAGUUUAUGGUAUAUGCAACCAAUGGGAAGCGCCAAUACUGUCCGAUAUGUAAUAUAUAACGCUGUCCAGUGACACCAGGAGCUUUAUUUGCACAAAUUGGAGAUUCUAGCAUCGUCUAUCAUGGAGUCACCAACCAACAGAUUUCUCAAUCUUCCCGCCAUGAUUUUCCCCGUGCUCUUGCUUUUUCUCAGAGGCUCGGCCGCUGGCAUCGCAUCUGACACGCUCAGCAGCGAUGGCAACAUCACCGACGGCGAGAUUUUGGUCUCAUCCGGCAGCUCAUUCACCCUGGGCUUCUUCUCCCCGACCGGCGUGUCAGCAAAGAGGUACCUUGGCAUCUGGUUCACCGCGUCCCCGGAUGCCGUCUGUUGGGUCGCCAACCGUGACGCCCCCAUUAGCAACACCUCAGGAGUAGGAGUACUGGCAGUCGGCAGCACCGGGAGCCUUCGCCUUCUCGACGGCUCCGGCCAGACCGUGUGGUCUUCCAACACGACGAGUUCCGCUCCUGCCGUGGCGCAGCUACUUGAGUCCGGCAACCUAGUCGUGCGACAGCUGAGCAGCGGCAACGUGCUCUGGCAGUCGUUCGACCACCCGUCGAACACCUUGCUCGCCGGCAUGAGACUCGGCAAGGACCCGAAGACUGGCGCGGAGUGGUCGCUCACGUCGUGGCGCGCGCCGAACGACCCGACGACCGGGGACUGCCGGCGUGUGAUGGACACGAGGGGCCUCCCGGACUGCGUCUCCUGGCAAGGCAACACCAAGAAGUACCGGACGGGGCCCUGGAACGGGCUGUGGUUCAGCGGCGUCCCGGAGAUGGCGUCCUACUCGACUCUGUUCUCCAACCAGGUCGUCGUUGUGAUGACCCGUGGCCGCGGCUAGAGUUCGCCGGGCGUGAGUCGGUAGCAGACCGGUGAAAAGAACGAAGCCAAGGACACCGGUGAGUUGGAUUUCGAUUUCUGUUUUUCUAUCCCCUCUCAAUCAACCAGUUACAGUAUUUAUAGAUCUGAAAUCCAACUAACAGAACGACUAAUGACUUGGCUAAUCACUUAUUACAGCCCAAAGAAGAAUAAUACGGCCCUAUUAUGGCCCAAACCCUAAUACUCAAAAGACCCACUAAUACUCCAUACCUGUGCCUAAACACCGCCACCUUGGGUCAUCACAUCUCCCCCAGCGUCAAAAGACGCUUGUCCCCAAGCGUGCGCUGUAGGAAACCUUGCUUUCACCACUUCAUAGUCUUCCCAGGUAGCCGCAUCGGCUGGAAGACCUGUCCAUUUGACCAGCACCUGGACAAUAGCAUUGUUUCCUUUACGUACCAUCCUUCGAUUCAGAAUUUGGUCAGGCUCAACAUCCCCUUGGGACAGAUCAACCAAGAGAGGAAGUUCAGUGUAAACUGGAGAAUAACACGGGUGAAACGGCUUAAGCUGAGACACAUGAAACACUGGAUGCACCUGAGCAUCGGGUGGCAAUUCCAGCUUAUAUGCCACUGCCCCAACUCGAGCUAUAAUCUUGUAAGGCCCAAAAAACUUAAAAGACAAUUUAGGACAAGGCCGAUUCACCACUGUCUUCUGUGCAUAUGGUUGAAGUUUUAACAGCACCAAUUCUCCUACUUGAAACUCUCUUGGUGUUCUGCCCUUAUCAGCAUAUUGCUUCAUACGCAACUGUGCUCUAGCCAACUGUUCCUUCAACAUGGCAGAAAAAACACUCCUUUCCUUGACCCACGUAGUGACAUCCGGGUCCUCAAUAUUGAUGAGCCUAGGGAGGGCUAGCAUAGGAGCAUCAUAACCAUAUAACACCCUGAAUGGUGUACAACCCAAAACAACAUGAUAAGUGGUAUUGUACCAAUACUCCGCGAGAGCCAACCAACUCUUCCAUUUGGUGGGCUGAGAGUUGACAGCACACCGGAGAUACAUCUCCAAGCAUUGGUUCACACGUUCACUUUGGCCAUCAGUCUGUGGGUGAUAGGCUGUAGACAUCAACAGCUUGACCUCCAUCAACUGAAACAGGUUCUUCCAAAAACUGCUAGUGAACACUUUAUCCCUGUCAGAUACCAGCGAUUUGGGUACGCCAUGUAGCUUAACCACAUUGUCCAGAAAGACUUGUGCAACACCCUUUGCAGUAAAAGGAUGUUUCAAAGGAAAGAAAUGGCUAUAUUUCGAGAAUCUGUCCACCACCACUAAUAUUGUAUCAAACCCUUCCGACUUAGGCAAACCUUCAAUGAAAUCCAUAGUCACAUCUUCCCACACACCCUGUGGUACCGGCAAAGGUUGUAAUAACCCAGCUGGAUGAGUUCUUUCACUCUUGGCCUUUUGACAAAUUGCACACUGUUGCACAAACUGGACCACAUCUGCCUUUAAUCCCCUCCAAUAAAACACUUUCUUUACCCGUUGAUAAGUUGCCUGAGUACCAGAAUGACCACCAAGGGCACUAUCAUGCAAAGCUGCCACCAACUUGGUUCUCAGAGCAGAAUUAGCACCAAUCCAAAUCCUGCCUGCCUUACGAAUAAUGCCUUGAUACAAUGAAAACCCAUUCUCAUCAGGACUGCGCACCAACAAUUGAGCUAUCAACUGUUGAGCUUCAGCAUCAGUAGCAUAAGAAUUCAGCACCUCCUGUACCCAAACUGGUUGCACUUCAGAAAUGGCAGCCAAGUCCAAUACUGAACUCCUCCUGGACAAUGCAUCAGCAACGACAUUCUCUGCCCCCUUUUUAUAUACAAUCUGAAAUUGCAAUCCCAUUAACUUGGUCAUAGCCUUCUUUUGAAGAUCUGACUGCAAUUGCUGGUCUCCCAAGAAUGUCAAAGAUUUGUGAUCUGUCUUAAUCACAAAUGCACCCCUCUGCAAAUAUUGCCUCCACUUAUCUACAGCCAUAAUCAAAGCCAAAAACUCCUUCUCAUAUAUAGAAAGAUGUUUGUUCUUUUCUCCCAGAGCUUUACUAAGAAAGGCAAUGGGUCUGCCCUGUUGCAUCAACACCGCUCCAAGACCCACAUCUGACGCAUCUGUCUCGACUGUAAAAGGCAGAUCAAACCUGGGCAGAGCAAGAACCGGUGUUGAAGCCAUAGCCUGUUUCAACUUAUGAAAAGCAACCUGAGCAUCUUCAGACCACUGAAACACCUGUUGUUUCUGCAACAGCUUAGUAAGAGGUCGAGCAAUAAUACCAUAAUCUUUCACAAAUUUCCUGUAAUAGCCUGUUAAACCUAAGAAUCCCCUCAAUUCCGUCACAUUCUUAGGUUGUGGCCAGGACAACAUAGCCUCAGUUUUACUAGAAUCUGUAGCCACCCCAUCUCUUGAAAUCACAUGACCCAAAUAUUUGAGUUCAUGCUUCACAAAGGAGCAUUUCUUCAUCUUUAAGAAAAACUGGUGCUCUCUCAGCUUGGCCAACACCAUCCGAAUAUGUUGAUAAUGCACUUCCAAACUAGGGCUGUAAAUGAGAAUAUCAUCCAAGAAAACCAUAACAAAUUUUCUGAGAAAAGGCUCCAACACUGAGUUCAUGGCACACUGGAAACUAGCUGGUGCAUUAGUGAGACCAAAAGGCAUUACUCGAAACUGAUAAUGGCCAUGAUGGGUUUUAAAAGCAGUCUUGUAUUCAUCCUCAGUUCCCAUUCGAAUUUGAUGAUAUCCUGCUGUCAUGUCAAGACUGGUAAAAUACUGUGCACCAGCUAAUUCAUCCAGGAUCUCAUCCACCAUAGGCAUAGGAAACCUGUUCUUUAUAGUCAUUCCAUUUAACUUCCUGUAAUCUAUACAGAACCUCCAGCUGCCAUCUUUUUUUUGCACAAGUAAAACUGGAGAAGCAAACGGACUGACACUAGGGACUAUCAACCCUGCUGCUAGCAGUUCAGCAAUUUGCUUUUCAAUCUCAGUUUUGUGAGCUGGAGAAUAUCGAUAAGGCCUUGAGUUUACUGGAAUAGACCCUGGCAACAGAGGAAUGUGAUGAUCAUAAGGUCUGAUUGGAGGCAAUUUCGAAGGCACAGCAAAAACAUCUUCGAAUUCCUUUAAAAUCUCCUGUAGAACUGCAUCAUUUGUCCCAAUUGUGUCUUCUGAAACCUGCUCUAAAAGCACAAAUACCCAGACUUCCUCUCCCUUCAUCCAUUUCUCCAGCUGCAACACAGAUACUUGUCGCACUUCCUGCACUUCUCUAGCACCACCCUGUAACCUGACCGUCUUCCCUUGAUCAGUAAAGGUUAAUACCUUGUUAUUCCAGUCACACUCCAUAGGACUGUGAGCCUUCAGCCAAUCAUACCCCAGGAUCACAUCAUAUGCUUCCAAGUCUAACACCCUCAUAGCAGUGUUGUACAGGUGCCCCCCAGAACUCCACACUACUUCCUUAACUCUUUUGUCACUGAUCAUAGCUGCUCCAUUUGCCACCUUAACCCGCACAGUGGAACAAUCUUCAGUGAUCAACCCCAAUUUUGCUACAAUUCUCUGGCUGAUAAAAGUUGCAGAGCUACCAGAAUCAAUGAGCAUGACCAACAUCUGAUCCUGAACCAGAGCUUGGACCCUCAUACAUCCAUCACAUUCCGUGCCACUAAUAGCAUUCCAGGACAACUGAUGUAACUCCUCCACACACUUCUCCUCAUCUUCCAACUUCUGCAAUACCUCAUCAGUCAAAACCAGGCCCAUAUCUUCCACGGUCAGAUUAUGCAGUUGAGUUACCACCCUCUUGGGACAUUUUGCUUGAUGGCCUGGCUCAAAUUUAUCUCCACAAAUAAAACACAACCCAUUCGCUCUUCUAUAUUCUCUCAACUGUCUUUCCUUGCUCAACUCAGGGUACAAUAUUCCUGCCCUAUUCUCCCCCCUUACUCCUGCAACCUGAGUUUUAAGAACUUGUCCCUUUUGGUUUCUAACUCUAUUCUUCUCUGCAAUCUCCUGAUACACCUUGGCCAACCUCUUCGCCUUAUCCACUGUCUUAGGCAUCCGAGCCAUGACUUGAUUCUGAAUUUCAGGUUUCAACCCUUUAAUGUAGUGUGUCACAAACAGGGUCUCACCUAACUCAGGAUUAUGCAAGGUAGCAACAUACCUAAUAUCAUCAAAAGCUUGAGAGUACUCCUCCACUCCUUGCUGCUGAGUCACAUUCACCAAAUCUCUCAUAGCUUGAGGAUAUUCAUCCACUCCAAACUGCUCCCUAACUGCUUGUGUAAACUGCCCCCAAUCACCCAAUCCGUGUUUCAGCUUAUACACUUGCAACCACUUCGACGCAUUCCCCUCCAUGUGCAUAGAAGCUGAACUCGCCCACAACCACUCGGGCACCUGGUAAACAGUGAAAUAAUCAACACACCGAUCAAACCAGACUCCCGGAUUACUGCCCUGAAACUUGGGAAAUGUCCACUUCGGAAAUGGGCAUGUCCCAUUCUCUCUUCCUCCACCCCACUGCUCUCUACGAUCUCUUCCACGCUCCAUUCCUCCACCCCGAUCAUCCCCUCGAGGAACACGCAGCUCGCGCUCAGAGUUUGUGUCAUUACCUUCCUGCUCCCUCGCUUGUAAAUCCAAUCGCAGCUGCGCAAUAGUUCUCUCGUUCUCCUCCAUGUGUCGAGCCAACAGUGCUCGAUCUUCCUCUGCCUUCUUCUGCCCGAUCUCCAUCGCUUCCAUCUUCCCGGUCAACCGUUCCACCGCCAGCAUCAUCCGCUCCCAGCGCUCCUCCCCUUUUUGCUCGGUCCCCGCCAUUGCUUCCAGGAUCAGCCGCGUCUGAACGGAUGGCUUCGUGGAAGGCGCCGUGAUGCCCACCCUCCGAGGAUCAACGCUCUGAUACCACUUGUGAUGACCCGUGGCCGCGGCUAGAGUUCGCCGGGCGUGAGUCGGUAGCAGACCGGUGAAAAGAACGAAGCCAAGGACACCGGUGAGUUGGAUUUCGAUUUCUGUUUUUCUAUCCCCUCUCAAUCAACCAGUUACAGUAUUUAUAGAUCUGAAAUCCAACUAACAGAACGACUAAUGACUUGGCUAAUCACUUAUUACAGCCCAAAGAAGAAUAAUACGGCCCUAUUAUGGCCCAAACCCUAAUACUCAAAAGACCCACUAAUACUCCAUACCUGUGCCUAAACACCGCCACCUUGGGUCAUCACAGUCGUCCGCCCCGACGAGAUCGCGUACGUCUUCAACACCUCGGCCGACGCGCCCUUCUCCCGCCUCGUGCUGAACGAGGUCGGCGUGCUGCAACGCCUAGCGUGGGACCCCGCCAGCCGGGUCUGGAACGUCUUCGCGCAGGCGCCCAGGGACGUCUGCGACGACUACGCCAUGUGCGGCGCGUUCGGCCUGUGCAACGUGAACACGGCGUCCACGCUGUUCUGCAGCUGCGUCGUGGGGUUCAGCCCCGUGAACCCCACGCAGUGGUCCAUGAGGGAGUCCGGAGGCGGGUGCCGGAGGAACGUGCCGCUGGAGUGCGGCAACGGGACGACGACGGACGGGUUCAAGGUGGUGCAGGGAGUGAAGCUCCCCGACACGGACAACACGACGGUGGACAUGGGCGCGACGCUGGAGCAGUGCAGGGAGAGGUGCCUCGCCAACUGCUCGUGCGUGGCCUAUGCCGCCGCCGACAUCCGAGGAGGCGGUGAUGGCAGUGGCUGUGUCAUGUGGACGAAUAACAUUGUUGACGUCCGGUACGUAGACAAGGGGCAAAAUCUCUAUCUGAGGUUGGCAAAGUCUGAAUUAGGUAAGCUCCAAAUACCCAGCCAUUCUCUUUGUUGUUCUUAAGAAGCAUCAUCUGUGCACUUUGUGCAGCUAGCAGGAAGAGAAUGGUUGCGACAAAAAUCGUGCUUCCGGUUAUCGCAUCUCUGCUUGCACUUGUGGCUGCUGCCGUGUAUCUCGUUUGGAAAUUCAGGCUGAGAGGUAGAGCCACUUUCGCAUGUCAGAAUUCAAUAUUCCUGCAGGAUUGCUCUAACAGGUAGGGGUACUAGCAAAGGAUACAUACUGAUCGUUGUUUCUGUUAGCCCAACGUCGAAAAAAGGAUAUCCAGAAGAAAGCCAUGGUUGGAUACUUGACCACGUCACACGAACUUGGUGAUGAAAAUCUAGAGCUUCCAUUUGUUAGCUUUGAAGAUAUUGUUACUGCAACAGACAACUUCUCUGAAGACAACAUGCUUGGUCAAGGUGGAUUUGGGAAGGUUUACAAGGUGAUAAUUUCUUUUUUGAACAAUACUAGUAUGAUUUUUUUUUUGCUACUUCUUCAAUUUACUAAUGGUGAAAUCGUGCAGGGUAUGCUGGGCGAGAAGAAAGAAGUUGCAAUCAAAAGGCUCGGUCAGGGUUCUGGGCAAGGUGCAGAGGAGUUCAGAAAUGAAGUAGUUCUGAUUGCCAAAUUGCAGCACAGAAACCUCGUCAGACUUCUUGGUUGCUGCAUUUGUGGGGAUGAGAAAUUGCUGAUUUACGAAUAUUUGCCAAACAAAAGCUUGGAUUCAUUCAUUUUUGGUAUGUUGAUUUGUUUUUUAUUUUCACAAAAGGAGAGAGUAGACAUAGUUACCUGUUACCAUGAAAAUUACUUCCUUAUAAUAUACCAUUGCAGAUGCUGCUAGAAAAAAGCUCCUUGAUUGGCCAACAAGGUUCAAGAUAAUCAAGGGAAUAUCUAGAGGGCUCCUUUACCUACACGAGGAUUCAAGGUUGACGAUAGUUCACAGAGAUCUCAAACCAAGCAACAUAUUGUUGGAUGCGGAUAUGAACCCUAAGAUAUCAGAUUUCGGUAUGGCAAGAAUCUUUGGAGGAAACCAGCACGAGGCAAAUACUAAUCGAGUUGUUGGGACAUAGUGAGUAGUCCAAGCCUCAGAUUUUAGAAUAACUCUUUGUUUUCUUGCACUUUAAUAAUAACCUUGUUACUUACUGCUAACAAUCAUUAAACAGCGGUUACAUGUCUCCUGAAUAUGCUAUGGAUGGCGCCUUUUCUGUCAAGUCUGACACAUACAGCUUCGGUGUCAUACUCUUAGAGAUUAUAAGUGGUUUCAAGAUUAGUUUAAACCACAUCACGGAUUUCCCAAAUCUAUUAGCUUAUGUAAGAAUGGUGGCAUUUUUUUUUUUUUGCAAUGCAGCAAAAAGGUACUUAUUAAUGUUCUAUGAAAUUGAUUCCAUUGGUUCAGGCAUGGAGCUUAUGGAAUGAAGGAAAGGCAAUGAAUUUAGUGGACUCAUCCCUUGUCAAGAGUUGUUUACCAAAUGAAGCUUUAAGGUGUAUCCACAUAGGACUCCUAUGUGUACAGGACAAUCCAAAUAGCAGGCCGCUCAUGUCAUCAGUGGUCUUCAUGUUGGAGAAUGAAACCACAACACUUUCAGUUCCAAAACAGCCUGUAUUUUUUUCACAAAGGUAUUCUGAAGCCCAGGAAACAGGAGAAAACACUAGUAGCUCUAUGAAUAACAUGAGCAUGACAAUGUUAUCAGAGGGGCGGUAGGUGGUUAGGUUAUGCAAUGUUUGUUUGUGUAAAUAAUUUCCUGUACCGACCUGUAACAUAUUAGUACUCCCCGGUUCUAAUAAGUUUGACUGGCUCGUCUUAUUCAAAAAAAUUCAUAAUUAUUAUUAAUAUUUUAGUGUGAUAUCAUUUAAUAUAUAACAUGCUUUAAGUAUGACUUUGAAUGUUUCAUUUUUUGCAAAAAAAAAGAGAAUAAAACGAGCCGGUCAAACUUGGUAAAAAAAGUUAAACGAAUUAUAAAUUAGAAUGAAGAGAGUAUUUUACAUUUUUAAAUCUUUUUUAUUGUGGAGAUACUUAGUUUACAUAUUUCUUUUAUCCCUUUUUAUUCUAAAGUUGCUUCUUUUAUCUUUGGCAGUUGUUUUUUUAAAUAACUAUACUGGUUUUAUUGUGUGUCCUUAUUUUAUGAAACUUUAUAUUUUUUUAAAAGAGUUUUACCUCAACUUUUAAGAAAGCAAAGUGAUACAGAAAUCUGUUACAAGCUACAAAUGUCUAGCCACAAGAAAACACAAACACAUCAGAUCAACCCAAAAGCAUAAAUUGAUAGAAAAAGAUAGACAAUUCACUUAUUUCCAAGAUACUAUAUUUCUGCAUCAAAGAUAGUGCAACAUAGAUCACAUAAAUUGGGACUCUAGGAAAACGUCUCUCAAUCGCCAUCUUAUUUUUGGUCAUCUAUAUAGUACACAGAAAACAUGCAAAACAAUCUAGCCGAUAAAGACCCUUACCCUAGAGCCAAUAACUGUUGAAAUCCAUCAAAGAAUGUGAACACAUGGCAGAGCUAUGCCAAUUUGUGUACGAUGAAUGAUUUACAUAAGUGUGAGAGGUUUGAGGCUUUCCCGAUUGAGUCAUAUUUUAUAUGUACUUGAUUAUGCUAAUGGCAACUAGAGGUGUUUUAUUGAGUGCGUUGUGCAACAUAUUUAUUGGUUUGUGGUACGUAGGUGGAGAGCUUAGAGAUGAUUGAUUUGAAAGUGGAAAUAAAGUAGGGUAUGUGUCGAUAGACCACAAGCGGUGAAGGAGGAAUGUCGAGGCUUCGCUUAAGAGACUAGAGAAAUCGAAGGACUAAAUGUGAUGGCUGGCAUCUGGAGACAUCAACAAGUGCAAUAGUACAUAGGGGAGUAGAUCGUGUUGACCAGAUCAAGACAACGGCUGACCGAGUCAAGUGGAGGCGCUGGAGGACUUGAUAAUCGAACGAUCAAUGACUGACAGUGAUAUACAUCGAGAACAUGGAGGGAGUGUAUUGAAUAUGCUAAUUAUGAGGGGUUUUGCUGGUUUGAGAUUUAAAACCAUAGAGCAAACAAUUUCUUGGGUCUAGACCUCAAAAUCCAGCUGGUAUUCUAGCGGUAGUGUGAGAAGGCACAUGGCGUCAUCACAAAUCUUGCAUAAAGUGAAGCAAAGUCAUAUAAAGCUCACGGCCAUCGGACACAUAGAUCUUGAGUUGGACUAUUUUGCCUCUGGUGAAGUGAUUCAACUAAAAUAUCUAAGUGAGUAUUGGAAGUGAGUACUAAAUAAUUAGAGAACCGUUCUUUAUUUAAUUUCUCACUAAAAUUUUGGGUAUUUAAGAAACCGACACCGGUUUUAGAGAGAAUCCGCACGCAUACAUUUUUUAGAUGAUGGUUUGGAUGAGAUCAUUCCUAUACAAAUAGGAAUAUUUGUAACAGGCACGACGAAACAUUAUGUCUGUAAAGUCACAGCUGCUACGUCAGGAGAUGUGGCUCGGUAACGAUGACAUGAGGUGUGUCUCCUUCUUCGUGGACCGGAUUGCUUGGGAGGCUGGGCGCUUUGCUGAGGCAGGGCAGAGAAUCAAGUUUGGAAGUCCCGUUGGUGAAAAAUCAGAGCUGCCUCGUGUGGGGUCUCUCAAUGCUUGGCAACGGCGACGCACCACGGUCUUACUCCUAUGCUAGUUUUUGGGUAUAGACAUUGUUGGUUUUCUCCUUUGGCCUUGUGUCGCCCGUUUUGAAGAGUCAGAGCUACUCGUUCUUUGUGUUGAGCUCGACAAUGAUAACCCUACAUGGGCUUUAUUUGUGGGGCUACCGUUGUCUAGGUUGUUUGUACACACUAUAGUUUUUAGGCUCAAUUUUCUUUAAAAUUAGAUCAAUUUCUUCUCAAUUGAGAAGCACACCUCUUGCUAUUAGUCUGUUACCUUUAAAAAACACAGCGGCUGUGAGCAGCAGUUUUCCUUUGCACGCAUGGGGUGCUGCCACGUAGCAAGAGUGUUUUGCUCAUCAUUGCUUUGGUCAAGAUCCUUCCUCCUUGGCUAUUUUGUGUCUUAAUCCACCAAGUCAUAAUGUGGACUAAUCUUGGUUCUUGGCUUGGUCAAUUUUAUUCUGAAAUACAAACUUUGGCAUCUUGUCUAUCCCUGCAUGCCACGUAUCCUCCCUUUUCUCUUCUUCUAGUAAUAAAAACCUUGGGUGCUCUACUGUAUGAAACACCGGGCAUUGUUCAUAAUGUAUUGUUAAAUAUUUUAGACCAUUACACGGCAUUGACGUUUUGCAUUUUCAUCAAAUUUGUCAGACUACACCCGGUGAACUUACGACUCCACCUUGUCCAUGUGUACAAUCUCUGAUCUAUAUCUUGGUGCCAUUUUCGUGGUCCCUGAUCUAUACUCGUCAGUGAUGAGCAUAACCAUAGAAUGGAUAUGACCAGCCUUACCAUUUCCAUCCUCCUGCUCCUCCUGAUGAUCCGUGUCUGCAAAUCCGAUGACCAGCUGGCAAGCGCAAGGCCACUUUCACCCGGCGACCUGCUCAUCUCCAAAGGCGGCGUCUUUGCCCUCGGUUUCUUCUCCCCGUCCGGCUCCAACACCAGCACGAGCCUGUACGUUGCGAUCUGGUUCCACGGCAUCCCCGAGCGCAGCCGCACCGUCGUGUGGGUCGCCAACCGCGACAGCCCAGCCACCACAUCGUCGUCCCCGACGCUCGCCAUCAGCAACAGCUUUGACCUCGUGCUUUCGGACUCCCAGGGCCGCACUCUCUGGAGGACGCAGAACGCCGCCGCCGCGGCCGUCCACGACAGCGGCACUCCCCUGGCCGUGCUGCUCGACACGGGCAACCUGCAACUCCAGCUGCCCAACGGUACGGUCAUAUGGCAGAGCUUCGACCACCCGACUGACACCAUUCUCCCAGGCAUGCGGUUCCUGAUGAUCCACGGGGCUCGCCCCGCCGCGCGCCUGGUCUCUUGGAGAGGCCCCGCCGACCCGUCCACCGGAGCCUUCUCGUUCGGCCUCGACCCCGUCUCCAACCUCCAGCUGAUGGUCUGGCACGGGGCCGAGCCGUACUGCCGCAUCAGCGUGUGGAACGGCGUGUCGGUGUCAGGCGGCAUGUACACCGGCUCACCUAGCUCCAUCGUGUACCAGACCAUCGUCAACACCGGCGACGAGUUCUACCUCACGUACACCGUCUCCGACGGCUCGCCGUACUUCCGUAUCAUGCUCGACCACACCGGCACGAUGAAGCUCCUGAGCUGGGACACCAACUCGUCGUCCUGGACGCUCAUCUCCGAGCGCCCCACCGGUGGCUACGGCCUCUAUGGCUCCUGUGGCCCCAACGCCUACUGCGACUUCACCGGGGCUGCCCCGGCGUGCCAGUGCCUCGAGGGCUUCGAGCCCGUCGCCGCCGAUCUCAACUCUUCAGAAGGAUGCCGGAGAACGGAGCCUCUGCAGUGCAGCAAGGCAAGUCACUUCGUGGCCUUGCCCGGGAUGAGAGUUCCUGACAAGUUCGUGCUCCUCCGGAACAGAAGCUUUGAGCAGUGCGCGGCUGAGUGCAGCAAGAACUGCUCCUGCACCGCCUAUGCUUACGCCAACUUGAGCAGCAGCGGUGCCAUGGAAGACCAGUCAAGGUGCUUGGUUUGGACCGGGGAGCUUGUCGACACCUGGAAAAGCAUCAACUAUGGCGAGAAGCUGUACCUCCGGCUUGCCAGCCCUGGUACGCACCGUUUCAUCCUGUGCUGUUCAGAUUUGUUGAGCAGAGGAACAGUUUCUCCAAUGUUGGCACAGAUAUUCAUCUAGCAAUGAAACGGAAGACACCAUAAUGAGAAAUGUACACUCAGAAUUGAAUUUUCAUUGAUUUGAUUUAAAGAACACAAGCAUUUUAAGUCUAAUAAAACUGAAUGACAUUAGAGCAUUUCUAGAAGAUAACAUUACAACUCCCCCAAUGGCUCGUAGAGAGAUUUUCCUACUUCGAAUGGCUCUGUUUACUUCACUUAUCACUAGAAUGAAAUGACAUCUGAAAUAAAAACAAACAACGACAGAUAUAGCUCUUCUAGUUAAUUAAUUACUCAGUACAUUCUAACAAGUUUCACUUUGGCAGUUAAAACCAAGAGCAAUAUAGUAAAGAUUGUAGUCCCGGUUGUAGCAUGCCUGCUGCUACCCACAUGCAUAGCCCUUGUCUUCCUAUGCAAAUUCAAAGGUACAACAUUAAGCGGCUUGUUUUCAACGUGUAAUGUGAUUGUGUAUAUGAAAAGAAAAGUAUCAAUGUCCCACCAGCAGGGAAAUGGCAAAAGAAGGGAAUUCAGAAGAAAGUGAUGUUAGGAUACUUGAGCACCUCCAAUAGACUCGGAGACAAAAAUGAUGAAUUUCCAUUUGUUAGCUUCAAUGACAUUGUUGCCGCAACCGAUAAUUUCUCUGACUGCAAUAUGCUUGGAAGAGGAGGCUUUGGCAAAGUUUACAAGGUAAUGACAGAUUUAACAUAAUAUGCAUUAAAGAAUUUCUAAAGCAGAAGAAAGAAUUUUGGAUUUCAUCGUUUUCAACAUCAGAAGGAUGCAAUCAUGCAGGGAAUAUUGGAAGAUGGCAAGGAAGUUGCUGUCAAAAGGCUUAGUCAAGGUUCUGGGCAAGGUAUUGAUGAAUUCAGAAACGAGGUAGUCCUACUCGUCAAACUACAGCACAGGAAUCUAGUCAGACUGCUUGGUUGCUGUAUUCAUGAAGAAGAGAAGUUACUGAUCUACGAAUACUUGCCUAACAAAAGCCUAGAUGCCUUCCUCUUUGGUAUGCAGACUCUAGAUUACAUAUUGAAGUUCUUACAUUGACAAAAAGGAUAUGGGUCAUGACUAACAACAGUUUGGUUUUAAACUGUCUUCUUGGCAGAUACUUCAAGAACACGUGUACUUGAUUGGCCAACACGGUUCAACAUAAUUAAAGGCAUAGCCAGGGGCAUUCUAUAUCUCCACCAAGAUUCAAGAUUAACAAUAAUUCAUAGAGAUCUUAAAGCAAGUAACAUCUUGUUAGACACAGAAAUGAGUCCCAAAAUAUCAGAUUUCGGUAUGGCAAGAAUCUUCGGGGGAAACCAGCAACUAGCAAACACUACACGUGUUGUUGGGACAUAGUGAGUAAUUCAUGUACUGGUCAAUGCUUGAUAAUGCAACUAUUAUACUUUAAUUUAACUCAAACUGUUGAAUUGUUUAAGCAGCGGUUAUAUGUCUCCUGAAUAUGUGACAAGUGGUGCCUUUUCUGUCAAGUCAGACACAUAUAGCUUUGGUGUUCUUCUCUUGGAGAUUGUAAGUGGUUUGAAGAUUAUCUCAACUCAAUUUAUAAUGGACUUCCCAAACCUUAUAGCUUAUGUAAGUAGCGUGGGAUUCUCAAGUUUUCAAUAAACAUAAACAAAAAAAUAUUAAUUUGAUAGAAAAAAGAUUUACAUUUUUCCAGACAUGGAAGUUAUGGGAAGAGGGAAAUGCAACGAAAUUGGUGGACUCAUUGGUUGCUGAAAGUUGUCCACUCCAUGAAGCUUUUAGGUGUAUUCAUGUAGGACUUUUGUGUGUCCAAGACAAUCCAAAUGCAAGGCCACUCAUGUCAACAGUUGUGUUUAUGUUGGAGAAUGAAACCACAUUGCUUCCAGCACCAAAGGAGCCUGUAUAUUUUUCACCAAGGAAUAAUGAAACUGAAGAAACAAGAAGAAACAUAGAAGGUUUUCUGAAUAUGUCGUGUAUCACAACACUGGAAGGCCGCUAGAUGUUCACACUUCUACCAUGUACAUGUUCAAGCCUUUUAUUAACCAUGUACUGUAGGGUAGGUGAAUUUCAGCAUAGCUGGUCGUAAUAUAUACGAAAUUACAGUCUUCAAAAGGGAUAUAUGUGAACUUACUGUACUGAACACACUGAAUUGAAGCUUGUGGCUUGGAAAAAAAUGUAAAUAAUCUAGAGGUUUGAGAAUUAUAUGGUCAAGUGUCAUAACAAAGAAUGCAAUAAAAUUUCACAUGACAUUGCUUUAAUCUUCAGUUGCUCUAAUGCCAAAAGGUGAAGGGUGCUUAAUCUUUCAGUGCAGUACCUCAUAUGGAUUAUUCGUAGAUUUUUUUCAUAAGAUGUUAUAUUUUUCUAUAAAGCUAGUAAACUUGAGGGGUUCUUUUUCCAUUAGGCCGGUGGUCAUUGGAGACUAGGAAACAGCCAAAGUUAAAUGAAUAAACUGUAGCAAGUUCAGAGUUGUUUUCAGCAUUGUGUAACAUACCUCAUAUGUGGGGUUUUAUUCAAUUUUUUCGAAACAUGCUAUUUGCAUAAGAUGAGCAAAUAAUAAGUACACAGCUGAUUGCAGCUGGUAACCGGCAAAUAGUUUUCUUGGCCAGGUUUACCAUGCCAGAAAUUUAGAUGAUUUACCUCCAACACUAGCUGCAAGUGAAAUUUAGGUUAUUCAGCAAAUCGCCACUGACAGGCAGAGCUCACACAUUCUGCAAAAGCUUCGGAUCACUCCUCUGAAUAUGUAGCACGCCAGGUACAGAUUCAUCAACGUAUGGACACCACGGCACUAGAAUUAGAAGCGAGAGCGAGUCAGCGAGACACCCGGGGUACCUGGCGAAGACGGCGGCCAUGGGACACGGGUGCCGAACUGUGGCGGCGCGAGGCGUCAAGGGUCCGUCUAGCGAUACUACGGAAGAAGGGCGGUGGCGGCGUGGUUACGGUUCCUCCGCCUCAGCUGUCAGCCUCCGCAGUUCCGCACCGCUGAACUUCUGAAGUCUUUGAACGACACCGAUUAGGUGGGCCAGGAAGGACCUCUUCCUUUCGAGCGGCCCAGUCCAUCGGCGCUCCCACGCCACGAUGCCCAUGCCGCCAUGCUCAGGAACUUCUCAUAGCCGAAUCUUGGCUCGAGCGAACCGUUUCGGCUGUGGCGCGUAAGCGGGGGGUUUUCGCUGCUUUAUUAUAAGGUUCGCUCCAUUAAAAACCUCACAUCUUUCGUGAGAAAAAGAGUACAGUUCAGUGUUUUGAAUAUUAUAUGGGUAUUUGAUGACACUCACGACCGAAAUCACUUUUACACAUAUGUCGGGGAGGAAAUCUCACAGGCCGGAUGGCGGAUUGCACCCGCCCUAAAUCCUAAAGAGAGGAGGGGCCUAAGCGUUUUGCUUGAUACGAGACUGGUGGAUCAACACACGAGAGUACGCGAGGGUUUAGAGUGGUUCGAACCGCCGGAGCGUAAUACCCUACUCUACUGUGUGAUGUAUUGCUUGGGAGCUUGUAUGAACUUGAGAGGGUCUGCCUAGAGUUGGGUCUAGCGUCGCGUGCCUCCCCUUUUAAAGCUGAAGGGGGGCAUGCACAAAGGGACCGGGCCCCGACAUGUGGACCCAGGGACAAAAUGUAUAUAUAAUACUUGAAGCUUCUAAUGUUUGCUGCCAGGGCAAUCUUCCUACGCCCUGACGCUGGAGAUCUGCGUGUCCUUGGCGUGCUAGGGAAGCUUUCUUGCAGAAGGGACAACGAGCACAGUCCGCCGCAUGGCACAGGCGCGCUGUUUGAUGAUAGAUUGGACAGGCGCGCCAUCUGACACCGUCUUCCAGCGGAGAGGACUGGACGCAUUAAAUGCCGAGGGGGCACAUCUUUCGUUGGCUUGGCGCAGGCGUCGCGUCCCUACUGCAAUAAAUGCAGUGGCUGCGCGACUCCAGUGACCCGACGUCAGAUUCCUUCAGUUGGCUCACGUCAUGGGCCACUAGCCAUGUGGUAGUAGCGGGUUUCCGCCUUGGCGGGGGGGGGGGGGGGGGGGGGGGGGGGGGGGUGUUUCCGCGGGCUUGGGUGGGGGGGGGGGGGGGGGGCGGCGCGGGGGGGGGGGGGGGGGGGGGGGGGGCAGGGUCCGGGUAUUUCCUGCCCCUAGGGUCUGGGACCCGGUGGUGAACCGUCCGAACCACAUUUGGAAGGGUCCGGGAUCUAUCCCGGAGGUCCGCUCGCUAGACACAGGGUCCGGUGCCUUCCAUGCAGCAGGUCCAGGCCUGCUGCGUACAUCCAGAGCACCUCGACCCCCAAGGCGGUUGAUGUUGCGCGACGGUGGGCCGUUUACUGCGCCAACCAGGGACUUGGCACAAUGCCUUUUCCUUGUAACAGGGGGUACCCCUAUUUCAAGGUACCGACAGUGGCCCCCGGGCCCACCUCAGGGGAGGAUGCGAGCCUACAGGUGGGGUCGUAACCCUCUUCAUGUGUAAGCUCUGCAUGACCGGGAACCAGGGCAUCUUUUUAGUGCAUGCCGUACUAACUUAGUGCGCACACGCUGUCAGUUUGCUACUGGUCACCCCAACCGUCGCGCCCGUCUUUGCGGUAAACUAGCGCGUGGCCCCCCACGCAUGGCGGUUCGGUUGUGCCCCGCGCGCGUGGGGCGCCCUGUUGGCCCCGCCCAUGUCGAGAAUACUUUCCAGCAGUGGCCCCCAAGGCGGCGUGGGAGCGCGCGGCGGUUUGUUCUUCCUGCGCAUGGAGACUAGCGCCCCAGCCAUGCGACUUGCGGGCCUGGGUUCCUCUGUCAGCGACUGAGUUGCUCGGGCGCUAGGUACGCGCCGGGCGGGUUUUUCCGGAGCAUGCGAGGAGCCAUCUCUUGAAGGAGGGUCUCCCGUGCGCGGUGGUUUUGCCUUCGCAUUCUUUCCUAACUGCUCCGCCCUUUUGCCUAUGAGCUUUCCACGCUUUUCCAUGUUCGUGCUCCUCAGUUUUCGGCCGCCGCAGCUGCCAUGGCCUCGCUGGUUCGCCCUGAUCACUACCAGACUGAGGAGGCGCUCGACUCGGUGCGCCGUAUGCUCGGAUGGGGCUCGCCUGCGCUCGCCGGGAGGAUCCGGGCCGGCACUAUUCCCCUCGGCAAUCUUGCCGCCGGGGAGUUUGUGCUCUUCGUCUCCUAUCUCUUCUGCGGAUUGGCGCUGCCGAUUUCGUCGUUCCUUCUGUUGAUGUUGGAGGAGUUCGGGCUCCAACUUCAGCAUCUCACGCCCCACUCCAUUCUCCAGGUGGCCAUCUUUGUUCAUUUUUGUGAGAUGUUCGUGGGAGUGGCAGCUUGUACUUCCCUCUUUCGCCAGUUUUUUGUGCUGGUGAGGUCUGGGAAGGGCAAAGACCACGUUGGGGCCUACUACUUCCAGACAAGGUCAGAUUCGACAGUGACCUACAUCGCCUCUCUUGGCGGCACGAGGUGGGAGAACUGGCGGCACGACUGGGUGAUUGCCCGCACUGAGGUCAGCGACCGUCUUGCCCUUCCGAGUGACGGGCCCAGUCUCAACCGGAAGCAGUGGAGGGAAAAACCACGCUUGGUGCCAGAGUUCGUGCCCAUCCUGGAUAGGAUCAAGGAACUGGCGGUUGGCGACCUAACCUCAAUGCACGUACUCGGCGAUUUCCUGAGGCACCGAGUCAUGCCACUGCAGGGAAGGUCGUGUCUGUGCUGUUGGUUCAUCGGCUCCAGUGACAUUGGCAGGAUCCUGCGUGGGCCUGGGACUGAUUUGACCUGAGAGGAGUUGGAAAUUUUCAUGAGGGGGAUUACAGGUGAGGCUUUCAUCCCGAAUCCUUAAUGCCUCCCCAGGGCAUUUUGCCGCUCUGUGACGACCCAGGGUUGCGGUCAGCGGUGCUGGCCCGGCUGCCGACCCUUGAUGAGAGUGGUGUGGCGGUUUGCCAGACCGGCGUCCGGGACCCCCAUCAGGGGAUCCAUAUUCCUGGUACACCAGUUCGAGGCCCCUAGCCUGCUGAUGUCGCCCCCAGGGUCCCUCCUGUGGGGCCCAGCUUCUUGGGCAAAGGCAAGGAGCCUGCAUGCAGCUCCUCUACCCCGGACGUCGCCGAGAGGCCAGGGGAAGAGGGGCGACCUCGACUGCGUCACGCCGAUGGGUCCUUUGUUUUGGACCCACCCCUUGAUUCGGCCGCCAGGAGGUCGGGGGAAGAAAGACGACAUCGACUGCGUCGCGCCGAUGGGUCUUUUGUCUCGGACCCAUCCCUUGAUUCGGGCUCCUCCCAGAAGCGCCAGAAAAUGGUUGGUGGGGCUAAGGAGACCGAACCUCAGGCCCAGGACGGGCAGAGGGGCGUGAGCCCUCCAACGCUACCUCCUUCGGAUUUGACUCCACCACCACCACCGCCCAUGGCGGACCAAUCGUCAUCACCGCAGGGGCAGCGACAGCAACGACAAUGGGUGCCCCGCUUCCAAGGCCAUUGGGAAGUUCAUGGCCCCAAGUAAGCUUAAGCUCUUCCUAAUGCCAUAUUUCGAGCAUAGUUUUUAGCUGACGGGUCAUGGACCGUCGUUUGCCUGUUAGGGCCCCACCUUCUUCAACUUCCACGGGCGCUCGUACCCCUUCGGUCGUCGUGCCCGCCGGUGGGUCUGGUUCCUAGCAACGUACACCCGCCGAGGACGUUGCCAGCGAUCUAUCAGCGGCUACCGCAUCUUCAGCAUCAGCGUCGGUGCCAAAUCCUCCAUUGGUAGUGGCCGAAGAGGUUCCCAUUAUACUUGCCUCCACCGCGCUGGGUGGCGCUGGUGCUGGGGUGGCGCCGUCGAACCCCUAGGAUCCACCUGUCACCGUCGAGGCGGCACCUUCGGGUCCCCGAGUUCCAGCUGAGGGUCCAGAGGUAACGCUGUUGCCAACAACCGCUGAGGGCCUAGCGGCGGGGAUACCGUCGGAUGCACCAUCGGCGGUGGGCGUGGGAGGCGCGCCCAACUCUGUUCCACUACCAACUUCGGGGUCUCCGGAGGUUAUCCUUGGGCGACCGCUCCGGUCUAGCAUCGAAUCUGAAGCAACGCUGACUCCCCUCCCUCGGGUGCUGUCCCGCGCUCACCAGGCUCUCCGGGAAACCGAGGUGGCUAUCCGGCGGGAGUGGGAGGCGCUCAAGACCGAGCACCAGCGCCUUGGCGACUGGUGCACCCAACUGGAGGAGCGCACUAAGGCGGUGUCCUGCCAUUUUGCCUCAGAACAGGCCGAGUUUGAGCAGGAGCGUGAGGACUUCAAGGAGGACAUCCGGAAGGUGUCUGACCGAGAGGACGAGGUGAUCCAGAAGGAGAAAAGCCUGGCAAGGAAGGAGGUACGCUUAGACCAAAGGGAGGAGACCGUCAGAGCGCUCCAAGCUAAGCUGGAAGCUUAUAAUACGGUGCUGGAGAAACAGCGGGUCAAGCAGGCUGCGGCUAAGGUGAAGCUGCAGAAGCUGCAACAAGAGCUCGCCGACAGGGCCAGCGACAUUGCUCGUGCCGAGGGAAGCCUCAAGGCGGGGGAAGCUUCCCUUGCGAAAUGGGUAGCUGGUCUUACCCGGCAGGAGGAGGACCUCGCCUUCAGGGAGGAGAUGUGGGCAAGGCAGAACAAGCUGCUGGAUGAGCUUGAGCUCGAGGCCGAGGAGAGGAGGAAGCAUUUGGAGGAGAAAGUGUGGGCUCUGGAGGAGCAGGUCUGCCAGUUUCGGGCAGCGCAAGUUGCUCAGGCGACGCAGACAGCCUCAGGCCCCCAGGCAGUGGAGGGGAUGCGGAAGAUACUCGACGACCUGCGGGCUGAGCAACACGCCGGGGCCCAGCGCAUCGCUGCCUGGGCCGGCGAGGCAAGCACGUCGCUAGUGCCAUUGGGGGUGAGCCCCAUCCCGACACUGGUGCGGCCGGCGUCUAUCUCCGACGCGCUCCUGGUACUGGAUUCUGGUGCUGACCGCCUUCGACAUCUAGAUCAGAUUCUUGGCACCCGCUUGGAGGCCGAGGGCAGCAGACUUUGCCGGUCGGCAAUAGAAUACGUCUUGACAUGCUUCCGGAGCCAUGAUCCGGCUAUCUCCUUGGGGCCAGUCAUCGCAGGUCCGGUGGCCAACGCUGAAGAUGCUGCUCGUGAGGGCGUGCAGGACAUGGUGGACGUGGUGGCCGAGCGCUUUCAGCGGGAUCCUACUGGCGAUGAGUAGCUAGGCCUACGUGGAGAAAACGAGGGUUCCGCUGGGGAGCGGGUUGUAAUAUACCAUUGAUUUCGCAAGAUACUCUUCAGGUACUACUUACUGGGCAAUAUUACAACUUAUUUGCACACCACUUUUCCUUUGCUGCAUGCACCGUUACCAACUUCUUCCUUGGUACUUGGCCCCCCUGGGAUAUGGCCUCGACGCGUCGGGGCUAGAUACCAGGAUUCGUAAUUGGCAACUGAUGUCAUGACCCACAAGGGGAGCUCCCAACUUGGACUUGACCUGCACAUAGUCUUGGCAAGGUAUCUUUAGCAGUGCGCCCAUGAAAGUCGCCUAGAGGGGGGUGAAUAGGGUGAAUCUGAAAUUUAACAACUUAAUCACAACUACAAGUCGGGUUAGCGUUAGAAAUAGAAACGAGUCCGAGAGAGAGGGCGCAAAACAAAUCGCAAGCGAAUGAAGAGUAUGACACGCGGAUUUGUUUUACCGAGGUUCGGUUCUCGCAAACCUACUCCCCGUUGAGGAGGCCACAAAGGCCGGGUCUUUUUCAACCCUUUCCCUCUCUCAAACGGUCCCUCGGACCGAGUGAGCUUCUCUUCUCAAAUCAAAACCGGGAACAAAACUUCCCCGCAAGGACCACCACACAAUUGGUGUCUCUUGCCUCGGUUACAAUUGAGUUUUGAUCACAAGAACAAAUGAGAAAGAAAAGAAGCAAUCCAAGCGCAAGAGCUUAAAAGAACACGACAAAUCUCUCUCGCUAAUCACUAAAGCCUUGUGUGGAAUUGGAGAGGAUUUGAUCACUUGGGUGUGUCUAGAAUUGAAUGCCUAGCUCUUGUAAGUGGUUGAGAAGUGGAAAACUUGGAUGACUUGAAUGUGGAGUGGUUGGGGGUAUUUAUAGCCCCAACCACCAAACUAGCCGUUUGGUGGAGGCUGUCUGUCGUAUGGUGCACCGGACAGUCCGGUGCACAGGACAUGUCCGGUGCGACAGCCACGUCACCAGGCCGUUAGGGUUCCGACCGUUGGAGCUCUGACUGCUGGGCCCGCCUUGAUGUCCUGUGGCGCACCGGACAUGAACUGUAGAGUGUCCGGUGCGCCAGCAUGGGCGUGCCUGACUUCUGCGCGCGCUGGCGCGCAUUCAAUGCGCUGCAGGUAGCCGUUGGCGCCGAAGUAGCUGUUGCUUCGUUGUCACACCAGACAGUCCGGUGUGCACCGAACAUGUCCGGUGAAUUAUAGCGGACUAGCCGUUGCGAAUUCCCGAAGCUGGCGAGUUUAGAGUCGCUUCAUUCCUGGAGCACCGGACACUGUCCGGUGUACACCGGACAGUCCGGUGAAUUAUAGUGCGGCGGCUCUGAGAAUUCCCGAAGGUGCGAAGUUCAGCUUGGAGUCUCCUGGUGCACCGGACACUGUCCGGUGGCGCACCGGACAGUCCGGUGCGCCCGACCAGGGUGCCUUCGGUUGUCCCUUUGCUCCUUUGUUUGAACCCUUUCUCUUGAUCUUUUUAUUGGCUUAUUGUGAACCUUUGGUACCUGUAGAUCUUAUAGACUUGGGCAAACUAGUUAGUCCAAUUAUUUGUGUUGGGCAAUUCAACCACCAAAAUUAGUUUAGGAAAUAGGUGUAAGCCUAAUUCCCUUUCAAUCUCCCCCUUUUUGGUGAUUGAUGCCAACACAAACCAAAGCAAGUAUAGAAGUGCAUAAUUGAACUAGUUUGCAAAAUGUAAGUGCAAAGGUUACUUAGAAUUUGAGCCAAUAAAUAUUUCUUACUAGAUAUGCAUGGAUUGUUUCUUUAUUUUUAACAUUUUGGACCAUGCUUGCACCACAUGUUUUGUUUUUGCAAAUUCUUUUUGUAAAUCCUUUUCAAAAUCCUUUUGCAAUAUAGUCAAAGGUAAAUGAGUAAGAUUUUGCGAAGCAUUUUCAUGUUUUGGAAUUUUCUCCCCUUGUUUCAAAUGCUUUUCUUUUGACUAAACAAAACUCCCCCUCAAUAAAUUCUCCUCUUAGUGUUCAAGAGGGUUUUAAGAUAUCAAUUUUGAAAGGUGCUACUUUCUCCCCCUUUAGAACACAAAGAGAUACCAAUUUGAAAUUUAUCAAUUGAAAAUCAUUAAUUUUUAAAAUUAGGGUGGGGGUGGUGGUGCGGUCCUUUUGCUUUGGGCUCAUACUUUCUCCCCCUUUGGCAUGAAUCGCCAAAAACGGAUACUUUGAGUGAGAUAUAAGCCCUUCACUAACUACUUUCUCCCCUUUGGCAAAUAAAACAUAUGAGUGAAGAUUAUACCAAAGACGGAGAAUUGCUCGGAGCGACGACGAAGGAUGAGUAAUAGAGUGGAGUGGAAGCCUAACACAUUAGUCAUAGCAUAUAUAAAAGAGACAUGAUCAAGGGUAUACUUAUGAGCGAUGUGUGCAAAUUAGCAAAAGAAAUUCCUAGAAUCAAGAAUAUUGAGCUCAUGCCUAAGUUUGGUAAAAGUUUGUUCGUCUAGUGGCUUGGUAAAGAUAUCGGCUAAUUGAUCUUUAGUGUUAAUGUAUGAAAUCUCGAUAUCCCCCUUUUGUUGGUGAUCCUUAAGAAAAUGAUACCAAAUGGCUAUGUGUUUAGUGCGGCUAUGCUCAACGGGAUUAUCCGCCAUGCGGAUUGCACUCUCAUUAUCACAUAGAAGAGGAACUUUGGUCAAUUUGUAACCGUAGUCCCGCAGGGUUUGCCUCAUCCAAAGCAAUUGCGCGCAACAAUGGCCUGCUGCAAUAUACUCGGCUUCGGCGGUAGAAAGAGCAACCGAAUUUUGCUUCUUUGAAGCCCAAGACACCAAGGAUCUUCCCAAGAACUGGUAAGUCCCCGAUGUGCUCUUUCUAUUAAUCUUACACCACGGCCAAUCGACAUCCGAAUAACCAAUCAAAUCAAAUGUGGAUCCCCGAGGGUACCAAUGCCCAAACUUAGGAGAAUAAGCUAAAUAUCUCAAGAUUCGUUUUACGGCCGUAAGGUGGGAUUCCUUAGGGUCGGAUUGGAAUCUUGCACACAUGCAAACGGAAAGCAUAAUGUCCGGUCGAGAUGCACAUAAAUAGAGUAAUGAACCAAUCAUCGACCGGUAUACCUUUUGAUCGACGGAUUUACCUCCCGUGUCGAGGUCGAGAUGCCCAUUGGUUCCCAUGGGUGUCUUGAUGGGCUUAGCAUCCUUCAUUCCAAACUUGGUUAGAAUGUCUUGAGUAUACUUCGUUUGGCUAAUGAAGGUGCCUUCUUGGAGUUGCUUGACUUGGAAUCCUAGAAAAUACUUCAACUCCCCCAUCAUUGACAUCUCGAAUUUUUGUGUCAUGAUCCUACUAAAUUCUUCACAUGUAGAUUCAUUAGUAGACCCAAAUAUGACAUCUGAGAGCACCUAGAGGGGGGGUGAAUAGGUGAUCCUGUAACACUUCAAAAACUUAAGCCACAAAACUUGGUUAAUUGUUAGCACAAUAAUUGCCAAGUGGCUAAAGAGGAAUCCUCAACAAGACACAAUAACCAACAAGGAUCAAUCACAGAGAUGACACGGUGGUUAUCCCGUGGUUCGGCCAAGACCAACGCUUGCCUACUCCACGUUGUGGCGUCCCAACGGACGAGGGUUGCAAUCAACCCCUCUCAAGCGGUCCAAAGACCCACUUGAAUACCACGGUGUUUUGUUUGCUUUACUCAAUCCCGUUUGCGAGGAAUCUCCACAAAUUUGGAGCCUCUCGCCCUUACACUUGAAAUUCACAAAGAACACGGAGCAAGGGAGGGAUUAGCAACGCACUCAAGACAAGAAAUCACAGCGACACCACGCACACAAGUCGCAACGAGAGCUCACAACACAACUCAAUGAGUUCACCACUCAACUAGAGCUCUAAUUGCUAUUGCAAAGAUCAAAGGCGCGGAAUCGAUGUCUUGGUGCUUAGGAAUGCUUAGGAGAUGCUUGAUGUACUCCUCCAUGCGCCUAGGGGUCCCUUUUAUAGCCCCAAGGCAGCUAGGAGCCGUUGAGAGCAAUCUUGGAAGGCUGAUCUUGCCUUCUGUCGACUGGCGCACCGGACAGUCCGGUGCCCGAUUUCUUUCCAUAAACAGCGCAGUCGACCGUUGGCAGCCUGGGAGCCGUUGGUGCACUUGACAUGUCUGGUGCACACCGGACAGUCCGGUGCCAUCUUCUAGCCGUUGGCUCGGCCACGUGUCCCGCGCAGAUUGCGCGGCCGACCGUUGGCUCACCGGACAGUCCGGUGAAUUUUAGCCGUACGCCGUUGAUGGUUUCCCGAGAGCGACGAGUUCGCCUGUGAGCUGCCCACCGGACAGUCCGGUGCACACCGGACAGUCCGGUGAAUUUUAGUCGUACACCGCCAUCGAAGUCCCGAGAGCAGCCACUUUGCCCAAGCCAGCCUGGCGCACCGGACACUGUCUGGUGCACCACCGGACAGUCCGGUGCACCCAGACUGUGCAGACUUUGGCUGCUCGAGCCAUCUCUUCUCCAACUCGAUUUUUUCUGUUUCCAGCACUUAGACACAAUACAUUAGUCCAUAAAACAAUGUACUAAGUCUGAGAAACAUACCUUUGUCCUUGAUUUGUACUUUGUCCACCAUUUUACAAUUAGGCACCUGUGUUGGGCACUAAAUCACCAAAAUACUUAGAAAUGGCCCAAGGGCACAUUUCCCUUUCAACAUCAUCAACAUAAAUUUGGCAUACAAACAAAUCAUUGUCAAGAGUUUUAGUGAAUAAAGUAGGAUCGGCCUUGCCGACUUUGAAGCCAUUAGCAAUAAGGAAAUCUCUAAGGCAUUCAUACCAUGCUCUUGGAGCUUGCUUGAGCCUGUAAAGCGCCUUAGAGAGCCUAUAAACAUGGUUAGGAUACUCACUGUCUUCAAAGCCGGGAGGUUGCUCAACAUAGACCUCUUCCUUGAUUGGUCCAUUGAGAAAGGCACUCUUCACGUCCAUUUGGUAAAGCUUGAAGCCAUGGUAAGUAGCAUAGGCUAAUAAUAUGCGAAUUGACUCAAGCCUAGCUACGGGUGCUUAGGUUUCACCAAAAUCCAAACCUUCGACUUGUGAAUACCCCUUGGCCACGAGUCGAGCUUUGUUCCUUGUCACCACACCAUGCUCGUCUUGUUUGUUGCGGAAGACCCACUUGGUUCCUACAACAUUUUGGUUAGGACGUGGCACUAAAUGCCAUACCUCGUUCCUCGUGAAGUUGUUGAGCUCCUCUUGCAUCGCCAUCACCCAAUCCGAAUCUUGUAGUGCUUCCUCUACCCUGUGUGGCUCAAUAGAGGAAACAAAAGAGUAAUGCUCACAAAAAUGCGCAACACGAGAUCUAGUGGUUAACCCCUUAUGGAUGUCACCGAGGAUGGUGUCGACGGGGUGAUCUCGUUGGAUUGCUUGGUGGACUCUUGGGUGAGGCGGCCUUGGUUCUUCAUCCUCCUUGUCUUGAUCAUUGGCAUCUCCCCCUUGAUCAUUGCCAUCAUCUUGAGAUGGCUCAUCUCCUUGAUCUUCUCCUUCAUCAACUUGAGCCUCAUCCUCAUUUUGAGUUGGUGGGGAUGCUUGCGUGGAGGAGGAUGGUUGAUCUUGUGCAUUUGGAGGCUCUUCGGAUUCCUUAGGACACACAUCCCCAAUGGACAUGUUCCUUAGCGCGAUGCAUGGAGCCUCUUCUUCACCUAUCUCAUCAAGAUCAACUUGCUCUACUUGAGAGCCGUUAGUCUCAUCAAACACAACGUCACAAGAAACUUCAACUAGUACUGAGGACUUGUUAAAGACUCUAUAUGCCCUUGUGUUUGAAUCAUAUCCUAGUAAAAAGCCUUCUACAGUCUUAGGAGCAAAUUUAGAUUUUCUACCUCUUUUAACAAGAAUAAAGCAUUUGCUACCAAAGACUCUAAAAUAUGAAAUAUUGGGCUUUUUAUCGGUUAGGAGUUCAUAUGAUGUCUUCUUGAGGAUUCAGUGUAGAUAUAACCAGUUGAUGGCGUAGCAAGCGGUGUUGACCGCCUCGGCCCAAAACCGAUCCGGUGUCUUGUACUCAUCAAGCAUGGUUCUUGCCAUGUCCAAUAGAGUUCGUUUUUUCCUCUCCACUACACCAUUUUGUUGUGGUGUGUAGGGAGAAGAGAACUCAUGCUUGAUGCCCUCCUCUUCAAGGAAGCCUUCUAUUUGUGAGUUCUUGAACUCCGUCCCGUUGUCGCUUCUGAUUUUCUUGAUCCUCAAGCCGAACUCAUUUUGAGCCCGUCUCAAGAAUCCCUUUAAAGUCUCUUAGGUUUGUGAUUUUUCCUGCAAAAAGAAUACCCAAGUGAAGCGAGAAUAAUCAUCCACAAUAACUAGACAGUACUUACUCCCGCCGAUGCUCAUGUAAGCGAUCGGGCCGAAUAAAUCCAUGUGUAGGAGCUCCAGUGGUCUGUCAGUCGUCAUGAUGUUCUUAUGUGGAUGAUGAGUGCCAACUUGCUUCCCUGCUUGGCAUGCGCUACAAAUCCUAUCUUUCUCAAAAUGAACAUUCGUUAAUCCUAAAAUGUGCUCUCCCUUUAGAAGCUUAUGAAGAUUCUUCAUCCCAACAUGGGUUAGUCGGCGGUGCCAGAGCCAACCCAUGUUAGUCUUAGCAAUUAAGCAAGUGUCAAGUUCAGCUCUAUCAAAAUCUACCAAGUAUAGCUGACCCUCUAACACUCCCUUAAAUGCUAUUGAAUCAUCACUUCUUCUAAAGACAGUGACACCUACAUCAGUAAAUAGACAGUUGUAGCCCAUUUGACAUAAUUGGGAUACGGAAAGCAAAUUGUAAUGAAUCAACAAGAAAAACAUUGGAAAUGGAAUGGUCAGGAGAUAUAGCUAUUUUACCCAAACCUUUGACCAAACCUUGGUUUCCAUCCCCGAAUGUGAUAGCUCGUUGGGGAUCUUGUUUUUUCUCGUAGGAGGAGAACAUCUUCUUCUCCCCCGUCAUGUGGUUCGUGCACCCGCUAUCGAUGAUCCAGCUUGAGCCCCCGGAUGCAUAAACCUACAAAACAAGUUUAGUUCUUGACUUUAGGUACCCAAACGGUUUUGGGUCCUUUGGCAUUAGAAACAAGAACUUUGGGUACCCAAACACAAGUCUUGGAGCCCUUGUGUUUGCCGCCAACAAACUUGGCAACUACCUUGCCGGAUUUGUUAGUAAGCACAUAAGAUGCAUCAAAAGUUUUGAAUGAAAUGCUAUGGUCAUUUGAUGCACUAGGAGUUUUUCUUUUAGGCAACUUAGCACGGGUUGAUUGCCUAGAGCUAGAUGUCUCACCCUUAUACAUAAAAGCAUGAUUGGGGCCAGAGUGAGACUUCCUAGAAUGAAUUCUCCUAAUUUUGCUCUCAGGAUAGCCGGCAGGGUACAAAAUGUAACCUUCGUUAUCCUGAGGCAUGGGAGCCUUGCCCUUAACAAAAUUAGACAAUCUUUUAGGAGGGGCACUAAGUUUGACAUUGUCUCCCCUUUGGAAGCCAAUGCCAUCCUUGAUGCCAGGGCGUCUCCCAUUAUAGAGCAUACUUCUAGCAAAUUUAAACUUUUCAUUCUCUAAGUUAUGCUCGGCAAUUUUAGCAUCUAAUUUUGCUAUAUGAUCAUUUUGUUGUUUAAUUAAGACCAUGUGAUCAUGAAUAGCAUCAACAUCAAUAUCUCUACAUCUAGUACAAAUAGUGACAUGCUCAAUGGUAGAUGUAGAGGGUUUGCAAGAAUUAAGUUCAACAAUCUUAGCACGUAAUAUAUCAUUUUUAUCUCUAAGAUCGGAAAUUGUAACAUUGCAAACAUCAAAAUCUUUAGCCUUAGCAAUCAAUUUCUCAUUCUCAUUUCUAAGGCUAGCAAGAGAAACAUUCAACUCAUCAAUUCUAGCAAGUAAAUCAACAUUAUCAUCUCUAGGAUUGGAAGUUGAAGCAUGUGAGUCAACCUUAGCUAACAAAUUAGCAUUCUCAUUUCUAAGGUUGUCAAUGGUCUCAUGGCAAGUGCUUAGCUCACUAGACAAUUUUUCACAUUUUUCAACUUCUAGAGCGUAAGCAUUUUUAACCUUAACAUGCUUUUUGUUCUCCUUGAUUAGGAAGUCCUCUUGAGAGUCCAAGAGAUCAUCCUUCUCAUGGAUGGCACUAAUUAGCUCAUUUAGUUUUUCCUUUUGUUGCAUGUUAAGGUCGGCAAAGAGAAUGCGCAAGUUAUCCUCCUCAUUGCUAGCAUCAUCCUCAUCACUAGAGGUUUCAUAUUUAGUGGAGGAUCUUGAUUUUACCUUCUUCUUUUUGCCCUCCUUGGCCAUGAGGCACUUGUGGCCGACGUUGGGGAAGAGAAGUCCCUUGGUGACGGCGAUGUUGGCGGCGUCCUUGUCGGAGGAGGAGUCGGUGGAGCUCUCGUCAGAGUCCCACUCGCGGCACACGUGGGCAUCGCCGCCCUUCUUUUUGUAGUGUCUCUUCUUCUCCUUUCUUCUCCCCUUCUUGUCGUCGCCCCUGUCACUAUCACUGGAUAAUGGACAUUUAGCAAUAAAAUGACCGGGCUUACCACAUUUGUAGCAUACUUUCUUGGAGCGGGGUUUGUAGUCUUUCCCCCUCCUUUGCUUGAGGAUUUGGCGGAAGCUCUUGAUGAUGAGCGCCACCUCCUCGUUGUCGAGCUUGGAGGCGUCGAUGGGUGUUCGACUUGGAGUAGCCUCCUCCUUCUUUUCUUCCAUCGCCUUGAAUGCGACCGGUUGUGCUUCAGACGUGGAGGGGUCGUUAAGCUCGUUGAUCUUCUUUGAGCCUUUGAUCAUCAACUCAAAGCUCACAAAAUUACCUAUAACUUCCUCGGGGUCAUUUGUGUAUAUCUAGGAUUGCCACGAAUUAAUUGAACUUGAGUAGGGUUAAGGAAAACAAGUGAUCUUAGAAUAACCUUAACCACUUCGUGGUCAUCCCAUUUUUUGCUCCCGAGGUUGCGCACUUGGUUCACCAAGGAUUUGAGCCGGUUGUACAUGUCUUGUGGCUCCUCCCCUUGGUGAAGAUGGUAGCGACCGAGCUCCCCAUCGAUCGUUUCCCGUUUGGUGAUCUUGGUCACCUCAUCUCCUUCGUGCGCGGUCUUUAGCACGUCCCAAAUCUCCUUGGCGCUCUUCAACCCUUGCACCUUGUUAUACUCCUCUCGACUUAGAGAGGUGAGGAGUAUAGUGGUGGCUUGGGAGUUGAAGUGCUCGAUUUGGGCCACUUCGUCCUCAUCAUAAUCUUCAUCCCCUACGGAUGGUACCUGUACACCAAACUCAACAACAUCCCAUAUACUUUUGUGGAGUGAGGUUAGGUGAUAUCGCAUCAUAUCACUCCACCUAGCAUAAUCUUCACCAUCAAAUGUUGGUGGUUUGCCUAAUGGGACGGAAAGUAAAGGUGUAUGUUUAGGAGUGCGAGGGUAGCGUAGGGGGAUCUUACUAUACUUCUUGCUCUCUUGGUGCUUAGAAGUGACGGACGACGCAUCGGAGUCGAAGGUCGAUGUUGAUGAAGUGUCGGUCUCAUAGUAGACCACUUUCCUCAUCCUUUUGUGCUUGUCGCCUCUCCGAUGCGACUUGUGGGAAGAGGAUUUCUUCUCCUUCCCCUUCCCUUUGUUGGAGGAGUUCUUUUUCUCCUUCCUCUUGUUGCAGGACUCUUCCGAUGAAGUCGACCCGUGGCUUGUAGUGGGCUUGUCGCCGGUCUCCAUCUCCCUCUUGGUGUGAUCUCCCGACAUCACUUCGAGCGGUUAGGCUCUAAUGAAGCACCGGGCUCUGAUACCAAUUGAAAGUCGCCUAGAGGGGGGGUGAAUAGGGCGAAUCUGAAAUUUAACAACUUAAUCACAACUACAAGCCGGGUUAGCAUUAGAAAUAGAAACGAGUCCGAGAGAGAGGGCGCAAAACAAAUCGCAAGCGAAUGAAGAGUAUGACACACGGAUUUGUUUUACCGAGGUUCGGUUCUCGCAAACCUACUCCCCGUUGAGGAGGCCACAAAGGCCGGGUCUUUUUCAACCCUUUCCCUCUCUCAAACGGUCCCUCGGACCGAGUGAGCUUCUCUUCUCAAAUCAAAACCGGGAACAAAACUUCCCCGCAAGGACCACCACACAAUUGGUGUCUCUUGCCUCGGUUACAAUUGAGUUUUGAUCACAAGAACAAAUGAGAAAGAAAAGAAGCAAUCCAAGCGCAAGAGCUCAAAAGAACACAGCAAAUCUCUCUCGUUAAUCACUAAAGCCUUGUGUGGAAUUGGAGAGGAUUUGAUCACUUGGGUGUGUCUAGAAUUGAAUGCCUAGCUCUUGUAAGUGGUUGAGAAGUGGAAAACUUGGAUGACUUGAAUGUGGGGUGGUUGGGGGUAUUUAUAGCCCCAACCACCAAACUAGCCGUUUGGUGGAGGCUGUCUGUCGUAUGGUGCACCGGACAGUCCGGUGCACACCGGACAUGUCCGGUGCGACAGCCACGUCACCAGGCCGUUAGGGUUCCGACCGUUGGAGCUCUGACUGCUGGGCCCGCCUUGAUGUCCUGUGGCGCACCGAACAUCUGUAGAGUGUCCGGUGCGCCAGCAUGGGCGUGCCUGACUUCUGCGCGCGCUGGCGCGCAUUCAAUGCGCUACAGGUAGCCGUUGGCGCCGAAGUAGCCGUUGCUUCGUUGUCACACCGGACAGUCCGGUGUGCACCGAACAUGUCCGGUGAAUUAUAGCGGACUAGCGAUUGCGAAUUCCUGAAGCUGGCGAGUUUAGAGUCGCUUCAUUCCUGGAGCACCGGACACUGUCCGGUGUACACCGGACAGUCUGGUGAAUUAUAGUGCGGCGGCUCUGAGAAUUCCCGAAGGUGCGAAGUUCAGCUUGGAGUCUCCUGGUGCACCGGACACUGUCCGGUGGCGCACCGGACAGUCCGGUGCGCCCGACCAGGGUGCCUUCGGUUGUCCCUUUGCUCCUUUGUUUGAACCCUUUCUCUUGAUCUUUUUAUUGGCUUAUUGUGAACCUUUGGUACCUGUAGAUCUUAUAGACUUGGGCAAACUAGUUAGUCCAAUUAUUUGUGUUGGGCAAUUCAACCACCAAAAUUAGUUUAGGAAAUAGGUGUAAGCCUAAUUCCCUUUCAGCCCAUAGGGUCCGCCGGCUGGUAUUUCCUAUCCUUUGAUUUACGCAACAGGACCGGCGGUGGGGCGUGUAGGCUUAUGGUACUUGACCAUACCAAGCGACUUCACGACCCCUAACCAUCCCACUGUCUGGUUGUCGGGUCUGGCUACUCAGCUCGGAUGUCACAAUACCAGCCAGGGAAUAAAACUGCAUGAGUGGUGAGAUAGCAAUAAUGGCCGCAAACUGUAUGAUUAAAAUCCACAUAAGAACAGUUUUGUGGGUCGAACCCCUUCCUUAUAACUCGAUAUACACAGACGCAGGCCAACAGGCCGGGUUUAUUUGAGGGCGGACCUCCCCGGGCUGGCGCUUAUAAGUGUGCUUCUUGGUUACAGGGAAAGGGACUGAACCCCCCAAUUAUAUCUUUAUGGGAAAAACUUACGGAGAUGUUCUAUGUUCCAAGGGUUGGGAAGAGGUACUCCGUUGGCUGUGGCAUGGCGGACGCAUCCGGGGCAGCAUAUUUCUAUCACUUUGAAGGGUCCUUCCCAACUGGGAGAGAGCUUAUGGAGCCCUUCUCGGUUCAGUAUUCGCCUCAGGACCAGAUCCCCGACCCCAAGCUUCCUACUAUGCACGAACCACUGGUGGUAGAGCCUGAGCGCCUGGUUGUAUCGUGCAUUUCAGAUUGACGCUUGCCACCUGUAUUCAUUGAUGAAGUCCACAUCUUCACGUCGCAGCUGUUCCUGCGCAGACUCAUCAAAAGACUGGACUCGCGGGGAGCCCAUAAUGAUUUCCGGAGGAAGGCAAGCUUCAUCCUCGUAUACCAGGAAGAAUGGGGUCUCCCCGGUGGCUCGGCUGGGCGUGGUCCGGUUCCCCCAUAACACGGAUGGGAGCUCACUGACCCAAUUCGUGCCAUGCUUUUUUAAGCAGUCAUAGGUGCGUGUCUUGAGUCCCCUAAGGAUUUCCGCAUUUGCCCUCUCCGCCUACCCAUUACUUCUGGGGUGGGCCAUGGAUGCGAAGCAGAGCUGGGUGCCGAUGUCCUCGCAAUAUUCCUGAAAGAUCCGACUUGUAAACUAGGUCCCGUUGUCUAUAAUGAUACGACUUGGGACCCCAAAUCUACAGACGAUCGACUUGAGGAAGGCGACAGCAGCACUCUGGGUAAUGUUGACCACAGGGGUGGCCUCUGGCCACUUGGUGAACUUGUCGAUGGCGACAAAGAGGUACCGGUAGCCGCCGACGGCCCUGGGAAAUGGUCCCAGGAUAUCCACCCCCCAUACGGCGAACGGCCAGGAGGGCUGAAUCAUUUGCAGAGCCUGAGCCGGUAUGUGUAUCAGCUUUGCGUGGUACUGGCACGCUUCGCAGGACUUUACUAGCUCGACUGCAUCUUGGAGGGCGGUUGGCCAAUAAAAACCAUGCCGGAAGGCCUUACCGACCAGCGUGCGGGAUGAAGAAUGACUUCCGCACUCCCCUCCAUGGAUCUCCAUGAGUAACUCAUGGCCCUCCUCCUGGGUGAUGCACCGCAUAAGAAUACCAUUGGCGCCGGGGCGGUAGAGAUCCCCUUCUACCGUCGUGUACCGUUUAGCCAACUGUAAUAUGCGUUUUGCGGAGACAUGGUCUUCAGGAAGGAUAUUGUCCUUCAGGUAGUCCCGGAUCUUAGAGAUCCAUGCAUCGAGACCACUCUGAGUUGUUGGUUGCGGUGCUAGGGGGCUGGUGAAUCCCCCAGUGCACACACCACCUUUGGUGGGUCCUGGGACGCCACCGGGACCGUCGGCUUUGAGGUGCUGGUCUCGCCCCCCCUCGCUCAGUUCGGCUGGCUGGGCAGUGGGUCUCAGCAACCGCCUUUCGAAGGUGCCCUCGGGCGCGGGUGCUCGAGUUGAUGCUCUCUGGGAGAGGUCAUCUACCGCUGAGUUGUCGGCCCUGGGAACAUGUUGUAGUUCCAAGGCCGCAAAGUCCUUCUCUAGCUUCUUUACAUGAAGGAGGUAAGCUGUGAGCCUGGGCUCAUUGCAGCUGCAUUCCCCACGGGUCUGCUUGAUGAUUAGCUGAGAGUCCCCCUUCACAAAGAGCUGGCGGACCCCCAGGGAUAGGGCCGCAGAUAGGCCGAAGACCAGUGCCUCAUAUUCUGCCAUGUUGGUGGUGGCUUUGAACUCGAGGCGUACCACAUACUUCAACUGGUCCCCGUCUGGGCCGACGAGGACCACUCCUGCGCUAGCACUCUCUUGGCGGGCGGAUCCGUCGAAGAAGAGUGUCCAGUGGGGUUCGGUGAAGACUGGGCCCCCGCGCCCCACAUGUGUGGGGCCUGGGUCGUAGUCCGGGCCCCCAGGGGCGUACGGGGGUGGAGUCCACUCCACAAUGAAGUCGGCUAGGACCUGACUCUUGAUAGCGUGGCGGGGCUGGAAUUCUAGCUGGAAUUCGGCGAGCUCCGCUGCCCAUUUGGCGAUGUUGCCAGUGGCGUUUGAGUUGUGGAGGAUGGCCCUCAACGGAAAGGAGGUCACCACCACAACUCUGUGCGCCUGGAAGUAGUGGCGUAACUUCCUGGACACGACCAGGACAGCAUAGAGGAGCUUAUGUGUCUCGAGGUACCUGACCUUCGCUUCAUGGAGGACCUCGGUGACGUAAUAAACUGGUAUCUGGACGGUCCGGGCGCCGGAUGCUGGUUCUGAGUUCUCAGGUCUCUGUCCUUCUGGUGUCGCCCUUUCGAUGACUAACACCAUGCUCACUGCUUCCGCAGCCGCCGCAAUGUACAAGUACAACGUUUCUCCUGGCUCUGGGGCAACCAGGAUCGGCAGGGAGGUUAGGUGUUGUUUCAAUUCCCGGAAGGCUUGUUUCGCCUCUCCGGUCCAAGCAAAAGGGCCAGAUUUCUGUAGGAGCUCGAAGAAGGGCAGAGCCCUCUCAGCCAGCCUUGAAAUGAAGCGGCUUAGAGCAGCCAAAGAUCCCGUAAGCUUCUGGAUGUCCUUGACACCGGCGGGAGGCCUCAUUAUCUCGAUAGCCUUGAUUUUUUCUAGGUUAGCUUCAAUGCCCCGGUAUGAAACCAGGAAACCCAGCAGCUUUCCUGCGGAAACGCCGAAGAUGCAUUUCUCCAGGUUCAGUUUGGUGCGGGUUGCCCGCAGCUUGUCGAAGACCAGGGUUAGAUCUUCUACUACAGUCGACCCCCUUCUAGUCUUGACCACGAUGUCAUCGACGUAAACUUCCACCUUGUCCCGGAUCAGGUCCCCAAAGGUCUUACUCAUCGCCCGAACAAAUGUUGGCAGGGCGUUUUUCAGACCAUAAGGCAUCACAACAUAACAGUACAACCCAUUUACCGUUACAAAAGCAGUGUGCUUCUUAUCUUCCCUAGACAUCCGGAUUUGAUGAAAACCAGAGUAGGCAUCUAGGAAAGACAAAAAGUCGCACCCUGAGGUAGAGUCCACGAUCUGACCUAUACGUGGAAGUGGGUACGGGUCCUUGGGGCAUGCCUUAUUCAGGCUGGUGUAGUCGAUGCACAUCCGGAGUUUCCCGUUUGCUUUUGGCACGAUGACUGGGUUGGCCAGCCACACGGGGUGGUGAACCUCUUCAAUGAAGCUAGCGUGCAACAGUUUCCGAACCUCCUCACGGAUGAAGUCCUGUCGUUCCAUGGACUGUCUCCGAGGCUUCUGGCUUACUGGCUUGGCGUUCAGAUAGAUCUUUAGAUGGUGCUCAAUCACCUCCCUGUGGAUCCCAGGCAUCUGCGACGGCUCCCAAGCGAAUACGUCAGAAUUUGCCCGGAGGAAGGUGACGAGCACGAGUUCCUAUUUCUCUCCCAGAUCUCCUGCGAUGCGGGUGGUCCGGGAUGGUUCUGUGCUGACCUGGAUGGUCUUCGUAGUCACCUUUGAGUGCCCGCCGUCUGCUUCGGUUGGUUGCACCUUCGGUGCUUUGGCGCCGGGGGCUGAGGAGCUUCUUCCUCCGCCGUUUGGCCGAGCGGUCUCGGCCGCCAGGGUGUGUAGUUUUUCAACAGCCGCCAGAGCGGCGGUGCGGUCACCCUGCACGGUGAGGACUCCUGCGGGGGAUGGCAUCUUAAGGACCAAGUACCCAUAAUGGGCGAUGGCCAUGAACCGGUACAGGGCUGGCCUCCCAAUGAUGGCGUUAAAUGGGAGGUUGACCUCUGCGACGUCGAACUGGACGUUCUCCAUGCGGAAGUUUUCCUCCGUCCCAAAUGUAACCGGGAGCGUAAUACUCUUGAGGGGAUAUACGGGCUGCGGGCCUACCCCAGAAAAUGGGCGGGAGGCCCCCAGCCGGGACCCUGGGAUCUGCAGCUGCCUGAACGCUGCAUGGCUGAUGACAUUGAGGCCAGCCCCUCCAUCGAUCAGCACGUGAUGCAGCCGCAUAUUGACGACAAUGGGGGCGGUGAUGAGCGGUAGUACGCCGACCCCUGCCAUUGUAGCAUCCCAAAAAUUCAAAUCUUGAAAUUUUCUCAAACUCGCUCUAAAUUCAAAAUGAAUUUCAAAUUUCAUUUCAAAAUGUUCGUUUGCAAGUUGAUAUCAGCAAAUAAAUUAUAGUGGUCUAUAUUCUCUCCAAAAUCCUCCUCAAAAUAUCCUACAAAUAUUUCCUCAGUGACCCCCCUCAAAUUCGUUCCAGAAAUACUGCCCAGAUAUUUCCCCAGUAAUCCCCCUCAAGUUCUUUCUAGAAAUAUUGCCCAGAUAUUCCACCGAUAUAUCUCCAAGUAUUUUCCUCUUGAGAAAUACCUUCAGAAUCAUUUUUCAAGUCCCUAUAAAUAUUUUCUUCAUAACUUUCUUCAUGCUCAUACGUAUACGUAUGCCUCCAGUGUCAUACGGUGAGCUCUACAAGCUAAUCUCACUUAUACAAGACAAAUACAUGCUAAUCUCCCACUAAUCCUCUCAUCCUCCCACUAAUCCUCUCAUCCCUCCCCCUAAUCCCCCCACCAUGGCUAUAAAUAGAGGGGCAAGGGCCUCCUCUCAUCCCACCCCAAGCCAUUUCAUGGCAACUCUCUUCCCCCCACACACCCACUCCAUGUUCCACAUAAGCACACACUAGCACAAGGAUCGUUCGAUCGUUCUUCGAUCGUUCGUCCCCUGUUCUUAGUUUGUUCGUUCGUCCGAUCGUUCAUGGUUCGUUCGUCCGUUCGUAUGAUCGUUCGAUCGUUCGUCCGUUCGUUCAUCCAAAUAAUCUUUUUCCUACUGUUAUGCUGCCGAAAUUCCGAUCGUUUGUUCGUUCGAUCAUUCGAUCGUUCAUCGUUCGUUCAUAGUUCCUAUUCAUCGUUCAUUGUUCGUUCAUAGUCCCUAUUCAUCGUUCUUCCAGAUAAUCUUUGUCCUGCCGUUAUGCUGCCGAAAUUCCGAUCGUUCGUUCGUCCGAUCAUUCGAUCGUUCGUCCGUUCGUUCAUCCAAAUAAUCUUUUUCCUGCCGUUAUGUUGCCGAAAUUCCGAUCGUUCGUUCGUUCGAUCAUUUGAUCGUUCAUCGUUCGUUCAUAGUUCCUAUUCAUCGUUCAUCAUUCGUUCAUAGUCCCUAUUCAUCGUUCUUCCAGAUAAUCUUUGUCCUGCUGUUAUGCUGUCGAAAUUCCGAUCGUUCGUUCGUCCGAUCAUUCGAUCGUUCAUUCGUUCGUUCAUAGUUCCUAUUCAUCGUUCAUCGUUCGUUCAUAGUUCCUAUUCAUCGUUCAUCGUUCGUUCAUACGAACUAUUUACCAUCGCUAUUCACCGUUACUAUUCAUCAUUACUAUUCACUGACACUAUUCACCAUCGUUACUAUUCAGUGUUACUAUUCAUCAUCGUUACUAUUCAUCAUCGUUACUACUCAUCGAUGAUAUCUAUGUAACUUUUUUGUCGUCACUAUUCAUCGUUACUAUUCAUCGAUUAGCCGAUCACCCCAAAUUUCAACUACUCAUACAUCAUGUUGUCCAGUCCACCUAAGACCAGCCAGACCCAUAUUCCAGUCAUACGAACUCCGGUGACUGUGAUUUUUCUUCCAGUGGGAACUUCCCAUCUGGUCACCCAUCCUAGGUUUCUCCAAGUUGAGCAUGCUUAACUUUGAGAUUCCUUUGAACCAGGCUUCCAAACUCAGAUUCCAAUAAUUCUUGUUUCUAAAUUCUUAUCGAAUUAUUUCCUAUCCAACCAUGUCAUCCCUUAAGCAUGGUUCAUAUUCCAGAAACCUCCCAAAAUACUCUUGUCCCAUAUUCUGCCUAUAACUCUCCUGUUCAUACUAAGUCAGAUGAUUCAUUCGUCACUAUUCUCACCAACAGUGAACUUCACUGUGCUACACCAUAGACACCCAACUAUAAAUACACCCAGCUACCCUCUCCCUCUCCACACACACUCAACACCCUCAGCCAAGGCAAACACCCCACCCACUUAGUUACUCCGCUCUGCCGGCUACACGCAUAGUGUCGUUUCGCCUCCAGUCCACCCUCCUGGUAAGCACCUCCACUCCACCAUCAGUAAUAUCACAACACCACAUGACACAGAUUCUACUCAAGACUCUACCCAUCCAUAAAUCACUAUUCUGACCACUAUACUAAAUAUUUGUUGGUAUACUUGUUGGUUUGUAUGUUUGCUUGUUCAUGUUGCAUAGUUAUCGGAGCGUUCAUGCUGUCUCGUGGAGGCUAGAUCUGCAAGUCUACGUCAGGCAGUGGAGCCAGAAGCUAGUUCCGCGAGCUCUCCUUCCACCUUCGCCUAAUAAGCACAGCAAGCUCACUGGAUCCCUUUGAUGCAUAAAUUACCUAUGUUUUUCAACCACAACCCUCAUCCUGUUAUUUUAUGCAUGAUAUGAUUUUGAGACAAGUUAUUAUGGCCACCCAGCUGCUUGCCGCAAUCAAUCCCUGAUAUAUUCGUUACAAAUGAUUUGAGGAAAGAUGUGAGUUUCCAAAAGAAAAUGCUUUUCAAAAUUUGUAUGAUGAAGGGUUUUCACCCUUAUCACCUUGUGAGUGGGAUGAUCAAGGACUCCCUGGUUUAGGGGAGGGCCUAAGGUGUUGGCUCAGCUGGUUUAGGCGUGAGCAGAAGGAUUGUCCUCUCACAUAAGGACCGGCUUGUCAUUUUCACUACCUGUACUCCUUAAUAGUACAACCACUCGAGACUGUGUGGGCAGUCACUCAAUCCGAACUUGUGCGGUCCAACCCCAAGGUUAUGAAGGCUGGGGAGCACCGGGAGGAUAAGGAGGGGGAAAGUUUUGUCCGGUUUGGACAUGGUGGUGGCCUGACUCCUUCCGGAUAACCGUUAAGGUUAGGACGUACGAGGAAGGAAAGAGAUCCGACAUUCGGGUCUCGCGACGGUGAGAUCGCAGAAACCGGACUAGUGGGUAAAGUGUACACCUCUGCGCAGAGUUUGAAAACCUAUUCGAAUAGUCUGUGUCCACAGGAAUGGAUGAGUCUGGUGUGGUAUGGCAAUUAGCGUUUUGUUUUCAAAAAAAAGAGGUGCGUUUGAGAAAAGUGGUUUUUAAAAGGUUCGGCGGUUGAGCUGUGAGCUAUGGUGGACGAGAAGUCCAGUAGCUGUUUUUUGGAAAUGAAAACCAGUGGGAAACUGCUGAGAUACCUGGAUGGUUUAGUCCAGGGGAUUUUGUUAUAAUACUAAAAAACUUCCUGCUUCUUUUGGAGAGGAUGCGCUUUGCGAAAGUACAAAAUGUUUUUCAAAACAACCCUGCAUAAAAUAUUGUUGUUUCUGCAAAAUAUUCUGAGCUCCACAUAUUCCAUGCAUUAUAUCUGAUUUCCCCAUUCCGCGGGUGAAGGUGGGCUGCUGAGUACGUUUGUACUCACCCUUGCUUAUUUGUUGUUUUUCAGAAAAAGGAGAUCGAGUAAGAGUUAUGACUGUUCCCAACCUUGCCUAUGGCUGUUGGACCGCUGAUUUGCUUCGCUGCGUAUAUCGGGCUGCUUCAGCCCCACUCUGAUGAUAUGUCUUGAGUUGUGGACCAACUCUUAAAGUUGUUCGCCACCUUUGUAGGUGUCGGUGUUUUGGGUCCGACCGCACACCCGGGGUUGCCCCUCAAGGUGUUUUUAGGAGUAGGACGGUGUCGACGACUGUAGCAAAAUGGUUCGUGCCGAUCGCACGGAGGACAAUGGACAAGAUUUGCAGGUUCGGGCCGCUUAGAAGCGCGUAACACCCUACGUCCUGGUGAGUAUAUGAGCGUGGUUACAAGAGGAUUCUCUGGAUAGAGGGUGCAGAGAGUUUUUGUGGGUGGCUAAGUAGAACCGGGUCGAUCGAUCUGAAGGGGUGCCCCCUAGGCCUUAUAUACUCGGCCGUGGAGCAUUACAUGUGAUACGAUAACAACAAGUAGCUGAAAGAUAGUGAACCUCUUGAGUUUAUCCUUACGUAACCUCCGCCGACUUAUCCUCGCAUGGCUCCGUUGCAUGGGGGCUUCAGCGCGGGAAAGUCGGGUCUCUGUUUGUGAUUCAUUCGUUCGACGUUGUGGGCCGCCUGUGCUUGCACUAAUCAGUCCCACGUCUUCUUUAUUGGUUGUCCUUCCCUAGGCCCACGAAAGAAUGACCUUACGAAUUAUUGGGCCCUUGGGCUUUUCGUGAGGCCUUUUACUUCUUUAGUGGACCCAGGGGAUAUCUAUCCCCCACAAGCCCCCGAUCUUUGAGUUAAUUUAGAGGUAAUCAACUCAAAGAUCCAAGGUCCAGAAAAUGACUUCCUGCUGUCUUCUCUGGCUCUGAUCACUCGUUCGACCAAAGUUUGGUUUUGUGCUUGUGCCUUAGAGGUCGGCAUUUUGGAUUGUAAGACUCUGGACUUCAUUGGGUGCACCGGAGGUGCACCCAAUGGGUGUAGCCCCCGACCUUUGAGUAGAUUUUAGAAGAUAAUCUACUCGAAGGUCUUCUUCCAAAGGUUAUCUCCAUUCGCGUUCCUGCAUCUCGGUUGAGGAUUGGUCUUUUCAAUUUUGCUCUACGCCUUAGAAGUCGGCGCUAUGUCGGUUUAGAAUAAUACUCCAUGGGGUGCACCGGAGGUGCACCCAAUGGGUGUAGCCCCCGACCUUCAAAUGGAUUUUUUGAAGAUAAUCCAUUCGAAGGUCUUCCUUCCGCUUGUGGAAACUGGCAUGAAGCUAUUUUGCAUUAUGCUUUUGAGGUCAGCAUUAUGUCAUCAAUAUUUUGCUGCAAAGGUCAGCGUAUAUUUUGUCUUUAGCAGCCGAGUUUGCAAUCCAUCCAUAUCUUGCUAGGUAGCGCAAUUUAUUUGCUUCUGCGAUUGAUUGGACGUUUGACGGACGUUCUCUGUCUAGUCUUCACGUCGCUUCUGUCGGCCAUAUCUUGUACUUUGCUGGUUAUAUUUGGCUUUCCUCUGAUCCUUACUGAUAUCUCAUUUUUGUCUUGAGGUAUUCACUGCAUGCUCUGCACAGAUGUGACCGUUUGAAAAAUAUACUGAUAAUUCCUGGGCGUCCCCCUCCCAAUGGGUGUGGGCAAGGGACGGCUUGGUACGCUGAGUGUUUUAGCCGGUUGCCUCUGAGUAGUAAUGCGAUGGGACGGCUAGUGUAAUCAUAUCCUUUGCGCUGUUGACUGGAGUCCCAAUGGGUGUAGUGUUGCAUGAAACGGCGUCCACCGUCUGACGUGUCUUCGGGUGGGUGGAAGUGCUUAUUGAAUGCCUUGCGACUGUUCAAUGACCGCGGUUAGAAGUGAGCGGUUGCCUUUCCCUUCUAUAAAUAACCCCUUUGCUUCUCUGGUUUCUUCACAUCUCUUCGCUGCUCCUUACUGCCUCUUCCCUUUCUUCUCUCCCAAAGCUUCAACCAUGGGCAAGAACAACAAGCGCAAGCGUGAACCGACUCCUCCAUCGGAGGAGUUUGGUGACUCGGAAUACUCGGAGGAGGAGUUCUCCUCCGAGCCCGAGGGGUCUCCGGCUCCCGUCUCUCCCCCGGCGUCGUCUGAUGACUCGGACGACUCCCAGGGGAUAGCCGCGGAGGUCUGGACGUACAUCCGAGCUGUCGAGCGCGUCGGGCUCGAAGGCUCGGAUGAGUCGGAGUACUCCUCGGAUGAGGAGGACUCGGACGGCGGCGACGAGGGUGAAGACGACGACGACGACGACGACGACGAUGACGACGGCGACGACAGUGGCAGGGGCGGCGGCGACGGUGGCAGGGACAGCACCAAGGGCGACAGCAGGGGCAGCACCAAAGGCAGCAGCAGGGGCAGCACCAAGGGCGGCGGCGGCGGCAGGGGCAGGGCCAGUGGCUAGACGCCACUGGUUUUCUUAGAUAUUAGUAUAGUUUAGUAUAGCUAGAAUAACGUAGUAGUAAUUAGUGUAAUUUAGUAGUAGUAGUAGUAAUGUAGAGUAGAAUUAGGGAAGUACCAACUCAUAAAGAGUUGGUUUGUAAGCUCGUCAGCUUCCCUUUAAUGAAGUAUAUUGUUUAUCCCCUUUCUUUGAUGACUUGCCACUGCUUUUGCUGAAUGUUGAACUGAUUCGAAUGAUAGAAGGUCGGCAUCGGCAUUUUAGAGGUAAUGCCAAGCGACAAAAUACAGGGCCGGCAUUUUAGAAAUAACGCCGAGUGAUAGAAUAUCGGCGUCAGCAUUUUAGAAGUAAUGCUGAGCGUUUGAACACGUGGUCGGCGUUUUAGAGGCAGCGCCAAGUGAUUUGAAGGUCGGCAUCGGCAUUUUAGAAGUAAUGCCGAGCGAUUGAACACGUGGUCGGCGUUUUAGAGGCAGCGCCGAGUGAUUGAAGGUCGGCGUCGGCAUUUUAGAAGUAAUGCCGAGCGAUUGAACACGUGGUCGGCGUUUUAGAGGCAGCGCCGAGCGAUUGAAGGUCGGCGUCGGUAUUUUAGAAGUAAUGCCGAGCGAUUGAACACGUGGUCGGCGUUUUAGAGGCAGCGCCGAGUGAUUGAAGGUCGGCGUCGGCAUUUUAGAAGUAAUGCCGAGCGAUUGAACACGUGGUCGGCGUUUUAGAGGCAGCGCCGAGUGAUAGCCAGCUUCUCAAGUUACUUUGAGGAAAAUGGCCGAGUGAUGAGGUGGCUCAUCGGCUUUCUUGGAAAUAACUGUUAGAUAUCCAAGUGGCAUGCUGGGAUUUCGGAGAUGACCGCCGGGUGGUGACUGGGCACUUUUGAAAAGGUAUCUGGCUCAAGAAUAUCCCUUAAGAGUCGCGCUUUCAGCCGCCUUUGCUUUCCGUGCCCUAGUUCUUGCAUUUCCGCAUCUGAGGCUUCUCUGCCACUCGCCUCCUGCUCUGUUUCGCCGGCGAGAAGCAAGAUGGCGCCCAAGAGGAAGACCGCGAACUCGUCUGCUGCAGUGAUCCCCGCCAUCGAUCCCAACAGUCAGUUACCCUUCGCAGGUAACCAUAUGUCUGUGAUUUCUGAAGUUGAGCUUCUCCGCCUUGUCUCCAUCGGGGUUCUCCCUCCACGGGAACUCUGUUCUUGGCGUUCUUGCCACGGGACCACUGUCCCAACCGAAGAUACCCACGAGUCAGUGGUGUACACUCCUUUCCUUCUUCGCGGCCUCGGCCUUCCCAUAUCUCCUUUUUUCCGUGGUAUCCUUGAUUUUUAUCACAUCAACCUGACUCACUUGAACCCUAACUCCAUUCUCCAAAUCUCUAUUUUCGUUCACCUUUGCGAAGCUUAUCUUGGCGUGCUGCCGCAUUUUGGCUUGUGGAAGUAUCUGUAUCACUGCCGUCCUGGGAUGGCCGGGGGGCAACAUCAAUUGGUCGGGGGUGCCAGUUUAGAGAUGCGCCGGGGGCGGAAGACCGAGUAUCUCGAGAUACCCCUCAAAGACAGCAUUAAAGGUUGGCGUCUGGAGUGGUUUAUAAUGGAUAAUUAUGGAAAUUCUCUACCUUCCCGCUCAGGGAGACAAGCAGACGUUCGUACUCCGAGUUGGACUGAAUCUCCCACGGACCAAGAAGUAGCCGAGGCGGGCGUGUUGCUUACUGAAGUUGGAUUACUGAAAGAGAGAGGUCUGACUGCCGAAGCCGUGGUCACAGAUUUUGUUUUCAAGAACAUUCAGCCGCUGAAGGACAGGGCCUAUCCGGCAUAUCUUUACCGAGGGCUGGCCGACUCAACCCGAGUUACUAAUAGGAGAAUUCCUUCUGUUGAUUUGGUGAGCCGACUCGAGAUGAUCCUCAGGGGUAAAGUUUCAAACGUUGGAGCUCCAGUGGCAUACUCGGCUUGGAACCUGCCUUCUCCCAAAGAUUUCACUCUUUUUGUGUCCAAUCCGCCCGUGACAGAUAGCAAUUUGGGUCUUAGAGUGCGACCUUCUGCUGAGGAGGUUCGUUCCUUAGUUGCUUCGCUCGGGGAGAUACCUGAUGAUGAACGGCAGAUUUAUUUUGAAGUGCCCCUGAACCCUAGUGACGCAGACAUAAAUGACAUGCUCGAUCUGCUAGCUGAGGAUUCAUCUGAUACUGUUCCUGAUGGUACAUUGGCGGUGGUGCCGCUUCCAGAGGUUGAUGUGACCUUGGAUGUCUCGAAGCCUGUCAGUACUCGCCCGAUGCGUCCCAGCCGAACCAGUCAGCCCGAGCCUUCUGCUGAUGAGCAGAAGAAGAAAAGAAGACGCCUCCGGCGAGUGUCUAGCUUUGAUGAGGAUGCCAGCACCUUAGCUCCUGCUGCUGAAGAAAUGACUGCAACUGGCCUUGCUGACAUUGAACCCAAUGGGUGUGCUCCGCCUGCUGCUGACCCCAAUGAGGAUGCUGUUUGUGCUGUUGCUGUGGAAGAUGAGGAGGAAGAGAAUGAAACUCCAUUAACUCGGAAAAACAGUCGGCAGUUCGUCGCUAGCGGUGGUAGUAGUGGGGUUCCUUCUCCUGCUUUGUCUGCUCUUAUUGGUCUGCAAGAACUGUCCAUGGCCAAUUUUGAUCGAGCUCUAGAGGAUAUGGUCCCUGAGAACUUGCUGUUGGAACCUGCAGACGCUGAUGCGACAGAAACUUGUGCAGCCGUGCCAGAUGCUGGGUUGAGGUCGUCCCGUGCCUCGUCGACCUUAGAGCACGAUCUCGAGGGCCGGGAUGAUGACUUGGAUCGUCCUGAUCCUGUGGUAGUAGCUGAAGGCCCGUCGACCUUAGAGGUGGUCACGGCAGAGAGCUGGGAUCCUUUGAAUAGUGCUGACAUGUGCCCAGCCCCCGAGGGUGUCGCCGGGGAGGACUCAGCUCAGGUGAGGAGCGUAGGCCACUACCCAGCCCCCGAGGGUGUUGCCGGGGGUGACCCGGCUCAAGUGGGCAGUGCCAACCUUGACCCAGCCCCCGAGGGUGUCCGAGCGAGGUCUCCCUCCUGCACUUCCAUGGAUGUUCAUGUGGGUUCACCUCCACACUCUGGCGGCAUGAUGGUGGCUCAAACUCCAGAUCAGGGGGUCGCUUUGGAGGGCAGCAUCCCCACUGGUCUGGCGUUAAGCUCUGCUGAAUGUACUGAGCUCGUUCCUGCCGGUCUGCUGCAAGCUGCUUCGAGUGGUGGUCUGGCACCUGGUCAUCAGCUGAUUUCUCCUGACUGGGGGAUCCCUUCGCUUUUCUCCAACCUCCAGGUGCUGUGCUGUGCUUUAGUUUGAUCUUUAUGUUGCAUGAAUUGUUGCCAUUAUGCUCAUCCGCUCUUCUUAUCAGGCUUUGGUGGAUGGAAUGGUCGGCCAGCUGAAGUCGCAGGGUGCUUCCAUCCCGGAGGUGGCUUCAUCUCUUGAGCGUUGGAAUCCGGUGUUGCUUCGGGGUCGUGUAUCCGAGUUGGAGGCCACCAAUGCUGGUCAGUGUCCUUUCUUCUUCUUCUUUGUUCUUGCCCGUAGGUUGUUUUACCUUCUGACCUCAUUUUGUUUGAAUACCUCUUGAUAGGGAUGACUCGGCAGAUCACAGUUCUUGAAGAAAAACACUCUCAAGAUCAAGCUGAAAUGGCUCGACGAUGCGCUGACUUCGAGGAGAAGUAUUCUCAAAGUCAGAUCGAGUUGAGUCAGGUCUCUGCGGCUUUGGAUGAUGCCAGCGCUCUGAGUUCUUCUCUUCAUGCUCAGCUUGACUCUGAGAAGGUAGCUUACGAACCUGUGCUUCGCCUUAUCGUGCUCUUGGAUUCUGAACGAGUUUGAUUUUUGCUUGUAGGAAGAAAAACGUAUCCUUGCUGCUUCUCGCGACAACUUGGACAGAUUGUACCGAGAUUCCAGUAACUCGCUGACCAUCUUGGAGAGGAGCCACCGUUUUACGAUGGAGGAGCUUGACAAUCAGCGCCGUCAACUGCAAGAAUCUUCGGACGAAGUGGCCCGCCUUACACAGUUGCUAUCAGCAAAGGAUGCCACCAUCAAGGAACUCCGAGCUUCCAAGAAAACCAUUGCCCGGGAGUUAGAAACUGCUCAGCUGGCCGCUAAAACCGCUGAAGAGACUGCUGCUACUCUCAAAACCCAGCGCGACAAAGCCAUGGACAAGGCUAUUCGAGCGGGGCGAAUCUUGAUGAGGAGGCCCGGAGUGGUAGUUCCUGAAGAUAUAAAAGCUGAUGUGCGUGCCGCCCCUGAUUCUUCGAUUCGCCCUUCUUCAUCGGUCGUUCCUAAGAAAGAUAUUGGAAAAUAGAGAAACACUUUGCGUGCCGCGAGCACGCGGUUAGUAUGAGCAAGCAUUCAUUUAGAGGACAUCAGCUUAUCAUCCGAAUGUUAUGAUUUCUUUUCUUGUCGUAUCAGAAUUUAUUAGUUUGCAAGUUUGUGGUAACGCUGCAUGAUGAUUAUGAAGUUUGUUUGUGGGAUAUGGAAAUCAUCCCCUGAACUGCAUAAGCGCGAGUAUGCUAUACCGGUUUAAGCCGUCAAUGACUUUUAGCCGGUAACUUCCGUUAGUAGGGUUUAGUGAUCGCCCUAGGUAAAGUAAGCGUAAGCAUGUUACACCGCCUUAAGUCGUUGCCGACUUAAGUCGAUUGCUCCGUUUGUAGGGCAUAGUGGUCACCCCGAGUUAAGUAAGCGUGAGCAUGUUGCACCGCCUUAAGUCGUUGCCGACUUAAGUCGAUUGCUCCGUUUGUAGGGCAUAGUGGUCACCCCGAGUUAAGUAAGCGUGAGCAUGUCGCACCGCCUUAAGUCGUUGCCGACUUAAGUCGAUUGCUCCGUUCGUAGGGCAUAGUGGUCACCCCGAGUUAAGUAAGCGUGAGCAUGUUGCACCGCCUUAAGUCGUUGCCGACUUAAGCCGAUUGCUCCGUUUGUAGGGCAUAGUGGUCACCCCGAGUUAAGUAAGCGUGAGCAUGUUGCACCGCCUUAAGUCGUUGCCGACUUAAGCCGAUUGCUCCGUUUGUGGGGCAUAGUGGUCACCCCGAGUUAAGUAAGCGUGAGCAUGUUGCACCGCCUUAAGUCGUUGCCGACUUAAGCCGAUUGCUCCGUUUGUGGGGCAUAGUGGUCACCCCGAGUUAAGUAAGCGUGCGAGUCAAUCAUAAAUGAGCCAAGUAUCUUUGAAGUCUCUCUUUAUUGAUGACGUAUUUCCAUUAUACAGAAUACAUGGUCGCUUUGGCUGUUUUGAAAUACAGCUAGGGGUAGAACUUUCGGAGGUGCUUUAUGUUCCAGGAGUUCCCAACUUCCGUGCCAUCCAUUUGGGUGAGGCGAUAUGAUCCGGGACGAGUGACUUCUGCCACUAUGAAAGGUCCUUCCCAUAAGGGUGAUAACUUGUGCCGUCCCUCCCCCGUUAGAAUUUGGCGGAGGACGAGGUCUCCCAUCGAAAAGAAACGUUGCCGCACAGCUUUGUCAUGGUAGCGCCUUAGAGUCUGCUGGUAUCGUGCUGAUUGAAUCACCGCAUUCAGUCGUUCUUCCUCGAGUACGUCAAUAUCCUCCAGCCUAGUGGCUUCGGCUUCUGCUAUGCUUUCGAAGAUCAAUCUUGGCGCCCCAAACUUGAGAUCAGCGGGUAGCACUGCCUCCGACCCAUAGACCAUAAAGAAAGGAGUGUUUCCAUGCAGGGCCCGGCUAGGUUGAGUUCUCAAGCUCCAAACAACAUAAGGCAAUUCUCUUAUCCAUUUUCCUGCGAAUUUUUCAUUUUUAUCAAAGACCCUUUUUCUAAGUGCCUCCAAUAUCAUUCCGUUGGCUCGCUCAACCUGCCCGUUGGCUCUCGGAUGGGCUACAGAUGCAUACUUGAUCUGAAUGCUUUUUUGCUCGCAGAAGUCAAAGAAUUCUGAACUGGUGAAGUUGGAUCCCAAGUCAGUGAUGAUAUUGUUCGGUAUCCCAAAUCUGAAUAUUAUGCUUUGUAUGAACUCCACGGCUUUAGCAGAGGUUAAGGAGGCAAUGGGCUGAAACUCUAUCCAUUUAGUGAACUUGUCAAUUGCCACCAAUACAUGGGUGUAUCCUCCUUGAGCUUUCUUGAAAGGUCCAAUCAUGUCCAAUCCCCAGCAUGCGAAAGGCCAAGUUACUGGUAUGGUUUGUAGCUGCUGUGCUGGCAUGUGCUGUUGUUUUGACAGGUAUUGGCAAGCUUCACAUCUCUGAACUAGCUCGGCUGCAUCAUUCUUCGCCGUCGGCCAAUAGAAUCCUGACCUGAAAACCUUCUCGACUAAUGUUCUGGAUGCUGCAUGUACUCCGCACUGCCCAGCAUGGACUUCCUCCAGAAGUUGCUUCCCGGUGGAUGGGAGAACGCACUUCAUGAGGACGCCUGACGCGCCCCUCCUGUAUAAUAUCUCCCCAAUGAGUGUAUAGUGAGCUGAUUGUCUGGCAAUGCGCUCUGCCGAGUUCUUGUCAUCUGGUUCUUCUUCAUUCUUGAUAUACUUAAUAAUCGGUUGCCUCCAGUCAUCAGAGUCUGACUCGGGUUGAUCUAUGAUGUUGCACUCUUCUAUUUGAUCCGUCGAGAUGCUCGGCUGAAGGAUUUCUUGCACGAAGACCCCGGGCGGGACUUGAGUCCGACCGGAUCCGAGCUUGGACAGUACAUCAGCCGCCGUGUUCCGAUCUCUUUCUAUAUGAUGGAACUCCAGACCUUCGAAUUUAUCUUCUAGCUUUCGGACGGCGGCGCAGUAUCUUCCCAUUGAAUCACUUGAACAAUCCCAUUCCUUGUUUAUCUGACUGAUGACUACCAGAGAAUCUCCGUACACCAUCAGUCUCUUGACACCCAGCGAUAUGGCGAUGUUUAAUCCGUGUAUCAAAGCUUCAUACUCGGCUGCGUUGUUAGAGGCCGGGAAUAGCAAUUGGAGAGCGUACUUGAGGUGUUCGCCUCCAGGUGCAGUGAAGAGAAUUCCUGCUCCUGCUCCCUGCAGCUUCAGCGAGCCAUCAAAAUACAUUCGCCAUACUUCUGCGGUUUCUGGACUAUCCGGCACUUGCUGUUCUGUCCACUCUGAUACGAAGUCGACCAGUGCUUGAGUUUUGAUGGCAGUGCGAGGUCGGAACUCAAUAUCAUGGGACCCCAACUCGCAAGCCCACUUGGCUAUUCGGCCAAUGGCUUCCCUGUUAUGAAGAAUGUCCCCUAUUGGAAAACCAGUAACUACUAUGACUUUGUGGUCGUCAAAGUAGUGGCGCAGCUUGCGGGUAGUUAGAAGUACUGCAUAUAAUAGCUUCUGAACUUGAGGAUACUUUUUCUUCGAUGGGCCUAGAACCUCACUGAUGAAGUAGACGGGAUGUUGUACCGGGUAGGCAUGCCCUUCUUCCACUCGCUCGACUACCAACGCAGUGCUUACCACGUGAGUCGUGCAAGAGAUAUAUAGCAGCAAAUCUUCAGCUGGCUGAGUCGGCGUAGCUCGCCGGGGCGGUUUCAAUACUGGUGGUGUUGUCAGGAAUUUCUUCAGUGCGUCUAGAGCUUCUUGUGCUUCUGAAGUCCAUUGAAACUUAUCCACCUUCUUCAGCAGUUUAUAAAAUGGCAAACCUUUUUCUCCCAGCCUGGAUAUGAAUCUGCUCAGGGCUGCCAUACAUCCAGUGAGUCGCUGAACCUUCUUUUGCGAUCGAGGAGCCUCCAUCUUCAUGAUAGCUUCAAUCUUAUCUGGAUUAGCUUCAAUUCCCCGGUGGCUGACAAUAAAUCCGAGUAACUUUCCUGCUGGUACCCCGAAGAUGCAUUUCUCAGGAUUGAGCUUCCAUCUAUAUCUUCUCAGGCUAUUGAAAACCAGCUGUAAAUCUUCAAUGAAGUUUUCUGGACUCUCCGUUUUAAUCACCACGUCGUCUACGUAAGCCUCCACACGCUUGCCCCAGUGAUCGGCUAAGCAUGUUUGAAUAGCUCUCUGAUAAGUCGCUCCAGCGUUUUUGAGGCCGAACGGCAUGGAGGUAUAACAGAAAGCACCAAACGGGGUGAUGAACGCCGUUUUUCCUCGUCUUCUUUUGCCAAACUAAUCUGAUGAUACCCGGAAUAGCAAUCUAAGAAAGACAGCAUCGAACAUCCAGCGGUGGAAUCCACCACCUGAUCUAUCCUCGGGAGCCCGAAGGGAUCCUUCGGACAGUGUUUGUUGAGAUCAGUAUAGUCGACGCACAUGCGCCAAUCCACUUUAUUCUUUUUGAGUACAAGAACAGGGUUGGCUAACCACUCGGGUGUAAUACUUCUCUAAUAAAUCCGGCCGCGACCAAGCGAGCUAACUCGGCACGAAUGGCCUCUCUCUUGUCGGGCGUAAAACGACGCAGCUUUUGCCGGAUCGGCCUCGCCUGAGGAUAGACUUUCAAUUUGUGCUCGGCCAAUUCCCUCGGGACUCCCGGCAUAUCCGCAGGUUGCCAUGCGAAUACGUCUCGGUUAUCUUGCAGGAACUGGACGAGCGCGCUUUCCUAUUUGUCGCUCAAACUGGAGCUGAUGAUGGCCGUCUUGCGCUCAUCAGCGAACCCCAGGUUGAUCCGCUUGGUGUCCUCAGUCGGCCGCAUAGAGGUCGCGGCCUGAGCUUCGUUUGCCGGCACGGCGAGGUCUUCUUCAGGCUUAGAGUUCGCCGGUGUAGAAGGAACCGUUGACGGUUUGGUGGUGAGGGCUGCUUGGAUGGCCACUCGGAAACAUUCUGCGGCGCCUUGGAAGUCGGCGCGCACAGUUAUGAUUCCUUGUGGUCCUGGCAUCUUCAGUAUCAUGUACGUAUAGUGCGGGAUGGCCAUGAACUUGGCCAGCCCUGGCCUCCCGAUGAUGGCGUUGUACCCGCAGUCGAAGUUCGCCACCUCGAACCUCAGGAACUCGGUUCUGUAGUUAUCCGGAGUCCCGAAGGUGACCGGCAUGUAGAUGUGGCCCAGCGGGUAUUCCCCUUCCGUCGGCACGAUGCCGAAGAAAGGAGUGUCUGACUCAUGGAGCUCUUUGAGGUGAACUCCCAAGCCUUGGAGUGUACGGGGGAAGGUGACGUUGAUGCUGCUCCCCCCGUCUACUAACACCUUCUUCACCCGACUCUCUCGGAUCACCGGAUCGACAAGGAGCGGAUAUUUGCCCGGGUGGUCGAAGUUGAGCCAUUGAUCCUCCCGAGUGAACGUGAUUGGGUGCUCCGACCACCGGUACGGGGCGGGAGGGCCGGUGGUCGCCACCAGUAUCUGGCGAUCGUUGAGCUUUUGUUGUCUCUUGUUCUCCUGCGACCCAUGUCCACCGAAGAUGACGUUGACCUCCCUGUCAACGCGCGGGAAUGCUCCUCCUCCCCCCUCCUCCGGCUGAUGGGGCUGUCGUGGUUCAUCUGGUCCUCCCCUCGGCGGAGGAGGUGGUAGAGGUUGGAAGGGUCGGCCAUGCCCGACGGAGUGCUUGAAAUCCCGACAGUUGCGGAGAGUGUGGCGCAUAUCCUUGUGGUACGGGCACUGGGCGUCGAGGAUGUCGUCCAGCGUGCGUUCGCCUCCACGAGGUCCUCCUCGGGCACGAGAGGCGGGUGGUCCGGCGGCGUGUACCUCUUCGCGAGGCCUCUUCUCCCAGCGCUUGUCGGGCGGCUGGUUCGCGUCGCGUCGUGGUGCCGCCGGUGUGGGCUUUGCUCCUCCGAUGAGGUCCUGGGCCCGCUCGUCAGCGGUGAUGUAGAGGUCGGCUUCCCGGAACAGCUCCUCGGAGGUAGUCGGCGCCUUUUGCAGUAUGGCUCGGACGAAAACCGAGUUGUUAGAUCCUCUGUAGAAGUCCUCGAUCACGGCCGCCUCCGUGACCUCGGGGAUGCGGUUUCUCAUGGUCUGGAACCUUUUAAGGUAUGACCGGAGAGUCUCAUCCCCUCGGCGCUUGAUGGAUUUGAGGUCCCAUGGUUGCGCUGGCUUGUCGGAGAGAGACUGGAAGUUGGCGGUGAAACGUCGACUGAAGUCUCCCCAGUCGUCGAUGCAGUGUCGGGGUAGAUGUCGUAGCCACUGCAGCGCGUCUUGCCCGAGGACGAUGGGCAGAUACGCAGUCAUGACGUCCUCAGAUGCCCCGGCAGCCCGAGCAGCGGUGGUGUAGACGGCCAACCAGCCCCCUGGAUCCUGCUUAGGUUCAUAUUUGUCGACGUUGGAUACCUUGAAGUUGGGAGGCCAUUGGAUGGCCCUAAGGCGCGGAGUAAGGGCAGAUACUCCGCACGUGUCCUCCUGUCGUCGAGGAUGUCGUCUGUCCCGGGGAGGGGAGUGGCGGUGGUGGUUCCUCGACCGUCCCCGGGUGGUUCCACCAGUUGAAGCUGUUGCCGACUCAGUUCGGGUGGCCUGGCUUUGAGUCGGGAAGCCAUGAUCUCGAUCAUACUCCUCCCGACGGCGAAUUUCGUUCUCGUGCCGCCGUUCGCGCGAAGCAUUGAUAGAGCUUCGCGCGUCUCGGCGACUGUUGAUGGCGUGUCGCAGAUCGUUCGGCGGGUGAGCGAGCGGUAGAAGAUGGUUGGCUGCCUGAGUGAACAGGCGCCGGUAUCCCUCGGCGUCGGGGGUCCGAGGAAGUCCGUCAGCUAUCCGGGCUAGCACGCCUCCGACCUCGCUCGGCGUGUUCAUAGCUCGGGCGAAGUCAGGGUUCAAGUUGCGCCCGAAGAGCGGAUUCUCGCGUCGUUGCCUUGCGUCUUGCUCGGCUUGCUCCUGAGUCCGACGACGAUCACGUCGUCGGGAGUUCCUUCGUUCCCUGAAGACGCGUUCUUCUGGAGUUUCUCCUAUCUCUGAGACCUCGUCUCGCGAGACGGGUUGCUCCGGAUCCCGUUCUCCAGCUGCAUGAUGUCGUCGAACGUUCCUGCGUCGGUUCCUUCGUCGGCGGGAUUCUCGCUGAGGUGGUUCUUCUCCGGGCGCGGUCGGUUCAUCAUCGGAGACGGUGGGCGACUCUGCCCUCCCGAUGAAGAGGACGUCGGGGUAGAACGGUGUUGCUGCCGCGGCGACUCUCUUUCCGUUCUCCUUUGAGGUCGGAGGAACGGGAAGAACGACUGGCUUCUCCCUGAUCUCCUUCCUUCUCAUGACCUGUGUCCAUUCUUUCGUCGGGGAAGUAGACAGCGGAGUCUUCCGGGUCAGCGAGCCUCUAGCUCCAGCCUCCCCGGAGACGAUCUUGUUCCGAAGAACCGGAGGUAGGGUUUUUCCAGCAUUUUCGGAGUUUGUUGGAGGAGACUUCUGUUCCGGCAGAUCCGCGAGGCGGUGUAGAAUUCCUUCUCCGUCCGCCACGGAUGAGAUUGUCCCGAAGCAGAAUGUGGAUCCGGGACGCAUGGUGAUCUUGCUGUGGAAGGUGACGGCCAUUGAGCUAGCUUGGAUCGUCGACACACCCCCUACCUGGCGCGCCAGCUGUCAGUGUUUUGGGUCCGACCGCACACCCGGGGUUGCCCCUCAAGGUGUUUUUAGGAGUAGGACGGUGUCGACGACUGUAGCAAAAUGGUUCGUGCCGAUCGCACGGAGGACAAUGGACAAGAUUUGCAGGUUCGGGCCGCUUAGAAGUGCGUAACACCCUACGUCCUGGUGAGUAUAUGAGCGUGGUUACAAGAGGAUUCUCUGGAUAGAGGGUGCAGAGAGUUUUUGUGGGUGGCUAAGUAGAACCGGGUCGAUCGAUCUGAAGGGGUGCCCCCUAGGCCUUAUAUACUCGGCCAUGGAGCAUUACAUGUGAUACGAUAACAACAAGUAGCUGAAAGAUAGUGAACCUCUUGAGUUUAUCCUUACGUAACCUCCGCCGACUUAUCCUCGCAUGGCUCCGUUGCAUGGGGGCUUCAGCGCGGGAAAGUCGGGUCUCUGUUUGUGAUUCAUUCGUUCGACGUUGUGGGCCGCCUGUGCUUGCACUAAUCAGUCCCACGUCUUCUUUAUUGGUUGUCCUUCCCUAGGCCCACGAAAGAAUGACCUUACGAAUUAUUGGGCCCUUGGGCUUUUCGUGAGGCCUUUUACUUCUUUAGUGGACCCAGGGGAUAUCUAUCCCCCACAGUAGGUUUGUCUCGUUUAAGCAGAUUUGGUAUCAUCUUAUGUAUAAAUGUGUUUACUAGCCUCCUGGGACUAGUAAUUGUAUCACAUUUGAGUCCCAGAGGAUUGGGGACGCUUCAGGUGGUAUCAAAGCUGUUAGGUUGGCCGCAGGACGUAACCCUUAGCCUGAUCAAAAGUUUUUGAGUCAAAACUAUUUUCUUAAAAAAAUUCUUGCUCCCAUCCCUUCAUUUCAAAAAUGUUUUCCCCUUUCCUUCUCUCAGAAGUCAGAUGGAGGUUCGUUGCCAAACCAGCUUUUGCCAGAAUGAAGAUGGUUUCCCCAAGUUGCUGAGAGCAUGCACAGUUCGCCUCGGAAUCAGGAGCUAGCCAGAGUAUGAUGGUCGUGAAUUCAUCGAGCAUGGUACAGAGAAGUGUGUCGUGACUGUAUACAUUGGAUCUAGUCCGCGCCAUGUGGAAUGGAGUGUCACUACUGCUGGGCACAGAUUCAGAGACACCUGCCAAGUCGUCGCUCGCAAGGCAUUGAGGGGCCUGUGUCAGAUCUAUGAAGAAGAAGUGGCCGACACCCCGCUCAGAUUCUUUCCGCCCUUUCAGAGAGACCGUCCCGCUUGGAUGGCCAGGAUGCGUGCAUUGGAAGAGCAGCAGCUGCUUGAGGACGACCCCACAGUCGUGUACCUCACUGCAUACCUGCUCACCCUUGAUACACAGUAUGAUUUCUUGGCUCGGCACCACCGUCAGAUGAUUGCCCGAGCAGAAGAUGCAGAGAAGCGCAACCAUCAACUCCAUGUGGAUCUCACCACAGCUCAAGCCCGUGUAGCUGCCUUGGAAGGUCGUGAAGUCAUUGUUGUGGAAGCCCUGAAGCAAGCCAAGGAGGAGCACGUCCAGAAGUUGAUGGAGGCCUACUUGGUCACCCAUAACCAACGUAGAGCCCUGCGGAUCCAAGAGCCCGCUUCAUCCAACCCUGUUCAACCCAUCAAAGCUGAAGAUCCCCAGAUUCUCGAAGGUCACCCAGUCUCUACCAGAGAAGAAAAGAAGGCUUGGGAACUCCCGGAAGGAGCCAUAGUCUUGGAAGGAAUUCCAGUCUCCCCUCAGGCUAUGGAUAAGAAAGAGCACCCCGAGUCCUCCUAGGAUCCCCCGCCAGAGUUGUUUGAGCCCUUCACCUUGAAGAAGAUUCCAGCACCGUCCCAUGAGGUCAAGGAAGAAGCUGCAAGCACCCCGUCAGCACUACCGCCCUCUGAGGAGCUACAAGAGCCAGUCCAGCUUGAAGAAGAGUUCGACCGCGUCUUGCCAUCUCAGUUGCCGCCAGAAGAAGUCAUCAACAUCAGCUCCCUCUUGACCCAUCCAGGAGAUGUCUCAGAUUGAAGUUGUGCGCCAGCCUUGCCAGAAGAGAAGCUGCCAGAUCCGAGUUAGUUAUGCCCAGUCCUCUGCAUGCAUUGGGUAGUGAAGUUUUUCUUCACUUUGGCUAGAGCCCUGCAUGUAUGAGAGGUAAUCGUGUAGACUCGUGUUUUGCAAAACUCUAAUUGUGUGGCCCCCUAGGGCAUUUCAAAAUGAAUUUCGCUUGAUGUUUUCUCCCAUUUUGAGUGCAUAUGUGAUGCUUUAACAUUAGUGCUCAUAAGUUGCAUUUAGCAUAGUUCUCAAUUCAGGAGCCAAGCAAUAGUAGUUAUGCUUAGCCCCCAAAUCUGAGUAGUCCAUGCUUUGAAAAAACUCUAUUCUUCCCUUAUUCAAAACAUUUGAUUUGUUUGUGCUUAUCAUUGCUGAGCUUGUGUGUUUUCUUUCUUUCUAAGAAAGGUUUUCUCUAAAAACAUAAAUCACAAAUUAGAGCUAAUCCUCACCUUAUGCUUCCAUUCUCAUCUUAACUCAUAUCAAGAGAAAAGCACCUUACCCAAGAAGAUACCGGGAAGCUUACCCUUGAAGCCUGGAAUAAGCUAUAGAGGAACCUAUCCAGUCGCUCAGUCAAAAGGACCGACCGUGAGAAUCAAAGCACUGCCCCUGAGUCAAAGUAAAUAGGAAAAGAGGACAGAAGGAGUUAUUACCAUACAGAGAGGCAAAGAUUCUUGGAACCAGAGACCACAAACAUCAGGGUCAUCGACCCCACCACUCACCCGUGCCCCCGCAUGCGUGCCCGCCUCCAUGCCCACUAGCACCGCCGCCCAUGCCCCCUUUGCAGCGCACUACCGCUGCCCACCCCCCUUUGCAGCGCACCCACCGCCGCCAUCAUCGUCGGCACCAGGCCCCCCUUCCCCUCCGUCGCACCUGUUGCCACGUAGCACCUACUCCAUCACCACUACUCCGCAACCGAACACCAACGCUCGCCUAUAAACCCCCCCAGCUCCCUCAACUCCCAUCUCGCUCAAAGCAAAGCACACUCUAGAUAGACCCCCCUGUCAAAUAGCAAGCAACUCCAUUUUCCACUCCCUCGCCCCUAAGAUCACAAUGCUUGGUGAUUCUUGGGUUGAAGACUGUUGUACAUGGUUCAUAGUCUUCGGUUUCCUCCUCUGUAUGAUGGUAAUACUCUUUGAUAGAAUCCUCCAGUGGGAAGAGCAAAGAGAAAGAAAGGGUCAGUGAAAAGAAGAUAGUGAAGAGAAGAUGAGAAGAAGGUUCUCCUAGAAUCAACCCUGUGUCAGUCAUCACUCUGCAGCCUGGUCAAGCAGCAACAGCAGCAGAAGGACCCGUAACACCCUUGUUAUGUGGUACUUCAAGGAGUUCAAAUCCCCAAGAUUCAAAAGUCCUACCCUCAUUCUUUUUAAGUGGGGUAGUGUUCCAGUAAAGGUUCCUGCCAUGGAGAAAAAGAAGAAGGCCUGAAGCAAGCUUGUCGAGGACCAGAUCAUCAAAGCAUAUAAGUUUCUGGAUGAGAAGUGGUCACCCAAGUUUCGUUGAUGAAGCAUCAGAAGACCAAUCAAGGAAGGAAUCCAUGUGGGAGUUUGCAAGAGAAAGGUUUGCGUGUUGGCAUCAAUGCUUCCUCAAUACGCUAGCUGCCAAGCAAAAGCUAGAAGCCUGAAGAUGAUCUUUGAGUAGCCAGAAUCAGCGUUUGCAAUCAGUAGCCGGACGCUCCGCAAGGGCCAGAUUUUGUUGAAGUUCCAUCUCCUCGAAGAGUUGCAAAGUGAAGAUAUGUAGCUGAAGUAAAGCUAUACCCAUAACCCUUCUAAGUCGAAUCUCGAGGACGAGAUUCCUUUUAAGUGGGGUAGAUUUGUAGCAUCCCAAAAAUUCAAAUCUUGAAAUUUUCUCAAACUCGCUCUAAAUUCAAAAUGAAAUUCAAAUUUCAUUUCAAAAUGUUUGUUUGCAAGUUGAUAUCAGCAAAUAAAUUAUAGUGGUCUAUAUUCUCUCCAAAAUCCUCCUCAAAAUAUCCUACAAAUAUUUCCUCAGUGACCCCCCCCCUCAAAUUCGUUCCAGAAAUACUGCCCAGAUAUUUCCCCAGUAAUCCCCCUCAAGUUCUUUCUAGAAAUAUUGCCCAGAUAUUCCACUGAUAUAUCUCCAAGUAUUUUCCUCUUAAGAAAUACCUUCAGAAUCAUUUUUCAAGUCCCUAUAAAUAUUUUCUUCAUAACUUUCUUCAUGCUCAUACGUAUACGUAUGCCUCCAGUGUCAUACGGUGAGCUCUACAAGCUAAUCUCACUUAUACAAGACAAAUACAUGCUAAUCUCCCACUAAUCCUCUCAUCCUUCCACUAAUCCUCUCAUUCCUCCCCCUAAUCCCCCCACCAUGGCUAUAAAUAGAGGGGCAAGGGCCUCCUCUCAUCCCACCCCAAGCCAUUUCAUGGCAACUCUCUUCCCCCCCCCCACACACACCCACUCCAUGUUCCACAUAAGCACACACUAGCACAAGGAUCGUUCGAUCGUUCUUCGAUCGUUCGUCCCCUGUUCUUAGUUUGUUCGUUUGUUCGUCCGAUCGUUCGAUCGUUCGUCCGAUCGUUCAUGGUUCGUUCGUCCGUUCGUCUGAUCAUUCGAUCGUUUGUCCGUUCAUUCGUCCAAAUAAUCUUUUUCCUACCGUUAUGCUGCCGAAAUUCCGAUCGUUCGUUCAUUCGAUCAUUCAAUCGUUCAUCGUUCGUUCAUAGUUCAUAUUUAUCGUUCAUCGUUCGUUCAUAGUCCCUAUUCAUCGUUCUUCCAGAUAAUCUUUGUCCUGCCGUUAUGCUGCCGAAAUUCCGAUCGUUCGUUCGUCCGAUCAUUCGAUCGUUCGUCCGUUCGUUCAUCCAAAUAAUCUUUUUCCUACCGUUAUGCUGCCGAAAUUCCGAUCGUUCGUUCGUUCGAUCAUUGGAUCGUUCAUCGUUCGUUCAUAGUUCCUAUUCAUCGUUCAUCGUUCGUUCAUAGUCCCUAUUCAUCGUUCUUCCAGAUAAUCUUUGUCCUGCCGUUAUGAUGCCGAAAUUCCGAUUGUUCGUUCGUCCGAUCAUUCGAUCGUUCGUUCGUUCGUUCAUAGUUCCUAUUCAUCGUUCAUCGUUCGUUCAUAGUUCCUAUUCAUCGUUCAUCGUUCGUUCACACGAACUAUUUACCAUCACUAUUCACCAUUACUAUUCAUCAUUACUAUUCACUGACACUAUUCACCAUCGUUACUAUUCAGUGUUACUAUUCAUCAUUGUUACUAUUCAUCAUCGUUACUACUCAUCGAUGAUAUCUAUGUAACUUUUUUGUCGUCACUAUUCAUCGUUACUAUUCAUCGAUUAGCCGAUCACCCCAAAUUUCAACUACCCAUACAUCAUGUUGUCCAGUCCACCUAAGACCAGCCAGACCCAUAUUCCAGUCAUACGAACUCCGGUGACUGUGAUUUUCCUUCCAGUGGGAACUUCCCAUCUGGUCACUCAUCCUAGGUUUCUCCAAGUUGAGCAUGCUUAACUUUGAGAUUCCUUUGAACCAGGCUUCCAAACUCAGAUUCCAAUAAUUCUUGUUUCUAAAUUCUUAUCGAAUUAUUCCCUAUCCAACCAUGUCAUCCCUUAAGCAUGGUUCAUAUUCCAGAAAACUCCCAAAAUACUCUUGUCCCAUAUUCUGCUUAUAACUCUCAUGUUCAUACUAAGUCAGACGAUUCAUUCGUCACUAUUCUCACCAACAGUGAACUUCACUGUGCUACACCACAGACACCCAGCUAUAAAUACACCCAGCUACCCUCUCCCUCUCCCUCUCCACACACACUCAACACCCUCAGCCAAGGCAAACACCCCACCCACUUAGUUACUCCGCUCUGCCGGCUACACGCAUAGUGUCGUUUCGCCUCCAGUCCACCCUCCUGGUAAGCACCUCCACUCCACCAUCAGUAAUAUCACAACACCACAUGACACAGAUUCUACUCAAGACUCUACCCAUCCAUAUAUCACUAUUCUGACCACUAUACUAAAUAUUUGUUGGUAUACUUGUUGGUUUGUAUGUUUGCUUGUUCAUGUUGCAUAGUUAUCGGAGCGUUCGUGCUGUCUCGUGGAGGCUAGAUCUGCAAGUCUACGCCAGGCAGUGGAGCGAGAAGCCAGUUCCGCGAGCUCUCCUUCCCCCUUCGCCAAAUAAGCAUGAUAAGCUCACUGGAUCCCUUUGAUGCAUAAAUUACCUAUGUUUUUCAACCACAACCCUCAGCCUGUUAUUUUAUGCAUGAUAUGAUUUUGAGACAAGUUAUUAUGGCCACCCAUCCGCUUGCCGCAAUCAAUCCCUGAUAUAUUCGUUACAAAUGAUUUGAGGAAAGAUGUGAGUUUCCAAAAGAAAAUGCUUUUCAAAAUUUGUAUGAUGAAGGGUUUUCACCCUUAUCACCUUGUGAGUGGGAUGAUCAAGGACUCCCUGGUUUAGGGGAGGGCCUAAGGUGUUGGCUCAGCUGGUUUAGGCGUGAGCAGAAGGAUUGUCCUCUCACAUAAGGACCGGCUUGUCAUUUUCACUACCUGUACUCCUUAAUAGUACAACCACUCGAGACUGUGUGGGCAGUCUCUCAAUCCAAACUCGUGCGGUCCAACCCCAGGGUUAUGAAGGCUGGGGAGCACCGGGAGGAUAAGGAGGGGGAAAGUUUUGUCCGGUUUGGACAUGGUGGUGGCCUGACUCCUUCCGAAUAACCGUUAAGGUUAGGACGUACGAGGAAGGAAAGAGAUCCGGCAUUCGGGUCUCGCGACGGUGAGAUCGCAGAAACCGGACUAGUGGGUAAAGUGUACACCUCUGCGCAGAGUUUGAAAACCUAUUCGAAUAGUCUGUGUCCACAGGAAUGGAUGAGUCUUGUGUGGUAUGGCAAUUAGCUUUUUGUUUUCAAAAAAAGAGGUGCGUUUGAGAAAAGUGGUUUUUAAAAGGUUCGGCGGUUGAGCCGUGAGCUAUGGUGGACGGGAAGUCCAGUAGCUGUUUUUUGGAAAUGAAAACCAGUGGGAAACUGCUGAGAUACCUGGAUGGUUUAGUCCAGGGGAUUUUGUUAUAAUACUGAAAAACUUCCUGCUUCUUUUGGAGAGGAUGCGCUUUGCGAAAGUACAAAAUGUUUUUCAAAACAACCCUGCAUAAAAUAUUGCUGUUUCUGCAAAAUAUUCUGAGCUCCACAUUUUCCAUGCAUUAUAUCUGAUUUCCCCAUUCCGCGGGUGAAGGUGGGCUGCUGAGUACGUUUGUACUCACCCUUGCUUAUUUGUUGUUUUUCAGAAAAAGGAGAUCGGGUAAGAGUUUCGACUGUUCCCAACCUUGCCUGUGGCUAUUGGACCGCUGAUUUGCUUCGCUGCGUAUAUCGGGCUGCUUCAGCCCCACUCUGAUGAUAUGUCUUGAGUUGUGGACCAACUCUUAAAGUUGUUCGCCACCUUUGUAGGUUUGUCUCGUUUAAGCAGAUUUGGUAUCAUCUGAUGUAUAAAUGUGUUUACUAGCCUCCUGGGACUAGUAAUUGUAUCACAUUUGAGUCCUAGAGGAUUGGGGACGCUUCAGCCAUGUUGUCGGGGCAGUCGAGUGCCCCAAAAGAGAUGGUGGUGCCCCUCCAUCGUUGGUGCGGGGCAGCUUUGGGGAUUCCUGGGACUGCCGACAGGACCUCCCGUCGCAGGGUCUUGACACACCUGCGGGAGACGAGCUCCCAGCUUCCGCCGUACAUGACAUACAGCUUCUUGCGGCAGUCGUCGUCAUUGCCGGAGUCGGUUUCUUCGGUGAAAAUGUCUCUAAGGUUUUUCUCGGGUGACUGGUAGGUGAGGCCCUGUCCUCCCACAGCCGCAGCCUUAUCGUCAGCGCCUUCCUCGUGAAGCCAGCGACGAAGUGGCGAUCCGUCCCUAGGGGAUCGCUCACGCCGCUUGCUGACGUGCUUUGCUAGCUUGAUAAUCUCCCAGCAGUCAGCGGCACUAUGGCGACUGUUGGGGUGCACCGGGCAUGUGUUGCUGCUGCCUUCCUGGGGCCGUGAGCGCUUGUUGCGCUUACCUUGGCCCCCAGCCACGGCAGAAACGACUAGGGCAGCAACCCGUUGAUUCUCGUGGCCGCGGCCCUUGUUUUUUCUUUUUCUUCUUGACAUCGUCCUGGGCGACGGUGCCGGAACCGCCGGUCUGGGUGACCCCAGCCUGCGGCGCCGAGUGCCAGGCACGGCCCUCGGCGGCCCUGGCACACUUAUCAGCCAGAGCGAAGUGUGUGGUGACGUUGUCCACAUCAUGCGUGGCCAGCUUUUCCAGCAUCUUCUCGUCGCGCACCCCCUGACGGAAGGCAGUGAUGAUGGAAGCGUCUGAGAUACGAGGUAUCGUCCCACGUACCUUGGUGAAGCGGGAAAUGAAUGCUCGGAGGGUUUCCCUGGGUCCCUGCCUUACUGCAUGGAGGUGUGCUUCUACACCAUGCUGCUGAUAGGCGCUGGCGAAGUUCACCAUGAACCGCACGCAGAGCUCUUCCCAGGAGUAUAUGGAUCCUGGGGCUUGGUUCAUGAUCCAAGUCCGGGCUGGCCCAGACAGAGCUAUAUGGAAGUAGGUCGCCAUCACGGUGGUGUUUCCACCUGCUGCUGCAAUGGCGGUGAUAUAGACCUGCAGGAAUUCUGACGGGUUUGUCAUACCAUCGUAUUUUUCCGGUAGGAGUGCACGGAACUUGGCUGGCGACGCCAUCGCGCAGAGGUGGUCCGCUAGGGCGGCGCACCCUACUCCAGUCAAUGGGAUGCCCGCCUGGAAUCGGGCAUUUCCCGAGCCCGGCGGCACGACGGCUGCUGGACCUUGCUCGAGGUUGUGACUCUCGGGGCUCCGGCGGCAUUCACGCGCCUCCCUUAAAAAGAGGCGGGCAUCCUUGCCCGCACGCCUACGGUUGAGUUCAUCCCGUAGGUCUUCUGGUCUCUCCAGGUUGACUUUGCGUACCUUCUGCCGCACGUCUACGAUUGAGCUUUGCUCAUAGGUCUUGGGUCGGCGUGGCCCUCUCCGAGGGCGAGUGCACCGAGGCCGAUGCGUCGUAACGGCGUCGGGACGAUUGAGGCCUGGGCCUAAUCGAGCCAAUGUGUGCUAUGCCAAGGAGGCGGUCCACGUCGUCGCGCCAUUGUCCCACGGCCACGGCGAGGCUUGAGAGCACCUAGAGGGGGUGAAUAGGUGGUCCUGUAAAAGUGAAAUACUUGUAGCCACAAAACUUGGUUAAGUGUUAGCAUAAUGGAAUCAAGUGGCUAUGGACCGAGCUCUUGUGAAACACAAUAGUCACAAAGAAAACAAGCACAAGAGACACGGUGAUUUAUCCCGUGGUUCGGCCAAGUAUAACACUUGCCUACUCCACGUUGUGGCGUCCCAAUGGACGAGGGUUGCACUUAACCUCUCUCAAGUGAUCCAAUGAUCGACUUGAAUACCACGAUGUUUUUCUUUCUUAUAUUCUCUCCCGUUUGUGAGGAAUCUCCACAACUUGGAGCCUCUCGCCCUUACAAUUGAUGUUCACAAAGAAGCACGGAAGUAAGGGUGGGAAGAGCAACACACACAAGACUCAAAACAAGAGCACAAUCACGCACACAAAGCCACAACUUGAGCUCACAACACAACUCGAGGAGUUCUCUACUCAAAUGGGGCUCAAGUCACUAUCUCAAAAAAUCGAAUGCGCAAGAAUGGAGUCUUGGUGCUUAGGAAUGAUCAAGGAAUGCUUGGGUGUCUCCUCCAUGCGCCUAGGGGUCCCUUUUAUAGCCCCAAGGCAGCUAGGAGCCAUUGGAACCCAACAAGGAAGGCAAUUCUUGCCUUCUGUCGGGUGGCGCACCGGACAGUCCGGUGCACCAUCGGACAACCACUAUAGCACCGGUGCGAAUCUCCUUUCAUUCCUAGCGCAGCCGACCGUUGGAUCUUCGGGCUGGUUGGCGCACCGGACACUGUCCGGUGCACACCGGACAGUCCGGUGCCCCUAGCCGACCGUUGGCUGGGGCCACGCGUCGCGCGCAGAUUGCGCAGCCGACCGUUGCUCUGGCGGCUGUUGGCUCAUCGGACAGUCCGGUGCCCCACCGGACAGUCUGGUGAAUUAUAGUCGUACGCCGCCGACGAAUUCUCGAGAGUGGCCAGUUCGCCAGAAGCUAGCCUGGCGCACCGGACACUGUCCGGUGCACCACCAGACAGUCCGGUGUGCUAGACUGCACUGAGUCUUGGCUGCUCCAGCCAAGUCUUUUCCUUUUUCUCUUUUCUCUGAUUCUAGCACUUAGACAAAUAUAUUAGUACACAAAAACCAAUGUACUAAGUCUAGAAUCAUACCUUCUUGUUGAUUUGCACUUCAUUCAUCAUUUGGCACAUAAUUACUCACUCAAUAUGUGUUGGGCACUUAAUCACCAAAAUAUACUAGAAAUGGCCCAAGGGCACAUUUCCCUUUCAAUCUCCCCCUUUUUGGUGAUUUAUGCCAACACAUCAAAAAACAACCAAUAGAAGUGCAACAUCAAUAUACUUGAGAACAAAAAAUGUUUUUGAUUCAAAUUUGGCAUAUUUGGAUCAUUCUUUGCCACCACUUGGUUUGUUUUUGAAAUCAACCUCAAUUUUCUAUCUCUAAGUUAAACACACUUGUUUCGGCAUAAAGAGAGGUAUUCCAAGAGAAAAUUGAUCAAGAGCCAAAGACUCCCCCUUUUUCCCAUAAUCAAAUAUUCUCCCCACAAGAGACCAAAUUUUGCACAUUAAGAGUAUUUUGACAAAUCAAAAGUUCUAACUCUACUAUUUUCAAAGUUCUCAAGUGGUAGCUGAUCCAUUUGCUUUGCUUUGGCCUUAAUUUCUCCCCCUUUGGCAUUAAGCACCAAAACGGGAUCAUUAUUGGCCCUUAAACCCCAUUGCCUCACCAAAAACGUCAAUGAAGAGUAAAAAGGCAAUAAGAGCAUGGAGAUGAACUUGGAGUAAAUUACCCUUUCAUCGGAGUGCAGUGGAAGUCUUGCAUGGUCCAAGUUCACCUUUCUCUUUCAAUUCACCUUUGAGACUUAAUUAAGUAAACUCAAGCACACGGUUUGUCUCAAAGGGUCAAGUUAUAGCAUUUCUCCCACUAAAUAUGUGCAUCAUUCACACAUGGACUUGUGUGGUCCGGGGAUCCCUUGCACAACUUGAGCACCAUAAAUAAGCAAUAAUAUGCAUAAAGGAACAUGAUCAUAGACACAAAACACAUGUAUGCUAUAGAUCAAUCUAAGUUAUGCGAAUCUAAGACAUUUAGCUCACUACGCAGCCUGCAAAUGGUCUUCUCAUCUAAAGGCUUGGUAAAGAUAUCGGCUAGCUAGUUCUCGGUGCUAACAUAAAACACUUCGAUAUCUCCCUUUUGCUGGUGAUCUCUCAAAAAGUGAUGCCGGAUGUCUAUGUGCUUAGUGCGAUUGUGUUCAGCAGGAUUGUCCGCCAUGCGGAUUGCACUCUCAUUAUCACAUAGGAGUGGGACUUUGCUCAGAUUGUAGCCAAAGUCCCGGAGGGUUUGCCUCAUCCAAAGUAGUUGCGCGCAACACUGUCCUACGGCAACAUACUCGGCCUCAGUGGUGGAUAGGGCAACAGAAGUUUGUUUCUUAGAACUCCAAGACACUAGGGACCUUCCUAAGAAUUGGCAUGUCCCUGAUGUACUCUUCCUAUCAACCUUGCAUCCAGCAUAAUCGAAGUCUGAGUAUCCAAUCAAGUCAAAGGUUGACCCCUUUGGAUACUAGAUCCCGAAGCAAGGCGUAGCAACUAAAUAUCUAAGAAUUCGCUUAACGGCCACUAGGUGGCACUCCCUUGGUUCGGAUUGAAAUUGCAUACGCUAAGCAUGAUAUCCGGUCUACUAGCACAUAAGUAAAGCAAGGAACCUAUCAUAGACCGGUAUGCCUUUUGAUCAACGGACUUACCUCCUUUGUUGAGGUCGACGUGUCUGUCAGUUCCCAUUAGUGUCUUUGCGGGCUUGGCGUCCUUCAUCCCAAACCGCUUGAGCAAGUCUUGCGUGUACUUUGUUUGGGAGAUAAAGGUGUCAUCUUUGAGUUGCUUCACUUGGCCAAGGAAGUAGUUCAACUUGCCCAUCAUAGACAUCUCGAAUUUCUGUGUCAUCACCCUGCUAAACUCUUCACAAGACUUUUGGUUAGUAGAACCAAAUAUUAUGUCAUCGACAUAAAUUUGGCAUACAAAUAGAUAACCAUCACAAGUCUUAGUGAAAAGAGUUGGAUCGGCUUUCCCAACCUUGAAAGCAUUAGCAAUUAGAAAAUCUCUAAGGCAUUCAUACCAUGCUCUUGGGGCUUGCUUAAGUCUAUAGAGCGCCUUAGAGAGCUUACACACGUGGUCGGGGUACCGUUCAUCCUCAAAGCCAGGGGGUUGCUCCACAUACACCUCCUCCUUGAUUGGCCCGUAGAGGAAAGCGCUCUUCACAUCCAUUUGUAACAACCUGAAGGAAUGGUGAGCGGCAUAGGGUAAUAGAAUGCGAAUAGACUCUAGCCUAGCCACAGGAGCAAAAGUCUCCUCGAAAUCCAAACCUGCGACUUGGGCAUAACCUUUUGCCACAAGUCGAGCCUUGCUCCUUGUCACCACUCCGUGCUCGUCUUGCUUGUUGCGGAACACCCACUUGGUUCCCACAAUGUUUUGCCUUGGACGUGGCACCAGGGUCCAAACUUCAUUUCGCUUGAAGUUAUUGAGCUCUUCCUGCAUGGCCAAUACCCAGUCCGGAUCUAACAAGGCCUCUUCUACCCUGAAAGGCUCAAUAGAAGAGACAAACGAGUAAUGCUCACAAAAAUUAGCUAAUCUAGAGCGAGUAGUUACUCCCUUGCUUAUAUCACCCAAGAUCUGGUCGAAGGGAUGAUUCCUUUGAAUCGUCGCUCGGACUUGAGUGGGAGGGGCCCGUGGUGCUUCUUCUUCCACAACUUGGUCUUCGUGUGCUCCCCCUUGAUCACACGUCUCAUCUUGAGGAACCUGUUCAUCAUCUUGAGUUGGGGGGUGCACCAUUGUUGAGGAAGAAGGUUGAUCCUGCACUUGGUGUUCCUGUGGUCGCACAUCUCCAAUCGCCAUGGUGCGAGUUGCGUCCGUUGGAACAUCAUCUUCAUCUACAUCGUCAAGAUCAACUUGCUCUCUUGGAGAGACAUUAGUCUCAUCAAAUACAACGUCGCUAGAGACUUCAACCAAACCCGAUGAUUUGUUGAGUACUUUAUACGCCUUUUGUCGGGGACCGUAAUUAGGGGUACCCCCAAGGCUCCUAAUCUCAGCUGGUAACCCCCAUCAGCACAAAGCUGCAAAGGCCUGAUGGGCGCAAUUUCGGUCAAAGGCUCCAUCCACUCAAGGGACAUGAUCUCGCCUCGCCCGAGCCCAGCCUCGGGCAGGAACAGUAGACCAAGGCAGAUUCGCGCCUCGCCCGAGGGUCUCCUCAAGCAAUGGACGCACCUUCGACUCGCCUGAGGCCCAGUUCGGGCAGGCUUCACGGAGAAGCAACCUUGGCCAGAUCACCUCGCCAGCCGACCGGAUCACAGGAGCAUUUAAUGCAAGGAUCGCCUGACACCUUAUCCUGACGUGCGCUCUCCAAUCGACAAGACCGAAGUGACCGCAGUCACUUCGCCCCUCCACUGACUGACCUGACAGGAAAACAGCGCCGCCUGCACUGCUCCGACUGCUAUGCCACCCGCUAGGGUGAGGCUGACAGCAGCCAAGUCCAGCCUCGGGCGCUAUAGGAAUCUUCGCCUCGCCCGACCCCAAGGCUCGGACUAAACCUCGACUCCGGAAGACGGUCUCCGCCUUGCCCGACCCUAGGGCUCGGACUCCACCUCGACCUCGGACGAUGGUCUCCGCCUCGCCCGACCCCCGGGCUCGGACUCAACCUCGACCUCUGGACGACGGUCUCCGCCUCGCCCGACCCCCGGGCUCGGACUCAACCUCGACCUCCGUACGACGGUCUCCGCCUCGCCCGACUCCCGGGCUCGGACUCAACCUCGACCUCGGAGGAGUCACCACCUCGCUCCGGCCGACCACGCCACAAGGGGGGGCACCAUUACCCUACCCUUAGCUAGCCUAGGCUACAGGGAACAAGACCGGCGUCCCAUCUGGCUUGCCCCGGUAAAACAAGUAAUGAUGGCACCCCGCGUGCUCCAUGACGACGGCGGUUCUCAGCCCCUUACGGAAGCAAGGAGACAUCAGCAAGGAUCCGACAACCCCGACAGCUGUGCUUCUACAGGGCUCAAGCGCUCCUCUGACGGCCACGACGCCACAUGAACAGGGCUCCGACACCCCUCCGACAGCCACGACGGCAUGUACAUAGGGCUCUGGUUCCUCUCUGCUAGACACGUUAGCACACUGCUACACCCCCCGUUGUACAUCUGGACCCUCUCCUUACGUCUAUAAAAGGAAGGUCCAGGGCCCUCGUACGAGAAGGUGGCCGCGCGGGAGAACGGGCUGGCGCUCAGUCUCACGACCUCUCUCUCUCUCUCUCCCUCGCGAACGCUUGUAACCCCCUACUGCAAGCGCAUCCGCCCUGGGCGCAGGACAACACGAGGCCGCGUUUUCCCCUCACUGUUUUCCCCCCCUUGUGCUCCGUCUCGCGUCGACCCAUCUGGGCUAGGACACGCAGCGACAAUUUACUCGUCGAUCCAGGGACCCCCCGGGGUCGAAACGCCGACAGUUAGCGCGCCAGGUAGGGGCCUGCUGCGUGUUGAUGAACAGCUUCCCGUCAAGCUCCAGAUGGAGAGUCUCUAGCGACCUCUCCAACCCGGGACGAAGCUCCGUUUUGGGAGUCUCGAGUUCAUGUCCCUCGACGGCAGCCACGACAUGAUACUCCUUCCUCCGCCGCGUGGCAAUGACAAUGGCGGCCGUCAGCCCGCCUGCCGGCGGUGGAAUCGACGAUGUCUUCCCCGCGUGGCGGAAGAACAACAUUCGAGUUUGUCCCGUCGCCUUCCCCGUCGACGGGGGAGGAGGCGGGGCAACCAUGGCCAAGUAGGAGGCGGCGCCUCAUCGGCUGUCGAGCGAGUCAACGGUGUCGGCGCCCCAGCGGGGGACACGUCGGGCGUUGACCUCGCGUCUGAGACGAAGGCGACCGUCGUUUCCCCGCGACACGCCAACCCCAAGCAGACGAACGACGCCAGCACGCUUGCGAAGGACUUGCUGAGCGUUAGCCUCGUACCUGAGAUAACGAUGCAGUCUGUCCCCGACGCGACUUCAUCACCGUCCGUCGAUCAAGAGGUACCGACAGUUUCCCAUCCUGUGCCUUUUAGAUUCAGCUUCGACCCACCAAGCGACCCCGCUUCGGUGGACGCUUUCGUAAAGGCAUAUCCAAACCUUCCGGGGUACCAUAUGUGGUCAACCUAGGACCGAUUGAUGGUCGUCUCGACCUAAGGGCCCCCGGGUUCCGAGGAAGAUGACGAGCCCGACUCUGGUUGGAAUUUCUCCGGGCUCGAUAACCCUAGUGCCAUGCGGGACUUCAUGACCGCAUGCGACUACUGCCUCUCCGAUUGCUCAGAUGAUAGCCACAGCCUCGGCGACGGGGAUUGUGGCCCAAGUUGCGAAUGUUUCCACGUCGAUCUAGAGGGUCUCGACGAAGGCAACCACCUUGGUAUGCCGGAGAACGGUGAUCCCUCUGGGCCUGCGCCUCGCAUUGACAUCCUUCGGGAGCUAGCUGUGGUCCCAGUCCCUGCGGGGGGUCAGGACACACAGCUCGAGCAAAUCCACGAGAUGCAGGCCAGGCUCGACGAGGAGGCAGGACAACUUGUGCAGCUCCGGCAGAACAUCGGGCAGGAGCGGGCAGGCCGAGCACCGGAUGGAGAAGCACGUCAUCUGGCCCAGGACGUCCAGCACCGCAUCGCUGAUAAUGUCGUGGCAAGGCUGCCCCCGGCUUCCAGUGGGGUCGGCCAAAACCUGGCUGCAGCAGCGAUACUACUCUGAGCGAUGCCGGAACCAUCCACCACCGAGGGGCGGCAUAUCCAGGGAGAACUCAAGAAUCUCCUGGAGGAUGCCGCGGUCCGACGGGCCGAAAGCUCUGCCUCCCGGAGGCAGGGGUACCCUCCGGAGCAUCGCGCCGUGACUUCCCGAUUCAUGCGGGAGGCCUCGGUCCACACCGGGCGCACGCGAGACACAGUGCCUGCGGCCCCGGGCCGCCUCGACAACGAGCACCACAGCCGCGACCGUCGAGCCCACCUCGACGAGAGGGUGCGCCGAGGCUACCACCCCAGGCGUGGGGGACGCUACGACAGCGGGAAGGAUCGGAGCCCUUCGCCCGAACCACCCGGUCUGCAAGCUUUCAGCCGGGCCAUACGACGGGUGCCGUUCCCGACCUGGUUCCGGGCCCCGACUACCAUCACCAAGUACUCGGGGGAGACGAGGGCGGAACUGUGGCUCGCGGACUAUCGGCUGGCCUGCCAGCUGGGUGGAACGGACGAUGACAACCUCAUCAUCCGCAACCUCCCCAUGUUCCUCUCCGACGCCGCCCGAGCCUGGCUGGAGCAUCUGCCUCCUGCGCAGAUCUCCAACCGGGACGACCUGGUCAAAGCCUUCGCCGGCAACUUCCAGGGCACAUACGUGCGCCCUGGGAACUCCUGGGAUCUCCGAAGCUGCCGCCAGCAGCCGGGAGAGUCCCUGCGGGAUUACAUCUGGCGAUUCUCGAAGCAGCGCACCGAGCUGCCCAACAUCACCGACUCAGAUGUCAACGACGCGUUCCUCGCCGGCACCACUUGCCGCGACCUGGUGAGCAAGAUGGGUCGCAAGACUCCCACCAGGGCAAGCAAGCUGAUGGACAUCGCCACCAAGUUUGCCUCUGGCCAGGAGGUGGUCGAGGCCAUCUUCCGGAAGGACAAGCAGCCUCAGGGGCGCCAGCCGAAUGACGUCCCCGAGGCGUUCGAUCAACGUGGCGCGAGGAAGAAGGGCAAGAAGAAGUCGCAAGCGAAACGCGACGCCGCCGACGCGGACCUUGUCGCCGCCGCCGAGCACAAGAACCCUCGGAAGCCUCCCGGAGGCGCCAACUUGUUCAACAAGAUGCUCAAGGAGUCGUGCCCCUAUCAUCAGGGUCCUGUCAAGCACACCCUUGAGGAGUGCGUCAUGCUUCGACGCUACUUGCACAAGGCCGGGCCACCGACAGAAGGUGGCAGAGCCCCCGACAACGACAAGAAGGAAGCCCACAAGGCAGAGGAGUUCCCCGAGGUCCAUGACUGCUUCAUGAUCUACAGUGGGCGGGUGGCGAACGCCUCGGCUCGGCACCGCAAGCAAGAGCGCCGGGAGGUCUGCUUGGUAAAGGUGGCGGCGCCAGUCUACGUAGACUGGUCCAACAAGCCCAUCACCUUCGACCAAGGCGACCACCCCGACCGCGGGCCGAGCCCGGAGGCAGCAGCAUCAACAUCAUCUACGCCGACACCCUCGGGCUCCUGCAGAUCGAUCUGUCCUCGAUCCGGGCCGGUGCGGCGCCCUUUCACAGGAUCAUUCCCGGGAAGCGCGUCCAGCCCCUUGGACAACUCGAUAUGCCCGUCUGCUUUAGGACUCCCUCCAACUUCCGAAAGGAAACCCUCACAUUCGAGGUGGUCAAGUUCCGAGGAACCUACCACGCAGUGCUGGGGAGACCAUGCUACGCCAAGUUCAUGGUCGUCCCCAACUACACCUACCUCAAGCUCAAGAUGCUGGGCCCCAAUGGGGUCAUCACCAUCGGCCCCAUGUACCGACAUGCGUACGAAUGCGACGUGGAGUGCAUGGAGUACGCCGAGGCCCUCGCCGAAUCCGAGGCCCUCAUCGCCGAUGUGGAGAGCCUCCCCAAGGAGGCACAAUAUGCGAAGCGCCACGCCAGCAACUUCAAACCAGCAGAGGCGGUUAAGUCCGUCCCUCUCGACCCUAGCAACGACACCUCCAAGCAGAUCCGGAUCGGCUCCGAGCUCGACCCUAAAUAGGAAGCAGUGCUCGUCGACUUUCUCCGCGCGAACGCCGAGGUUUUUGCGUGGAGCCCCUCGGACAUGCCUGGCAUACCGAGGGAAGUCGCCGAGCACUCACUGGAUAUCCGAGCUGGAGCCCGACCCGUGAAGCAGCCUCUGCGCUGAUUCGACGAAGAAAAGCGCAGAGCCAUAGGCGAGGAGAUCCACGAGCUCAUGGCUGCAGGGUUCAUCAAAGAGGUAUUCCAUCCCGAAUGGCUAGCCAACCCUGUGCUUGUGAGAAAGAAAGGUGGGAAAUGGCGGAUGUGUGUAGACUACACUGGUCUAAACAAAGCAUGUCCGAAGGUUCCCUACCCUCUGCCUCGCAUCGAUCAAAUCGUGGAUUCCACUGCUCGGUGCGAAACCCUGUCAUUCCUUGAUGCCUACUCAGGGUAUCACCAAAUCAGGAUGAAAGAGUCCGACCAGCUCGCGACUUCUUUCAUCACACCUUUUGGCUACAUUACUAUGCCAUUUGGUUUGAGGAAUGCGGGUGCGACAUACCAAAGGUGCAUGAACCACGUGUUCAGACAGCACAUUGGCCGAACGGUCGAGGCUUACGUCGAUGACAUCGUAGUCAAGACGAGGAAAGCCUUCGACCUCCUCUCCGACCUUGAAACGACAUUCAAGUGUCUCAAAGCGAAAGGCGUAAAACUCAAUCCCGAGAAGUGUGUCUUCGGAGUCCCCCCGAGGUAUGCUCUUGGGGUUCAUCGUCUCCGAGCGGGGCAUCGAGGCCAACCCGGAGAAAAUCGCGGCCAUCACCAACAUGGGGCCUAUCAAGGACUUGAAAGGAGUACAAAGGGUCAUGGGAUGCCUUGCGGCUCUGAGCCGCUUCAUCUCGCGCCUCGGCGAAAGAGGCCUGCCCCUGUAUCGCCUCUUAAGGAAGACCAAGCGCUUCACUUGGACCCCCGAGGCUGAGGAAGCCCUCAUGAACUUGAAGGCGCUCCUUACAAGCGCGCCCAUCCUGGUGCCCCCCGCUGCCGGAGAAGCCCUCUUGAUCUACGUCGCCGCUACCACUCAGGUGGUCAGCGCCGCGAUCGUGGUCGGAAGACGAGAAGAAGGGCACGCAUUGCCCGUCCAGAGGCCGGUCUACUUCAUCAGUGAGGUACUGUCCGAGACCAAAAUCCGCUACCCGCAAAUUCAGAAGCUGCUGUACGCGGUAAUUCUGACACGGCGAAAGUUGCGACACUACUUCGAGUCUCAUCCGGUGACUGUGGUGUCAUCCUUCCCCCUAGGGGAGAUCAUCCAGUGCCGAGAGGCCUCGGGUAGGAUUGCAAAGUGGGCGGUGGAGAUCAUGGGCGAGACGAUCUCGUUCGCCCCUCAGAAGGCCAUCAAGUCCCAAGUCUUGGCAGACUUUGUGGCUGAAUGGGUCGACACCCAGCUUCCAACAGCUCUAAUCCAACCGAAACUCUGGACCAUGUAUUUCGAUGGGUCGCUGAUGAAAACAGGAGUGGGCGCGGGCCUGCUCUUCAUCUCACCCCUCGGGAAGCACCUCCGCUACGUAUUGCGCCUCCAUUUCCCGGCGUCCAACAACGUGGCCGAGUAUGAGGCUCUGGUUAACGGGUUGCACAUCGCCAUCGAGCUAGGGGUUCAGCGCCUCGACGCUCGUGGCGACUCACAGCUUGUCAUCGACCAAGUCAUGAAGAACUCCCACUGCCGCGACCCGAAGAUGGAAGCCUACCGCGACAAGGUUUGGCGCCUGGAGGACAAGUUCUACGGGCUCGAGCUCAACCACGUCGCUCGACGAUACAACAAGACUGUAGACGAGCUGGCUAAGAUAGCCUCGGGGCGGACAACAGUUCCUCCGGACGUCUUCUCCCGAGACCUACAUCAACCCUCCGUCAAGACCGACGACACUCCCGAGCCCGAGAAGGCCUCGGCUCUGCCCGAGGCGCCCACGGCUCAGCCCGAGGCAGCCUCGGCCCCGCCCGAGGCAGCCUCGGCCCCCGAGGGUGAGGCACUGCACGUCGAGGAAGAGCGGAAUGGGGUCGCACCUAAUCGAAACUGGCAGACCCUAUACCUGCAAUAUCUCCACCGAGGAGAGCUACCCCUCAACAGAGUCGAAGCUCGGCGACUAGCGCGGCGCGCCAAGUCGUUCGUCUUGCUGGGUGACGGAAAGGAGCUCUACCACCGCAGCCCCUCAGGCAUCCUACAGCAGUGCAUAUCCAUCAUCGAAGGUCAGGAGUUAUUGCAAGAAAUACACUCGGGGGCUUGCGGUCACCACGCAGCACCUCGGGCCCUCGUGGGAAACGCCUUCCGAUAGGGUUUCUACUGGCCAACUGCGGUGGCCGACGCCACUAGGAUUGUACGCACCUACCAAGGGUGUCAAUUCUACGCAAGGCAGACCCACCUGCCCGCUCAAGCCUUGCAAACAAUACCCAUCACCUGGCCAUUUGCUGUGUGGGGUCUGGACCUCGUUGGUCCCUUGCAGAAGGCACCCGGGGGCUUCACGCACCUGCUGGUCGCCAUCGACAAAUUCUCCAAGUGGAUCAAGGUCCGACCCCUAAACAGCAUUAGGUCCGAACAGGCGGUGGCGUUCUUCACCAACAUCAUCCAUCGCUUCGGGGUCCCGAACUCCAUCAUCACCGACGACGGCACCCAGUUCACUAGCAGAAAGUUCCUGGACUUCUACGAGGAUCACCACAUCUGGGUGGACUGGGCCGCCGUAACUCACCCCAUGACGAAUGGGCAGGUAGAGCAUGCCAACGGCAUGAUUCUACAAGGACUCAAGCCAAGGAUCUACAACGACCUCAACAAGUUCGGCAGGCGGUGAAUGAAGGAACUCCCCUCGGUGGUCUGGAGUCUGAGGACGACGCCAAGCCGAGCCACGGGCUUCACACCAUUUUUUCUAGUCUAUGGGGUCGAGGCCAUCUUGCCCACAGACUUAGAAUAUGGCUCCCCGAGGACGAGGGCAUACGAUGCCCAAAGCAACCAGACAAACCGAGAAGACUCAUUGGACCAGCUAGAAGAGGCUCGAGACAUGGCCUUACUACACUCGGCACGAUAUUAGCAGUCCCUGCGACGCUACCACGCCAGAGGGGUUCGGUCCUGAGACCUCCAGGUGGGCGACUUGGUGCGUCGGCUACGACAAGACACCCGAGGGCGCCACAUGCUCACACCUCCUGGGGAAGGGCCGUUCAUCAUCACCAAAAUUCUGAAGCCCGGAACAUACAAGCUGGCCAACAGUCAAGGCGAGGUCUACAGCAACGCUUGGAACAUCCGACAGCUACGUUGCUUCUACCCUUAAGAUGUUUUCAAGUCGUUCAUGUACCUCGUUCACUUACACAAGCAAAGUCUAACCUUCAAGGAAGGGUCAGCCUUGCCUCGGCAAAGCCCAACCCUCCCUCGGGGGCUAGAAGGGGGGAACCCCCUCUGCAUCAAAAUUUUCCUCGGAAAAAGUCUUUCUGCCAGAACAUCUUUCGUGCUUUUUGACUGCUUUGAUAGUGGAGUCCUGAAAACGACGGAGUACACGUAAGCAGGCAAGGCCAACCGAGCCGAGGGACUCCUACGCCUCCGGGAUACGGAUACCUCACUCGUCACCUUCUGCGAUAAGUAACUCACGCUCGGAUAAGGGAUUCCGCUGUCCGAACAAGUCUUAACGCUCGAAAACUUUUUCUACCGAAACGAUUUUUCGUGCCAUCUCGACUAUAUCGAUAACAGAAUCCUACGGACGAGUAAGAGUACACGUAAGCAGGCAAGGCCGACCGAGCCGAGGGACUCCUACGCCUCCGGGAUACGGAUACCUCACUCAUCACCUUCUGCGAUAAGUAACUCUCGCUCGGAUAAAUGAUUCUAUUACCGACGAACAAGUCCUGAUACUCGAAACAAGGGGAAAAGAAACACAUCUUUACAACACGACGACGAUAUGUUUUGGCCUCAGUGGCCACAAGAAACAUACGUACACUACAGACAAACUGUUCCUGCAGGUUCAGACGUCGAUAGGGGGAGCAGCAACACCCUCGGCAUCAACUCCACCUUCGGCGGAAUCCGACCCGGCCUCGGACAGCAACACGGUCGAAGGAUCUCCACCUCGAAGGAAGAUGUCAGCACCGCGCCUAGGCCAUCGCAGCCAGGGUCUCCUCUAGGAACCCGGCCCAAGCAGAUGGUCGGACCGGCCGCUCUGUAGCCUCAGCCAGCUGUCCCCCGAGGACACCAGCCCGGCUCAUGGCCUCGGCAGCCUGACUCCAGGGUUGGUCCCGCCAGUGGACGACCUGGCCAGGUCCCAGUCGCCACUGCAGCGCCUCCUCGGCCUGGGAAGUCCCCAACUCCUGGGCCGACGAAGUUUCUUCUCCAGCCGACUCCGCCUCUGUCCAUGCUGACAUCGCUGCCUCCGGCUUCGGCUCAUCGCAGAGCAGCCGAAGGUUCCUUCACUAAGCAAGAGAAGCCUCGAGCGGCAAGGCCGACCGAGUCGAGGGACUCCUACGCCUCCGGGAUAUGGAUACCUCAUUCGUCACCUUCUGCACAGGGCAACUCACACCUGGUUAAGCGGUCCAGCUAGCUGACAGGCGAGUCCUAGUGCACGAAAUGGGGAAGAAACACGGCUUUACGCCCAAAUACACAGAUGUUCAGGCCUCGACAGCCACAAUGAGCAUACGCCAGCACUCAAGGUGCCAUUACAAACGGGACUCCGGUUCCGUUCCCACGACAACGACCUCCGCUCCGGGCGGUCAAACAGCAGCAGCGACGACCUCAGGGUAGACGCUGCUGUGACAAGGCCCUCGCCCACGUCUCCACUCGAGGGGCAAGGACAAGCUAUCAAAGCCAAAGAGCCAGAGGCCUGGAGCGUAGAUGGCAGCGGCGAUCUCGUCGGCGACGAGGACUUCUCCGGCCACCUGUCCACCGGCAGAUCCCCAAUCAAGUCCUCCCAGACGGGCGAGCACCGACCCCCGCGCGAAGGCGUCGUGUCGGAGCAAGGGUAGGACAGCCCAAGAACACGAACGCCGCCCUAGCAGCGCGCGACGUCUUGGGCGGUCCCCCGGUGCGCGCGACGCAACAGCCACCCGUACGGCAGGCAGAUAGCCGCACUCCGCCCAGCGGUGGGAGAUGGCACCGGAAGCCGUGCCAGAGCCAGCUGAGCCAGCAAACCAGGCACACUGGAGCCGACGAUGCUUGCGGCCGCUCGGCCACGUGUUGUCGAAGUCCGCCCCUUCCGCUAAGCCGGUGAGCGCCCUCUCCCAUGAAUGCUGAAGGAGGAGGUGGCCCGUCGGCCCGUACGGGAGGUAGAGCUCCGGCUCAUCUCGCCCUCCGCCCCAGCACGGAUGACGAAGAUCCUUGAAGCUGAGGGUGGGGCGGAGGCUGCAGCCCGGCUCGCUUCUCCACCAAACUGCCCAUUGGUGGGGGAAUGCAGCCGGGCUGCACGACGAAAAUCCUUGAAGCCGAGCGAUGGCUGAAAGAUACCAACCUCCACAAGGUUGUGCUCCUUCCACAACGAGACGAAGACAACGCGGACGCUCCCCAUCCGGGGGCUCGGAAGGCGGAAGGAAGCGACGCAUGAGGAAAGUGCGAAGGCAUGGCUAUCACUCAGGAGGUCGAUCCCUUUUAAAGGCGACUCUCCCCGCUCGCGUCCUCAACCAUCGCGGACUGAGUCUUCACCGACACGCUUCAAGGUCCUCCCCCUACAACACGGGGGCUGGGCUCCACGUGUCAUGCAAGCUGGCCCAGGACAGAAGAAGCCAAACCGCCGCGCGCGGAGCGUGUAACCGCCCAGCGGUUACAAGCAUUCCUCCGUCUUCACCCAGGCCAGCGGGUGAAAGGGCGGACCACCAUGCAGGCGGCAUGCAACUGCACUAAGGGGGCGCACCCUUUCGACUUUGACGCAUCCAGCAUGGAAGCCUAGGCCCACACGUCAUGUAACCGGCGCGCCGAUUACUACGUGCGAAAAACUGCAGCGCCACUUGCGCCAGCAUCGCGCCUUCUCGACUACGAAAUUGGUGCCGCGACUCGAGGCAACCCUGCGCAUGACCCAACAGUACCAACCAGGCACGCCGGUCACGGGUCAGUCAGCCACAGGAGAAGGCGCGACAGUCGAUAUGGCCAGAAGUGGGCCGACAGUAAUGGCGGCAGCAGGCGGGCGGAAGCAGCAGUCAAAUCAUCUGCAGGCCCACGUCCCCUCCUGGAACAGCGAGAGAGCCCUCUCCCACGGCGUGAAGACGACACGCCCGUGUUCCGUUCCUCGAAUGGCCCACGCAAUGGCUGCCCCGCGAACCACUCGUCCCGUCACAUUAACUCUGCGGCAGGACAGGCGACACCUUUGGCAGGCGAAGCAGGUGACGCUUCACCUCCGCCAUAAUGACCGCGUCAAAAAAGGUGCGCCACGACGUUCAAUUUCGUAUCCUUUUCUUCUUCCCCUUUCUCUCUCUUGCUACAGGGACCGGGAAAGGGGAUACUCCGAAAGGGAUCCUUCUCCACGAAGGAAGCGGGCUCCGAGCCCCCCUACUGAUCAGAGGUUCGAAGGCUGGACCCUCGAAAGGGUUCGACAGCCGCCUCAGAGCACUCGGGCUCCACGCCCACUACUGGUCAGAGGUUCGAAGGUUGCCCCCUCGGAAGGGUUCGACAGCCGCCUCAGGCCACUCGGGCUCCGCGCCCACUACUGAUCAGGGGUUCGUGGGCUGGCCCCCCGAUGGGUUCGACAGUCGCCCCAGAGCACGCAGAGUGAGGGAUGACUCUGGGUACGUUCGAUACAUAACCAAUGAUCGAGCUACGCUCCCGAGGUACCCUAGGACAUUUUCGAGACCAGCAGGAGCGAUUCUGUAAUGGAAUCCCAUCAGAGGGAGGCAUCGAGCCCUCGGACCCUAUCGAACGGGAUCGGGUCCGGCAAAUCACCUGCAGGUACUUUUGGAGCGCGCCUCUGGGCCACUAGCCGACCCUUAUCGAACGGGGCACGAGCGUCCACUCGGAUCACCCAUUAGCAACUCACUGGAGACACCAUGUUCGGCGCCCUCCGAGGGCAACAUGGCGCUUUCCCCCCCUCCUCCUUGCGGAAAGGCGACGCAGGGGCAUAUAAAAAAAGCUGAGUAUGCCCUUGACCGUUCUCUCGCCCUGUGCAGAGGCUCGGGGGCUGCUCUCGCAAACCCAGCUCCGGCCAAACCGUUGACAGCGUCAACAUACCAGCCCGAGAA
rnacentral:lncRNA from 1 species